rnacentral:lncRNA from 1 species
CUCGGCCACCGCCCGUCCUCUGCAUCUGGCGUGUGCCGCUUGCCUCUUGUCAUUUUGACAUUCAAUAUUCCGAUGAAUUCGAUCAUGCCCAUUUCACUCUUGGAACCAUCGGAAUGAAAAGCACCGCCUGAAACAGCCGAUAAUAUGAAAGGCUCCAUUUGGUCCAAUCUGGCUCAACCUCUUGGGCUUUUCUUUUUUUUUUAAGCAGGGCUCCAAAAUAGAUGUCGGCUCAUAGUUCAUCUUGGGCUCUAAUAGAUACUGGCAUGGUUAAGUUGCCGAAGGGAGGAAGUUGCUCCAGCAUGCAAAACAAUUACCAGACCUGUACUCCUGGUGGAGGGGAUGCUGGGAUCGCUCCAGUGCUGCUGCUUCAUCCGGAAUCCUUUAACGAGUACCAGCACGCCUGCACAUGGACAGCCCGUCAGCAGCGGUGGCAGCAGUUUUCCACCUUGACCUGAUGCCGCUAGGGAGACCCAGGGAGGAUCUCCACACCGUCGCGGUUGACCAGCACGGUGUGCUCAAACUGCGCGCUGAGGCUGCCGUCCGCCGCCACCGAUUCCCGCUCCGGCCUGCCGUCGCUAGCUUCCGCGCGCUCCAGUACCUGCGCGCCGGCUUCCACGUGCGCUCGCCCGGCCCGCUCCACUUGCUCCCGAGCCGCGCGCCGCUUGCGCCCGCUGCCGCCUGGGCCGGCCAGCUGCGCGUCCGCCUGCCGCCGCUCGGGUCCACCAGCGCUGCGCCGCCCUCGCACCGAGCCGCUCGCUCCUGGGCCCGCCAGCCGCACGCCUGCGCGCGCUCGCGCCCGCCCGGACGCCUGGCGCUGCUGGGCCCGCCGCUCGCCUGCUCCCUUGCCAGCGCCCCGCCUGUACUGCGCUCCAACUCCCUGCGCCCGCACUGCUUGCUCGGAGGAAAAACAGCAGCCCGUGAACCAAGGGAAAAACAGCAGGGAGAGAGAGGGAGGAAAAGAGGAAUUUUGCUAGAGCUGCCGCCGGUGGAAGAAGGAUAAGACACAGACGCCAGGGGAGAAAAGAAAUAGAGGAGAAAGAUGAACAGAUUUCCCCAAGGACCUAUGCGUAAAUAUAGAAAACUGUAAGGGCCUGUCUGUAAAACAAAAUUUUCUGUUGAUUUAAAACCCAAAUGAAGAAAUGCCCAAAACGAAAGUUGGAGAGUUUUUCAAACUCUACAAGAUUGCUUUAGGGCUCAAGUUCAAAAACUCAAAAUUUAUAUUUUUACACGUGAAGUUUUGAACAAAAGUCGGAUUUGAAUUGCUUUUGUCCUAAAGAGCGUAAUUUUAUAAAAUUCAGGACCUAAGUGCAAGCAUUUAUGACACGUCAUAAUGACGAGAUAGACUCGUCAUAAUGGUUGGAUAGACAUGUCAUGAUGACUUGCACUUUAGUCCAGGGUAAUUUGAAAGUUACUUUUGUAAAUCAAACAUUUGCAUAAAAGGACUUGUCCUUUUAUAAAAUCACAUAAAUAUCCUUAUUUUUACCACUUUACCCAAAAUUUUUACACAAUUCAACACACACAUUUUAAAUACAACUUUCAAAUAAACAUACAUUUUUACAAGGGAUAGUAUAAGGAAAAUAUGUUUACAAAACCACCUUUCACAUAUUUUGAAAUUACCUCCAAUUCAAAAACAUUUUACAGAAACAACCCUAGGUUUUUCUGUAAUUACAAAAAUACCCUUUUUACUUGCACUUUAAAUUUUCAACAGUUUCACACAAACACACAAAAGUUUUACACUAACAAGCGUACACUUCACACUAUCAAAUUAUAAGCCUAGCUUACAGAUACAUGAACUGUCACAUUAACCUCGCAGUCAGUUAGGGUUUUUCCGUGCCUUCAGAUCUUGCAUCGCCACCAGAGAAAAAACAAAACCCCAAUUAGAUCACACCGUGCCGUCACCCCUCCACCGCCCUGCGUAGUCAAAAUCCUUCGAGCCUGCGACCGUAGCCCCCGAGCGUUGUGCGAACAACCCGUGGCUUAACAGAUUCGAAAUGGCGCCGAAGAAAACCAACCAGAAGGACUUGAAAGAAGCGCAAGCGGCAACCAGCGAGUGGACAAUUAGUAAGUGUUCUCGCCACAAUCUCGCAAAUUUGGUGUUGGGGGGCCUUCUUCAAGAAAGGGAUCUCAUCAAUUGGCGGCUUCCCGUUCGCGACCCCUUCCCCAUGGAAAAUGUCGACGAGAUUGUCUCUUUUUGUUCUUUUUCUGACAGUCGUUUCGUGCAUUGGAAGGGCAUGAAACUCUCCGAUCUACUCGAAGAUGAAGACCGACUCGUGGCACACCUCAAGCCCUUACCUUUUCAGGAGGGCAAACCAUUAGCCACCACGGCAGAAGAAUCGACCGAGCUAGUCGAAGCGAGCUCCGACGAACUCAUAUCAUGCCAAGUGUUGAUGGCAGAAGAGGGGGGGGAUGAUGGCCUCUCACCCAACGAAACACUUGACAUGAUAUCCGAAGACGAGGCCACAGCCAAUGCCGGCGAUGAAAAUGACACAGAGCAUGAGGCACGAAGGGCCAGGAACAGAGCCCGCGCAGCCCGGCGAAGGAGGGUCAACGAGCGCAUACGAUCUAUGCAUCGUGAACUGGAUGCCGAAUUCGCCGUCGUGAGCGAGCGGGGCUUCAGAACCCCCAUGGCUAACAUCGCCAGGGUAACCGCCAUACUCGAAUGCAGCAACGAUCCAAACCUACGCCAAGCACUUCACUACACGCAGAGAGCAUAGAUCCAGCUCGAUCAACAAAACCCGGCGUCAACCAUCGGAGAAGAACACAUGGGCGAAAGCUGCAGCCAGGCUAAUAGUCGAACAGCAGGCGGCCAUCCUCGACAUCAACGAAGCAAUAACAACGACAACGCUCGUGGAAGUCAGGCCACUGGUGGGAGGCAGUAGCCACUUGCAGGAGGCAACUUGCGACAACCUAAUCAUCACAACCAUCGGAAUCCUCAAGACUUACCCAUUGAAGACCUGCACCAGAAAAUCAAUGAAGGAUGCGAUGCGUGAUCCAUAAUUGAUUCCAGACGCAGAGAGCGUGAAGUAGCCGAUCCAGAAGGUACCGACUGCAGUGAUCGCUUUUCAGCGUUCACAGCACGGUUCAACAGUUACAAGUACCCUGAGGGCUUCAAGCCAAUUGGGAUCACCAAGUACGACGGCAAAUAAGCUCCUCAGCAAUGGCUACGAUGUUACUCUACCGCCAUAGAAGUCGCAGGAGGCUCCAACACCAUGUAGGUCGUCUAAUUCCCGAUGGCUUUGGACCCUGCACCACUCACAUGGCUGGAGAGCCUCAGCAACAACUUGAUCGACUCCUGGGAGGGGCUCAAGAAAGUAUUCAUCGACAACUUCCAGGGGGCGAUCACCCGCGCAAGUACUCGUCAUGAUCUUGCUCAGUGUAAACAGGAACGCAAUGAGCUCCUACGAUCAUACACAUGCCAUUUCUUCGACAUACGAGCCACCAUUGCGAACAUCUCGGAAGAGGACAUCAUCGACUGCUUCUAUAAUGGCCUCACCAACCUAGGCAUCUAUAGAGACUUUGGGUGGAAUAGACCAAAAACUGUUGCAGGACUGUCACACCCGAUUUAUAAGAACAUAAAUCGAGCAAUCAUAUAUGCGCCAGGAUCAAGUCACGCAUAUAUACAACAGAUUAUCAAGAUAUCACAACACAUGUCACGAAUAACAUGAAUAUAAAUCGUAGAUAAAUCAAUAAAUGAAUUAUUUAUUACAACCGAAUCAAGAAUCGGUUCAAGAGUUGCGGAAGCGUAAAAGAGAUACAUGAAGAGCUGGGCGCCACAGGGACGUCGACUGGGAGACAAACGCCUAGAAGUCGUCGAAGCCGCUGACGUAGUCCUCCACGCUGCCGGGCACUGAGCAGCAGUCGAAGAUAUCCGAAAUAGAACAGAAGAGUAGAGAGGCAAGUGUGAGUACAAACUAGUACUCAACAAGUAUAACACAAACUAUGAGGCUCUAGGCUGGCUGACUCAACUGCAUUAGCUUUUAGUCUUGGCAAAUUUUAUUAAAGCUAAUUACUACAAGUGGAUGAAUUACCAUAAACCCAAUUGCAUAAUAAAUUAAUCAGUAUUAAAUAAGAACUACUGAGAACCAUCCAAACCAAAACCACCCGGGGAAUCGCCCUCGUCAAAGGUUGAUAACCCCACUAAUCAGACGGAGGAUCUGGGCCGCUCAUGACUGUGAGCACAGCUGAUAUAUCAGUUUUACACUCUCGAGAGGUUGCACAACUUUACCCACAAGUCAUGGGCUACGCUAGUUGUUCAUCACACUUCCUUAGGUGAGAUGGCUAGCAAGCACACUACGAGACCGUUACAAAGGAUCACGUUGGUAAGGUGUAACCGCUAAGGAUUCUGGAUCAGCGACGAUGGGGCCCACCUCCGGGGGUACAAGACACACAGCACAGACCAAGCCGGAGGAGCAGGGACCAUUGAAGCUUACCACCCCUCUUGCCCACGCAGGUAAGUUACUCCCGAACCAAAAUGACCUAAUUAAUAAGUCAAGACCGUCCCAUACCAGUCUUGUGGUUGCGCGGUUGUCCCAGGUUGUCGCUCUAUGAACCGGUCCUUAUGGAGAGUGGCCAACCAAGCACUAAGCACCGUGCUGGCCCCCUAAACCAUGUUUCUAACAAAAACAUCUUUUAAGGACGCACGAACCACUCAAGCACACAGCACAGAGGGUCGGCUCCAGAAUUAAGUUGCAUAAGACCAUUAAUCCAAUUAAUUAAAAAGGACCCAGAUACGUUAUAGCGCAGCAACCUAGCACAACUAACCAAAAAUGCAACCCAUAGGAUAUAUAUAAGGAUAUAAAAGUGGCUAGGAAGUCCUUAUAGGUAUACAGUAUUAAAAUGCAGUAUGAAAUUGUAUUUAAAAGUGAUAGGAGGUUCCUGCUAUACUUGCCUUCCUCGUACUCUCCCGGCUGCUGCUCAAACUGCUCGGAAGACGGCUGCUCCUGGUACUGGUCCAAAGGCUCCGCGUCUACUCACGAUCAUCAAACAUAGUCCACACAUACACACAUGCACAAACAAUAGCAAACUAUAAGAAAACAGUACACCAAUACAACAGAACAGCACAUGAAACUAGCCUAGAACUAAUCUACGCGUUACAACGAUCGCGUGGACAUAAAGAACACCUAAAACGGAGCUAAAACGCGAAAACUGCGCUUAAAACAGGAUCCAGGGACCUAAUUGUAAGAAAAACAGGACUUCCAGGGGCUUCUGGACAAAAACCGAGGACUAAAACGUAAAUAAAGCAUAGACUCAGGGGCUAGCACGUGAAAAGGCAUGGCUUGGACGGCGGGUUCAAAAUCCAGAGAAGCCAGGGGGGUCCGCGCAAGAUUCUGGGUCAUUCUGGAAUUAUUUCUCAACUAACUAGGACUGCGGGUUGAUUUCCCGGAAUCCCGAGGGCUCUUUAGCAAAAGCGGCAGGCCGAACCGGUACGCUUUAAUCUGGAGCGUUGGAUCAUGACCUGAUGGCUCGGAUUAGAUCUGCUACGCGAAGGGGUACGCGCGGAUCUCACCCGUCCGAUCGGGAUCUAACGCGCCAGGGCCUAUCAUAAUGGAAAUCAAAUCCCACGCGCCGGAUCAGGAACGGACGGCUCAGAUUCAAAGCAAAGGUGAACCGGUAUCUUCUAAUCCGGAUCGUCGGAUCGCGAUCCGGCGGCUCCGAUCUACUUCGGCUCGACCUAAUCCUGUCCGCUCACCUCGCAUCCUACGGCUCGGGCAGAUGGGCGCGUGGGACGGCGGCGCCGGCCAUCGGAGCUCGGCUCCCGCGGCGGAGGCUCGCCGGCGAUGGCCGAUCUUGGCCGUCCGGCCUCCAUCCGGGACGAGAUCAAGUCCUGGAGGUCGAGCACGACAUGGGGAACUCGUCUAGGCGCUCAGGAAGGCGGAUUAGGGCUCGGGUAGGGGAUCCCCACGGCGAUGGCGGCUCGGGGCGGCGAACACGCCGGCGAGCGCGCGUUCCGGGCUCGGGUGCGGCCUACGGCCUACGACAACUGGCGCAAAAUGAGCAGGGGAUGGAGGAGGAGCUCACCAAGGUGUUGUAGAGGGCGGGGCUACAGCGGAACAGGGAAGUCGACGACGACCGGCGGAGGAAGCGGGGCGGCGCUCGUGGGCAGGUGGAAGCAGAGAGGCUCGGGCGCCCGUGACCGCACGGAUUGGUCGGGGAACUUCCUGCGGAGGUGGAAGAGGGGUCAUGGAGGCAUGGGGCUCACCGACGACGAGCAAUUGCGGCAGCGGAUGAACUUACCCGCGGUGGAGCUCCGGGGCAAUUCGAACGGAGGAACGGCCCGAGGUCACAGAUGAAGGGCUCAGGAGCUCCGGGGUGACGAGGCGGUGCCGAUGCGCAAGCUCUCGCUGGCUGUGGUGCGGUGGAACGGCGUGCCCACGGUGGCGCAGAGGAGAGGGUGCGGCGGAGGAAAAGGGGACCGGCGGCGCUGGGGAUCCUCGGGCAACGCAAGAGCUAGGGUUAGGGUUCGGGGGGCUGCCCUUUGUACAGUGGCGGAGCCACACUGGCGUGCGGGCCCGGAGCAGGGGGGGUCGCCGGAGAUCUCGGAGGGGGGGCCGUUACGCCGGGGAAGAAAGAGGAGAGGAGGAAGAAGCGCUGACGCGUGGGGCCCGACGGUCAGAGGGAGACGGGGAAGAGCUGGAGAGGGCGAGCGCGCUCGGGCUGAGGGAGAAAGCAACGGGCCGGCUUGGCCCAUGCGGGGGAGAGGAAAAGGAGGAGGGGUUGCUGGGCCUCGGGUGCCUUCUUUCUUUCCUUCUCCUUUUCUCCUUUUGUUUUUCUAACUCACUAAUUCAAACAAACUAUUUGAAUUCAAACUACAAUUUGAAUUCAAAUCUAUAAAUUCAACACAAUUAAAACAAUGCUGCGGCAUGAAUGCACAAACACUUUAAUCCUAUGAUAUAUUUUAUUUCCUUAUAUUAUAAAUUACUUUAAAUGCCACAAAAAAUUAAGGAAAAAAAAACCUGAAAAAUUUAUUUAAGCCCAGAUAAAUUCAUUAAAAAUUAAAGAAUUUACCUCAGGGUGUUACAAACCUACCCCCCUUAUAGGAAUCUCGUCCCGAGAUUCGGAUAGGCUAGCUAGCAAAGAGAUCGGGAUAUGUCUUCCUCAGCUCGUCUUCUCGCUCCCAAGUAGCCUCAUCCUCCGUGUGGUGACUCCACUGAACACGGCACAUCUUGAUCUUCUUGUUUCUGGUAACUCUCUCAGAUGUCUCCAGAAUCUUCACCGGAUGCUCGAUAUAGGUCAGAUCCUCCUGCACAUCCAACCCUUCUAUCGGUGCUUGCUCUUCUGGCACUCUCAAGCACUUCUUCAGCUGAGACACGUGAAACACAUCGUGCACUCCUGAGAGAUUGAGUGGCAACUCCAGACGAUAUGCCACCUCACCUUUCCGUUCCAGCACCUUGAACGGACCAAUGUAUCGAGGAGCUAGCUUCCCUCUCACAUUAAACCUGCGGAUUCCUCUCAUCGGCGAGACCUUCAGAUAUACAUGAUCACCCACUGCGAAGGUCAAAUCUCGACGACGAACAUCCGCAUAACUCUUCUGACGAGUCUGAGCGACCCUCAGAUUCUCUCGCACCUGCUGUACCAGCUGUUCUGCCUCUUCAACAAUAUCUGGACCAAAUACCUGCCUCUCACCAAUCUGAUCCCAAUACAACGGAGUCCUGCAUUUCCGACCAUACAGGGCCUCAAACGGGGACUUCUUCAGACUAGCCUGAUAACUGUUGUUAUAAGAAAACUCUGCAUACGGUAGGCAUUUAUCCCAGCUGGUACCAUACUGAAUAGCGCAGGCUCGAAGCAUAUCCUCCAACACUUGGUUGGUUCUCUCUGUCUGCCCAUCUGUCUGAAGAUGAUAAGCGGUACUGAAGCGCAGCUUCGUAUCCAACGAAUCAUGCAACUGCUCCCAGAACCGUGAAGUGAACUGAGAUCCUUGAUCAGAUAUAAUCUUCUUUGGAACACCAUGCAAACAGACAAUCCGGGAGAUGUACAACUCUGCGAGUCUAGCACCGGAGUAAGUAGUGUUCACCGGAAUAAAAUGAGCAACCUUCGUCAACCGAUCCACUACUACCCAUAUGGAGUUGUACCCUUUCUGAGUACGAGGCAAGCCAACGAUGAAGUCCAUAGUGAUCUCCUCCCAUUUCCACUCCGGAAUCUUCAACGGCUGCAAUAACCCUGCUGGCCUCUGAUGCUCUGCCUUGACACGCUGACAAGUGUCACAGAUAGCCACGUACUCCGCAACGGAACGCUUCAUUCCAGACCACCAGAAUCGUUCCUUUAGGUCGUAAUACAUCUUCGUGCUGCCUGGAUGGAUAGAGUAUGCUGUAUCAUGAGCCUCACUCAGAAUCAACUUCCUGAGAUCUGCCACAUCCGGCACACAUAUACGACCCUUGUACCACAAGGUACCCUGACCAUCCUCUCUGAAAUGAGGGGCCUUGCCAAUCUUGAGCAACUCACGAAUCUCCUGCAGCUUCUGAUCUUCCUUCUGAUGCUGCCUGAUCUCUGCCUCUAGAGUGGGCUCUGCCUCGAACGAUGUACCCGAGGUAUGAUGCAAGAAACCCAGACUCAACUGCUCAAACUCCUCGCAUAACUCCUGAGGCAUCUGAAAAGCCACGGCCAUGUUAACAUAGCUCCUCCUGCUCAGAGCAUCUGCUACAACAUUGGCCUUGCCCGGAUGAUAGUGAAUCUCCAGGUCGUAAUCCUUGACCAGCUCUAGCCAUCUUCUCUGCCGCAUAUUCAGCUCACUCUGAGUGAAAAUAUACUUGAGGCUCUUGUGAUCGGUGUAAAUAUCACACCUCUGCCCAAACAAGUAAUGCCUCCAUAUCUUCAGAGCAUGCACAACUGCAGCUAACUCCAGAUCAUGAGUGGGAUAAUUCAGCUCGUGCCGGCGCAACUGCCGCGAAGCAUAAGCUAUCACUCUGCCUUCCUGCAUCAGAACGCAACCAAGACCAUCCCUCGAAGCAUCACAAUACACUGUGAACCUCUUGCUCUGGUCUGGCAGAGUAAGGACUGGUGCCGUAGUCAACUUCUUUUUCAACUCCUCGAAGGCCUUCUGACGCUCAUCAGUCCAAGAGAAAUCCACACCCUUCUCCAGCAAGGAAGUCAAAGGCUUCGCAAUCUUGGAGAAAUUCUCGAUGAAUCUCCGAUAAUAGCCUGCUAAGCCCAGAAAAGAGCGGACUUCCUUCACCGUCUGUGGUACAACCCAGUCAAGCACAUCCUUCACCUUUCCGGGGUCCACAGCAAUGCCUCCCUUGGAGAUAACAUGACCGAGGAACGGAACCUCGUCAAUCCAGAACUCGCACUUGCUGAGCUUGGCAUACAGCUGGUGCUCUCUGAGCCUCUGCAACACAAGUCUCAGAUGCUUCUCAUGCUCCGCUUCUGACUUGGAAUAUAUCAGGAUAUCAUCAAUAAAUAUCACCACAAAGGUGUCCAGAUAAUCCAUGAAAACCUUGUUCAUCAGAUGCAUGAAGAAGGCCGGAGCAUUAGUCAAGCCGAAGGACAUGACCGUAUACUCAUAGAGCCCAUACUUGCAAGUGAAUGCCGUCUUCUGAAUAUCCUCAGGACGAAUCUUCAGCUGAUGAUAACCUGAACGCAGAUCUAUCUUCGAGAAUACACAAGCACCCUGAAGCUGAUCAAAGAGAUCCUCAAUACGGGGCAAUGGAUGCUUGUUCUUGAUAGUGACUGCAUUCAGAUCCCGAUAAUCGACGCACAUCCUCUUCGCACCAUCCUUCUUCUCUACAAGCAACACAGGGAAAGCCCAAGGGGAGAAACUGCGACGGAUAUAACCCUUAGCUAGCAACUCGUCAACAGUCUUCUUAACCUCCUCAUGCUCGACAGGAGCCAUACGAUAGGGCCUCUUAGCAAUAGGAGCUGUGCCAGGCAAGAGAUCAAUAGAAAACUCAAUGUCGCGAUCAGGCGGCAUACCUGGCAAAUCAUCCGGAAAGACAUCCGGGAAUUCAGACACCACGCGAAUACCGUCCGUGGGUCUAGCCUCCAUCUGAUGAAGAAAUCCAGAAGGCUCCGUAGCUCCAACAGUAACCUCCUGACCAUCCGGUGCCGACAGAAGAACCGUCCUCUGAGCACAAUCUAUCCGGACUCCCCACUUAGCAAGAGUCUCCAUCCCGAGGAUCACAUCAAUACCCUUGGUGUCUAGCACCAUCAGAUUUGCACUGAAAUCUACCCCCCUUAUAGCCACACUGACUCUGGGACAGAAGACAUGAGACCUCAACUGCCCUCCCGGUGAAGAUACUAACAUGCACCUCUUUAAUGUGCUAGUAGGAAUACCAUGAUGCUCAACAAAAGACUGGGUGAUGAAAGAAUGUGUAGCACCAGUAUCAAAAAGCACUGUAGCAGGGUGAGCAUUAACCAUGAACGUACCAAUAACCACGUUGGGAGCCUCGGCCGCUGACUCGGCCGUCACGUGGUUCACCCUGCCCUGAGCUGGGGCCUUGGGCGGUGCUGCACGCCCCUGCUGUCCUGCCUGCGCCUUCCGAGGGCAGACGUUGGCGUAGUGUCCUGGCUCGCCGCAGUGGAAGCACACUCGAGGAAGUGCCGGAGCCUGCUGCCCAGGAGGAGGAGUGGGUGCUCCCUGCCUCUGAGCUGGUGGAGCCGGAGGCGCCGGAAGCCUCUGACCCUGUCCCGCCUGCUGCUGCUGCUGAGGACGAGGCGGAAACUGCUGCCGCUGCUGGUACUGCUGGGGCGGCCUCUGCUGCUGCUGCUGCUGUGGAGUGUACUGGUAGCGGGGACGGGUGUUGCUGCCCGAAGAGGAUGGAGCCAUCUUCCUCUUCUUGUCCUCAAUCUCCCGACGCUUGCGCUCGGUGUUGAGGGCCGCAUCAACCAACUGGUUGAAGUUGUCGAAGCGGUGGUUCAGCAGCGCAUACUGGAUGUGAUCAUCCAGUCCCUCCUUGAAGUACUCCUGCUUAUCGCUAUCACGAGCGACGUCAGCAGGGGCGUAGCGGGCAAGCUGAAGGAAGCGGUCACGGUACUCCGUCACCGUCAUAGAUCCCUGAAAUAACGUACACAGAUAACAAGGAUGGGAACCGCUCAACUGGUUAGGUUUUACAAAAGAAAUCGAGGAUGGAUCAAGCUCAAAAGGAAUGGUAGGGAAUUCCGUUAAUAAUUUUUUUUUUUUACCUGCUUAAGGGCACGGAACUCCUUCUGCUUCAUCUUCAUAAUGCCCUCAGGAAUGUGAUGGUUCCUGAAACGCUCACGGAACUGGUCCCACGUGAGAGCAUCACGAUCCCGAGCUGGGUAGGACUCCCACCAGUCAAGAGCGGAGCCUCGCAGCUGCCCUGCUGCGUAAAGGACUCGCUCCCGGUCGUCGCACUGCGCAACAACCAACUGGCGCUCCACCGAGCGAAGCCAGUCGUCCGCCUGGAGUGGGUCUGUGGCGUGAGAGAAGGUCGGCGGGUGACCUCUCAGGAAGUCCGCACGCCUGUCGCGGGGCUGAGGCGGCGGAGGAGGCGGUGGCUGAGCAUGGAUCUGCUGCAGAGCCUGAACGGUGUUGUUCAGGGUAGCCAUCAUCUGCAUCUGGAGCUGGAAGAACUGCUCCGAGGUCAGUGGUGGCGGCAUCGGCAGCGGCUGACCGGUACUCUGGUUGUUCUGCUCCUGCUGGUCAGAACCGGAACCGGUGCGCCUGGUGUUCACCAUCUGAUUGCAACAAACGGAAUUUAUGAGAAUAAGAUAUCGUGCAGCUGCGAAAAUGAAACUUCGGAAGGAUAUAUCAGAGAGAAAGGAAUAUAGGUUUUACCCCCAACGAUCUAACUCAAAUUUUUAUUAUUUAGUUCAAGUUGGGUUAGGUCGAUUUGCAUGAACAAGUUUAACUACUAGCCUAUGCAAUCAACCAAAAAUCCAAAUCAAGCAUUUGCACAAUAACAAACAUUCAACAUUCACAACUUAGUCGAGUUUUUCACACUACUCGACUAACACACUCGUUCUAGCGUAUUUCCAUCGGGACAUCUUAAACUUAUAACUUAUAAGAUUAGGCGACUCAGGCCAACGUCUACGGAAAAACUCAAGCUACUUCUCCGAAAAGACUGGGGAGAUAGCGAAUCUAGGGCUUAAGACUCAAGGGAUGGAAGCAGAAAAAUGAUGGUUGAAGAUUUGCGGAGGCAAGCAAGAGAACCGAAGUCCUAAACUCGACCAAUUCUAUCUAGGCUUCGUCCUACGGUCAACACGGCUCUGAUACCAAUCUGUCACACCCGAUUUAUAAGAACAUAAAUCGAGCAAUCAUAUAUGCGCCAGGAUCAAGUCACGCAUAUAUACAACAGAUUAUCAAGAUAUCACAACACAUGUCACGAAUAACAUGAAUAUAAAUCGUAGAUAAAUCAAUAAAUGAAUUAUUUAUUACAACCGAAUCAAGAAUCGGUUCAAGAGUUGCGGAAGCGUAAAAGAGAUACAUGAAGAGCUGGGCGCCACAGGGACGUCGACUGGGAGACAAACGCCUAGAAGUCGUCGAAGCCGCUGACGUAGUCCUCCACGCUGCCGGGCACUGAGCAGCAGUCGAAGAUAUCCGAAAUAGAACAGAAGAGUAGAGAGGCAAGUGUGAGUACAAACUAGUACUCAACAAGUAUAACACAAACUAUGAGGCUCUAGGCUGGCUGACUCAACUGCAUUAGCUUUUAGUCUUGGCAAAUUUUAUUAAAGCUAAUUACUACAAGUGGAUGAAUUACCAUAAACCCAAUUGCAUAAUAAAUUAAUCAGUAUUAAAUAAGAACUACUGAGAACCAUCCAAACCAAAACCACCCGGGGAAUCGCCCUCGUCAAAGGUUGAUAACCCCACUAAUCAGACGGAGGAUCUGGGCCGCUCAUGACUGUGAGCACAGCUGAUAUAUCAGUUUUACACUCUCGAGAGGUUGCACAACUUUACCCACAAGUCGUGGGCUACGCUAGUUGUUCAUCACACUUCCUUAGGUGAGAUGGCUAGCAAGCACACUACGAGACCGUUACAAAGGAUCACGUUGGUAAGGUGUAACCGCUAAGGAUUCUGGAUCAGCGACGAUGGGGCCCACCUCCGGGGGUACAAGACACACAGCACAGACCAAGCCGGAGGAGCAGGGACCAUUGAAGCUUACCACCCCUCUUGCCCACGCAGGUAAGUUACUCCCGAACCAAAAUGACCUAAUUAAUAAGUCAAGACCGUCCCAUACCAGUCUUGUGGUUGCGCGGUUGUCCCAGGUUGUCGCUCCAUGAACCGGUCCUUAUGGAGAGUGGCCAACCAAGCACUAAGCACCGUGCUGGCCCCCUAAACCAUGUUUCUAACAAAAACAUCUUUUAAGGACGCACGAACCACUCAAGCACACAGCACAGAGGGUCGGCUCCAGAAUUAAGUUGCAUAAGACCAUUAAUCCAAUUAAUUAAAAAGGACCCAGAUACAUUAUAGCGCAGCAACCUAGCACAACUAACCAAAAAUGCAACCCAUAGGAUAUAUAUAAGGAUAUAAAAGUGGCUAGGAAGUCCUUAUAGGUAUACAGUAUUAAAAUGCAGUAUGAAAUUGUAUUUAAAAGUGAUAGGAGGUUCCUGCUAUACUUGCCUUCCUCGUACUCUCCCGGCUGCUGCUCAAACUGCUCGGAAGACGGCUGCUCCUGGUACUGGUCCAAAGGCUCCGCGUCUACUCACGAUCAUCAAACAUAGUCCACACAUACACACAUGCACAAACAAUAGCAAACUAUAAGAAAACAGUACACCAAUACAACAGAACAGCACAUGAAACUAGCCUAGAACUAAUCUACGCGUUACAACGAUCGCGUGGACAUAAAGAACACCUAAAACGGAGCUAAAACGCGAAAACUGCGCUUAAAACAGGAUCCAGGGACCUAAUUGUAAGAAAAACAGGACUUCCAGGGGCUUCUGGACAAAAACCGAGGACUAAAACGUAAAUAAAGCAUAGACUCAGGGGCUAGCACGUGAAAAGGCAUGGCUUGGACGGCGGGUUCAAAAUCCAGAGAAGCCAGGGGGGUCCGCGCAAGAUUCUGGGUCAUUCUGGAAUUAUUUCUCAACUAACUAGGACUGCGGGUUGAUUUCCCGGAAUCCCGAGGGCUCUUUAGCAAAAGCGGCAGGCCGAACCGGUACGCUUUAAUCUGGAGCGUUGGAUCAUGACCUGAUGGCUCGGAUUAGAUCUGCUACGCGAAGGGGUACGCGCGGAUCUCACCCGUCCGAUCGGGAUCUAACGCGCCAGGGCCUAUCAUAAUGGAAAUCAAAUCCCACGCGCCGGAUCAGGAACGGACGGCUCAGAUUCAAAGCAAAGGUGAACCGGUAUCUUCUAAUCCGGAUCGUCGGAUCGCGAUCCGGCGGCUCCGAUCUACUUCGGCUCGACCUAAUCCUGUCCGCUCACCUCGCAUCCUACGGCUCGGGCAGAUGGGCGCGUGGGACGGCGGCGCCGGCCAUCGGAGCUCGGCUCCCGCGGCGGAGGCUCGCCGGCGAUGGCCGAUCUUGGCCGUCCGGCCUCCAUCCGGGACGAGAUCAAGUCCUGGAGGUCGAGCACGACAUGGGGAACUCGUCUAGGCGCUCAGGAAGGCGGAUUAGGGCUCGGGUAGGGGAUCCCCACGGCGAUGGCGGCUCGGGGCGGCGAACACGCCGGCGAGCGCGCGUUCCGGGCUCGGGUGCGGCCUACGGCCUACGACAACUGGCGCAAAAUGAGCAGGGGAUGGAGGAGGAGCUCACCAAGGUGUUGUAGAGGGCGGGGCUACAGCGGAACAGGGAAGUCGACGACGACCGGCGGAGGAAGCGGGGCGGCGCUCGUGGGCAGGUGGAAGCAGAGAGGCUCGGGCGCCCGUGACCGCACGGAUUGGUCGGGGAACUUCCUGCGGAGGUGGAAGAGGGGUCAUGGAGGCAUGGGGCUCACCGACGACGAGCAAUUGCGGCAGCGGAUGAACUUACCCGCGGUGGAGCUCCGGGGCAAUUCGAACGGAGGAACGGCCCGAGGUCACAGAUGAAGGGCUCAGGAGCUCCGGGGUGACGAGGCGGUGCCGAUGCGCAAGCUCUCGCUGGCUGUGGUGCGGUGGAACGGCGUGCCCACGGUGGCGCAGAGGAGAGGGUGCGGCGGAGGAAAAGGGGACCGGCGGCGCUGGGGAUCCUCGGGCAACGCAAGAGCUAGGGUUAGGGUUCGGGGGGCUGCCCUUUGUACAGUGGCGGAGCCACACUGGCGUGCGGGCCCGGAGCAGGGGGGGUCGCCGGAGAUCUCGGAGGGGGGGCCGUUACGCCGGGGAAGAAAGAGGAGAGGAGGAAGAAGCGCUGACGCGUGGGGCCCGACGGUCAGAGGGAGACGGGGAAGAGCUGGAGAGGGCGAGCGCGCUCGGGCUGAGGGAGAAAGCAACGGGCCGGCUUGGCCCAUGCGGGGGAGAGGAAAAGGAGGAGGGGUUGCUGGGCCUCGGGUGCCUUCUUUCUUUCCUUCUCCUUUUCUCCUUUUGUUUUUCUAACUCACUAAUUCAAACAAACUAUUUGAAUUCAAACUACAAUUUGAAUUCAAAUCUAUAAAUUCAACACAAUUAAAACAAUGCUGCGGCAUGAAUGCACAAACACUUUAAUCCUAUGAUAUAUUUUAUUUCCUUAUAUUAUAAAUUACUUUAAAUGCCACAAAAAAUUAAGGAAAAAAAAACCUGAAAAAUUUAUUUAAGCCCAGAUAAAUUCAUUAAAAAUUAAAGAAUUUACCUCAGGGUGUUACAAGGACUUCGUGACAUGAUGCAUGAUUGGUCCAAGAGGAGAAGAUGCGUGAACGGUUCCCGAGGCACAAUAACAACAACCCGAGGCGCACAAAUGACAACUGUACUGACAAGAGCCAGUGGGACUACUCGGGUUCAUCCCGAAAGCGCAAGCCAGACGACCUCGUCGCGGCUAUGGAUCGUCCUCCGCGAGGCUGGAAGACAAUGAUGCAGGAGCAAUUCGAAAAGCUCUUGCAGAAGAAAUGCCCAUGGCAUCCAGGUGCCAAUCAUGCGGCAAUUGAUUGCUACAACCUCCGGAGGAUAUUCAGCAAUCCCAGCAAUGACAAGAAUAACAAGUCAACGGAUAAAGAGCCCGAAUAGGAUGACCAAGGGGACAAAUCGCGCAACAUGAAGUUCCAAGAUGCCUCGAAAACCAUCAACGUCAUCUUCGGAGGUGAUGAAGAGUUCAAUUUCAGGAGGGAACAGAAACUACUACUCCGAGAAAUCAUGUCCGUCGAGCCGGCGGUACCACGACCACUCCGAUGGUCGGAGGUCCCCAUCUCAUUCUCACGAGACGAUCAAUGGACCAGCUUCUCGGAGCCCGGCAAAUUCCCCCUAGUCCUGGACCCGUUGGUGGCAGAGGUCAAGCUCAACAGAGUACUCGUCAACGGCGGAAGUGGUUUCAACCUUAUCUUCGCCAGCAUGUUGAGAAAGAUGGGUUUAGACUUAAUGGACACGCUCGUCCGAAGCAAUUCUCCCUUCUACGACAUUGUCCCAGGCAACGCAGCGCAUCCACUUGGCAUGGUGAUCCUUCCAGUCACCUUCGGCAUGAGGGAGAACUACCGUAUCGAGUUCAUCAAAUUCGAAGUUGCCAACUUCGAAUCUUUAUAUCAUGCCAUACUAGGCAGGCCGGCACCGGCUAAAUUCAUGGCAGUGCCGUAGUAUGUUUAUCUACUUCUCAAGAUGCCAGGAUGAAGUGGGUACUCACUCUUCGAGGCGACUUGAAGAAGUCGUAUGACUGCAACUAGGAGGCCAUCUAGUACGCUUCGAUUACGUGUGUGCCAGAUUCUUCAGGAGAAGUACUCCCGGCCACGCAACAACUCUCCCAAGCCAGGCUGGAAAUCCCAACAAGGAAGGCAAGCCAGUCGAGCAUCCAAUCGACCGGCAACGUGGCCCUCAAGACGAUCCAGCUCCAGGAGGGCGACUCAUCUAAGACCGCUGUCAUCGGUGCAGGCUUAGGUGAGAAAUAGGAAAUUGCGCUCGUCAAUUUCCUUCAGGCUAACCGAGACAUAUUCGCAUGGAAACCAGUGGAUAUGCCAGGGGUGCCCAAGGAACUGAUCGAGCAUAGCCUAAAUGUACAUGCACAAGUUGUGCCCAAAAAGCAAUGCCUUCGCAGGUUUGCUCAAGACAAACGAGAGGCAAUCAGAAGGGAAAUAGCUAAACUCCUCGUGGCUGGCUUCAUUAAAGAAGUAAUCCAUCCAGAGUGGGUAGCUAAUCCUGUCCUUGUAAAGAAAAACAACAAUGAAUGGAGAAUGUGCUUUGACUACACCGACCUCAAUAAGCAUUGCCCAAAGGACCACUUCGGGCUACCGCGCAUCGAUGAAGUCGUCGACUCGACGGCGGGUUGUGCACUCCUCUGUUUCCUUGACUGCUAUUCGGGGUACCACCAGAUCAUGCUCAAGGAAGAAGAUCAAAUAAAGACCAUGUUUAUCACCCUGUUCCGGACAUAUGCCUACAAAGCUAUGUCUUUCGGGUUGAAAAAUGCAGGUGCAACCUAUCAACGCGCAAUUCAAUGUGCUUCGCUGAUCAGCUGCAUCGGAAUAUUGAGGCCUACAUGGAUGACGUGGUCAUCAAGACCAGGAAUCCCGAGGACCUAAUCACAGACUUGGAAGAAAUGUUCAACAGCUUACGAAAGUUCCGAUGGAAGCUCAACCCAACAAAGUGCAUAUUCGGAGUACCAUCAGGGAAAUUGCUCGGGUUCAUCAUUAGCAACCGAGGAAGCGAAGCCAAUCUUGAAAAGAUCACGGCCAUCAUUGACAUGGAGGCUCCGGCCACAAUCAAGAAUGUGCAGAAACUAACAGGAUGUAUGGCAGCCCUGAACAGGUUUAUCUCCCGACUCGGGGAGAGAGGACUACCCUUCUUCAAACUCCUGAAGCGCCAAGACAAGUUCCAGUGGACGGAACAGGCCGAGCGGGCCCUACAGGAUCUAAAACAACACCUACAGUCACCCCCGGUCCUCACAACACCAUUGCCGGGAGAAAAUCUACUACUCUAUAUUGCGGCAACAACUCAUGUCAUCAGCAGUGCCAUCGUCGUCGAGCACAGUGAGGAGGGCCAUGCAUUUGGAGUGCAGAGGCCCGUGUACUUCAUCAGCGAGGUACUCUCCGAAUCUAAGGUACGAUACUCGGCAAUUCAGAAACUUCUAUAUGCAAUACUGAUCACAUCAAGAAAGCUACGCCAUUACUUCGAUGAGUACAAGAUCACUGUAAUUGCGGAUUUUCCGUUGGUAGAUAUUCUACACAAUCAGGAUGCCACGGGAUGUAUAUCAAAGUGGGCAGUGAAACUGGGGGCUCUGUCAAUCGACUUCAAGCCACGUGCUGCAAUUAAGUCUCAAGCUCUAGUCGAUUUUAUGGCCAAAUGGAGAGAGAACCAAAUUCCAACUCCAGUCGACAAGCCAGAGCACUGGACCAUGUAUUUCGAUGGAUCUCUUAAGCUCGAUGGCGGAGUUGCUGGAGUCCUAUUUAUCUCCCCGAAAGGCAAACAACUGAAGUAUGUCCUCCAGAUCCUUUGGGAGGUAUCCAAUAAUGAAGCCGAGUAUGAAGCCUUGCUUCACGGGCUACGUUUAGCGAUAUCACUAGGCAUCAAGCGACUACUUAUAUACGGUGAUUCACUUUUGGUCAUUCAGCAAGUCAACAAAGAGUGGGACUACAACAAGGAGACAAUGGACGCCUACGUACAAGAAGUGCGCAAGCUGGAAAACAAAUUUUCCGGACUGGAGGUUUAUCACAUGAUACGUGAACACAAUGUCAGCGCAGAUAUACUAUCCAAGCUAGGAUCCACCCGUGCACAAGUCCCAGUGGGAGUUUUUGUUCAGGAGCUAAAGCAACCAUCUAUCAAGUCCUCAACUCAGAUAACCACUGAUACUGACCCUUAGAAGCCCAAUCGGGAGGUUAUGAUGCUCGGGGAGGACUGGAGAGAAACUUACAUCGACUACCAGUGGGGAUGUACGCAAAAAGCGUAGCGGCAGCUCGUGUCAUGCACAGAAGCAAAGGUUUUAUCCUAGUUGACAAUAAACUCUACCGGCGUGGCACACGAUCAGGUGUACUUAUGAAAUGCGUCAUGGGAGAAGAUGGCUAUGACAUACUGUGGGAGAUACAUGAGGGAGUAUGCGGCAACCACGUAGCUUCAAGAACGCUAUUGAGAAAGCAUACAGAGCUAGUUUUUGGUGGCCCACCGUAGUGUCAGACGCUGAAGACCUGGUGCAGAGAUGCCAAAACUGCCAAUUCUUUGGCAAGCAAUCUCAUGUUCUAGCCCACAAUCUUAUCACCAUACCGCCAUCCUGGUCGUUUGCCUGCUGGAGCCUUGAUAUGAUUGGGCCAUUUACAACGGCGCCAGGCGAUUUUACCCACACAUUGGUAGCAAUCGAUAAGUUUACAAAGUGGAUCGAGUACAAGCCGAUAACUAAGCUCACACCAGACAGAGUCGUUGAUUUCAUCUCCGACAUUUUGCAUUGCUUCGGCUUCCCGAACACCAUCACACGGAUCUGGGAUCAAACUUCAUAGCUAACCAGUUCUUGGAGUUCUGUGAAAAUGCAUGCAUCGAAGUCAAAUACGUCUCCGUUGCACACCCAAGAGCCAACGGUCAAGUUGAGAGGGCGAACGGCAUGAUAAUCGAGAGCCUCAAGAAAAGACUCUAUGAUGCAAAUAGCAAGAAAGGUGAAAAGUGGAUACACGAGUUGCCACAUGUCAUCUGGGGGCUCAGGUUUCAGCCGUCCAAAGCCACAGGACAAACACCAUUUUUUCUUGUCUACGGCUCCGAAGCAAUUUUACCGGCUGACAUCAUGUGGAAAUCCCCAAGGGUUGAAAUGUACAACGAAGGCGAGGCGGACGAAGCAAGGCAGCUAGAGCUAGACUCUGUCAAAGAGGCUCGCUGCACUGCUCUUGUUCAGUUAGCAUGAUACCUACAGGGGAUCCGAUAAUAUCACGAUCGCAACAUCAGAGAACGGUCGUUCAGUAUAGGCGAUUUGGUCCUACGCCACAUCCAAGACGAGUCAGGAUUACACAAGCUCAAUUCGAGAUGGGAAGGACUGUUCAUCGUCAAGCAGAUUACAAGACCGGGGUCUUAUCGACUACAAUACCCCAAGGGCCAAGAUGUCCCAAAUUCCUGGAAUGUACAGAACCUAUGAAAGUUUUACCCAUAAGAAGAGACGCAGUGAUAGCUGUUCUUCGAGCGCCAAGGUGGUUUCCUUCCGAUUCAAUUUGGAGGUCAUGUGCCACAGAAUUAGGAAUGCAAAUUCUCUAUUAAAAUUUGGAGGCUAUAGCCAUGUUCAAGUUUCAUAUAAAAUGACUUCUUACCAUGAGCAUAACUGUUGUUGCGAUGAUUAUCGCGUUUUUCCAAACAGGCUAGAUCCGCUCGAUCGGAUUCAAUCUAACUUGUUUGACGGGCUCACUUGAGGAGCUAUAUCAACUACUCCUAGAGUCGCUGCACUCGGGGUAGUAUUGACUACUUGCUAUGAGUAUGAUAGUCGUCACGAUGAGGAUCGCGUACUCCGAAAAGGUUAGAUCCGCUCGAUCGGAUUCAAUCUGACUUGUUUGACAGGCUUACUUGAGGAGCUAUAUCGACUACUCCCAGAGUCGCUAUACCCGGGGUAGUGUCUACUAAUUAGCCUAUGAACGUGGAUGGCAACCCAGAAAUCACAAGGCAGCGAUAGUAUAGACAGCACUGACAGAUAUAUUACAAGGAGAAGAGUACUUGUCUUUACAAUAACUCAAUUGUGUUCUAUACUCUACUAUUUUUUCAGCUACAGGCCUGGCCUCUAGAAGGUACUUGCUGAACUGCUCUUCAGAGCAGUCCGCAGCUACACCCUAUGCGAGUACCUCUAGUCGAGCCUUAGGCCAAAACGACUUUACAAAACCUAAGGCAUGGCUAACAUAUGUCGUGGAGGCCUCGGCGACGAAGCUGAGGACUUUCUGCGGAGCUCCGUGAAGUCGCUCCAGCAGGGAUCGCCCAUCUGCUGCGCCAUCUUCCAGUGGAUCCACCACUUCAACCAGCUGUCAGGCGGCCACCCUUAGGUCCUCCUGCUCUUUUCUGGCGCUGUUCCUUCUCUUUGCCCAGCAUCUUGAUCUGCUAAGGCAAUCAACGAAUUGCUUGUAAGUAUCGGCGAUCACCUUCUGCAGCUUCUCGACGUCAUCUGUAGGACGAUACAACAUAUUCUUCACGUCAGUAAGUAACUCUUCUUUAUAAGCUAAGAGUUUCUUAAGCUCUGCCGUGAAGAUAGUGUUUCAGAACACAAGACCAACUGCUAGAUAAAGUACUCGAGCCAGGAAAGGAUUUGCCUUGAUGCGCUUUUUUCUGCUCCUUGAUAUGUUCUUGGAGCUCGAAGUUGGACUUCUCAAGAUUACGGAUGUCGUUCUUGAGCAGCCAUGUUUCUCGUUUCCGCUCCUGCUUCAGCUUGUCGAGCUCUUUGCGAAGAUCGAUGUUCUUUCAGAUUUCUUCCUUGAUGCUUUGAUCCUUCGUUUGGAGCUCCCUGAGGCCACUCUCGACUGCCUUCAGCUUCUCAAAUUUUUCUUGAGAGCGUCUGGCCACAUCCUGUAUAAGGGGGAAGACUGAGAAGACAAAACAACUCAACAAAGCAUAAUGGCAAAAGAGCUGUCAUGCCUUACCAGGGUAAACGUGUACAUCUCCUUGGAGAUCUUCUGGAAAUACCUCAUGUUGUUGAUCGAGAGGAGAGGAUCAUCCAACAGAUCAUUGGUGACAAUGUUCUUGAGUCCUCUCUCAGGUAUCAAUAGAGUUCCAGAGUUGCCAGAAGUACCCGCAGCCUCUUCAGUUGAUGGCUACGGGGCACCUACAAGUCGAAAAGCGUUCAAUAAAUGAAGCCUACGACCUAAGCAGUUAGCCACAGGGGGUCAGACACUUACCUAUGCCUUCCGCAGGAGCAGCAUCGGUGGCCUCGACUUGCUCACCAAUACCAGCACCGGAUUCGAUUUGCUGGGGCUUGGGAGGUGGUGGGUCGGGCAGAGUCGCAUCCUCAUUUCCGGGUGCAGCAGUUGUGCACUUUCUGCUUCAGGUUGUCUGACUAGCGGCUCAGGGGCUGGAGUAGCCGAGAUAGGCUCUGGCUCAUCCAACCCCAAAGCAGAUGAAGUCCUAACAAAGCAGAAUCACAUAUAUAAUCAAACAAGUCAAAAGAGCAGAAGAUACAUUAUGAACAAGGAGCUGCAUUCGCAGAGAGGAUUUCUUCAUGGCGGGCUUCUUAAGCCUCAGUACCUGUGGUUUUACGACCACGGUACUCAUUACCGGUGGUGGGGUCACACCAACCGAGGGCGCGAGAUGCCCCGGCGAGGUACCCGCCACGACAAUGGUCAUGACCCCUGCAGAAGUAGUCGACGCGUCCGUCCCAGUAGUUUCUACAGAACCACCUACUGGAACAUUAUCCCCAGCAAAUGUGGUCCCGACCACCUUUCAGCGCUUGGGGUCGGGAGGAGAAGAAGAAGGACUGCAACACAGACAAAGUAAGCAUCCAACAACCACAAGACUUGAAAAUUCCACAAGACGGCGGUCCCAUACCUGGUGGAUUCGACUACGUUCGCUUUGCGCUUGUGUACCACCCGACGACCCCGAGGGACCGAUGGCAAGGCUUCUACCAACUCCACGGAUGAUCCGGGGGAGUUGUUCUUGUUUGCCUUCCCUUCAGCUGCCUGCUCCGCCAGGGGUAUCUCGCUCUCGGUUGUCUCGCCGCUGGGCAGAUCAUCAGACGAUUGAGCCCUUUUCGCUUCAGCUGCGGCGCUGGGGAGAAGGUGGUACGGUCAGGGGACAUCGGAUUGUGGUGGAUAACUCUGAUACAACGCCAUGUGUCGCUGCAGAGGAUUUUCAAGAACAACAGAAAGUAUUCCAAGUAGUUGAAAGCUUACCGGCUCUGGAGGAUUUUGUGUGGAGAAUAGCUCCGGGAUGUAGGGAACCGUGUUCACAUCCAGCAGCACCUGCUUGACCCGGAUGAGCGAGGCAUCGUCGGUCAAUUCCUCUGCGCACAUCCAAGAUAGGUCUUCAGCACCCAUGUACUCGAAGCCUAACGUAUGGUGUUGCUGGAUGGGUUGGAUUUGGUGUUUGAAAAAUAACAACAUUACAGACGUGCCGGUCACCCCCAUUUCCUUAUGGGCUGCUAUGAGAGCUAGUCGCUCAUCGACUUGGUCCAUGUCCCCCUUGGAGGGCUUGGUGUUCCACUCCGGCCGCAGGACAGGGGACUUACCCAAUCUUUCAAGGAGUUGGGGGGCAUGGUUUUUGAUGUAGAACUAAUAGUUUUUCCAUCCAGGGAUGUUAGAGGGGAAUUUGUAGGAAAGAUAUUUGUCACCGGCAUGUUGCCUAAGCUGAAUGCCGGCGCCCCCUAUAAUGGAUGGAUUUUUGGAGGUAGGUUGCGGUUUUACAUGGAAGAGAUAGCGGAGAAGAUCCCAAUGGGGUUCAAUUCUAAGGAAAGCUUCACAAAUGUGGAUGAAAAUAGAAAUGUGGCAGAUCGAGUUCGGAUUGAGAUGAUGGAGCUCAAGCCCGUAGAAAUAAAGAAGGCCACGAAAGAAGGAAUAGGUGGGGAGGGCCAAACCCCGUUCAGUGAAAUGGUAGAAUGAGAUAAUUUCAUCUAUAUUCUCCAUGGGAAGAGAUUGGCGAAAAGAAGGGCGCCAGUUGAUGAGAUCUUUCCCCUGAAGCAAACCCUCAGAAACAAGAUCCAGGAGGUCGUUAUUGGAGCACUUAGUGUAAGUCCACUCCCCGAAAGGCGGCUGCGAUUCCUUCCCCUUCCCAUCCUUCUUGUUAGAUCUCUUGGGCGCCAUUUCAGAUUUGUUUGUCACGAGCCGCUUUACUCGCAUGCGCUCGGGGGCUGCAGAGAAGGGGUGGAGAGAUUCGGCUAGCUUGGGGCUUGUCAAAGGAGGUGAAGGCGGAGCACGGAUCUGAUUGGGGACUCGGAAAUUACUUGGCGGAUUGAAGAUUGGAAGCACGGGUUUUACCCUAAGUUAUCACGGGGUUAAAUAACCAGCGGUCGCAUAUAGGUUUACUGUUCCGAAGUUGAAGAUUCGUCACAGGGAAUAUUCGGAAGAUGAGGGGUUAUUUGGUGGAUUUUUAGAUAAUUAUUAGAUUAACUAUUUUUUCAGGGUUAAUUGUCCCCAAAAAAGGGGUUUUUUGAAUUCCAAAUCUAACUUCUAUCAUUUGUACCAUCACACCAAUUAUUUCCCAAGGGAACAUUUUUUCACUGCAUGCCAUGACUAUUGGAUCCUUUUUUCCAAGCCUGAGAGAUUUGGAUUCAAGGCUCGGGGGCUGCGGGAUACAUGGCAUCGACUACUUAUUUUUCAAAUAUAUUCGAAGAGUAAGCAAGGAAGAUUCAAGACUAAUGUGACCCUCAGCUUGAUUCUUCGAUUCAACCUAAGGCUUGGGGGCUACUCCAUAUGGAGUGCGAUUUUUCAUCGCACCCCAUACCAAAGAAGUAAUUCGGAGCAUGAGCACCUCAUAGCUUCGAUAUAGCCAAGGAAGUACUCGAAGAAGAACUUCAAGACGGAGCUUCAAAAGAAGCCGAAGACUACUUCGGGAGUACUCAAGGAGCCUGCAAUACUCAGCUACGAAGAGCUCGGGGGCUUGUCAGACCCGGAACUUUGGGAUUGUGUACAUAACGUAGUUCAUACAGGAAUAGGGGAUAGGACAUGUCCUAUACCUUAUCUAUGUUGUACUCUACUCGCAUGCAAAGUAGAUCUAGUCGAUACAGAAGGAAGCUACUCAAGUUGUAGUCGAGUAAGAUUCCUAAGCUAGUGUCGGACUAGGAUUCAUGUAACCCUGCCCUCCCAGAUAUAUAAGGGCGGGCAGGGACCCUCUCAAAACACAUCAACACCUAAGGCAAUACAAACCAACAAAUAGGACGUAGGGUACUACGCACAUCGCGGCCCGAACCUGUCUAAACCUCAUGUUGCUUGCACCUUCGAGUUCCUGAUCUCGGCGACACCCUACCUAAAACUCACCACCUCAGGUAUACCCCUCGGUAGGCAGACAGUAAAACACCGACAUAUACUAAUACUCAACAAGGCUUACCUGACUAGUGGAAUAUACUUAGCCGACACCUAGACAAGCAAGGCUUUUGUCUUGAGGGGUUUGUUUUGCCGAAAAGCAACUAAGAGUAAGUCCUUGCUUUCAAGUUUUAGCUUAAAAACUUCUAGUUCAAUUAACCAUUCUAAGUGAGCAUCUAUCCAACAUCACACAUGGUGGAAAGAAUUAAUUUUGCAUCCAACCAUAUUCAUCAUCAUUGUUCUACUUCUUACUCUAUGUGGCAGAAGUAUUAAGCAGUCUCAAUGGCUGCGAGAAAUGGACAAUUCGAAUCGAAUUUCUUAACCUUGCAAGGGAAACCUAACACACACGUCUGGAGCACCGAAGGGUCACCCCAAGCAACCUUUUGCCUUUCUUUCCGGGUCAUGGAUCAGGGUCACCCCCCGCAACUAUAGAGCCCAGCUCUGCACCCAGUGCAUGUCAAACAAAUACAGGGGGUGCAAGUAAAGUCCACUUGCCGGGCUGAUCAGUCACUGAGCUUACCGAUUACCAUAUGCUGGGCAUGUGGUUAGUACAUUCAAAUGCUUAACCGCCGGUCGACCGUAUGAUUCCGACAUAAAGUAAAAAAGCAACUCCUAUUUCUCGCAAGUGACAGGCAAUCACUCGACUUUUACCGAACCUAUUAGCAUGGCAACUAUCAUACCUUUCAACUAGUAUUCAUAGCAUGGGUACCUAAGAUCAUGCAUCUAAGGUUUCAUUCAACUCCUAUAACUUAAUGCACAAAUAAAUAAUAGAACACAUUGAAUAACUUUGAAAUAUGGGUUAUGCUCUGGGGCUUGCCUUUCUAGGCAAAGUUAGCCUUGAGCUUUUCUGAAUGUUGGUUCGGGUCUUCGGCGGCUUUAGUUAGAAUAGCUUGAGCUUCUUGCUGCUCCUUUACGGACUCGGGCAUCAGCUCGUACGUUCCGUUAGCGAGAGUAGUCGAAUCUAUAUGAAAUGCACAUGUAUGAUUUAUUGGGAUGGUAAAGAUUUAAUAACUUCACGAUAAAGUUGCAUCCAACAGAACUCAACUUUUUUUGUGAAGCACAUAUUUUACAAAUGCUUGGGAAAUUAUUUAUAGAGUACAAGUUAAGGUAAUUAACUUCAUUAAGUAAGUGGGGUUUUUAUUAUUUCAAAAGUGCUGUUUUUCAAGAUUAAACAUGGAUUAUUCAUAACUGCUGUUUAAGAUAGUUUUUGUGUUGAGAUUUUUAUGUAGAGUACUUUACUUAGAAACAAACUUACUGUAAAAUUUUCAGAUAUUUUCAUUUAGCAUAUUAAUCAUGAAAAAUAUAUUAAACAGCUACUUCUAGAAUCAAGAUCUAUUUAUACGGAACAAACCAUGCAUGAACUGAUGCUCAAUAUUUGACUGAGUACUCCUAAACUUAUGGUGAGCCUACUGUAAAUUUUUCAGAUUUUAGUGUGCAAGAUUCAGAGCAUAGAAAAUAAGUCAAGAUACAUCUAUAUUAAUCAAGAUUUAUUUAUACCAGUUGUUCCACAAGGUUCAUGUAUCUCAAAAUUUUCGAACAUGAUAAUCUACUCAAAGAUAGUUUCUGAUUAAAAUUUCAUAUUUUUCUAAGCGACAGAACUAGUUACUUUGAUUUAAUAUAGUUUUUAUUAACUAAAAACAUAUGAGCAUGUUCAAAUGAAGUAAAAGGUUCCAAACUUUGUCCAAAGCUUUUAUGCAUCAAAGUUACUCUACUGUAAAACUUUCAACUGCAAAAUAUCAGUAAAAUAGCAUGAACCAAACAACUCUAGCAAAAUAGCACAUCAAACAAGAUUCAACAAAAAUAUUCGUAGGGAUAGGUUCUAGCCUUGAGAUCUUUACACAUGUCUUAACAAGUAGAGACUAGCUUAUAGUCCAAAAAUCAUUCCCAGUACAAUCCUAGAUCAAUAGAUACAUUUAUGAGCUAUUUAAAACAAGAUUAAUUUUAGACCAUGUUUUUGUUUGUAACUAGUCAUCCAUCUAUACAAAAGUUGUCAGGUUCAUCAAGAGGGUCACAACAAAUUUUAGUUUGUAUUUUUCUAAUUUUUCUAGGAUUUUAGAUUGAUUUUACAAGUGACAGCCUCUUGAAACAAAAAGUACUAGGGUUCUCGAAGAUUGGUCCCUAGAUCUAGCAGAAAGGAUCCUAACAAGAACUUGGCGAUUACAAUGUAGUUCCUAGGCGGGGCUGGGCUAUUUUUUGGCCAAAAUCCAGCGAGAAAACUAGUCGGCGGCGAGGAGAAAGGUGGGGGAAAUGGAGAGGGGGCCGGGGCGCACCGAUUUGUGGCAUUGGCGGGGCUCGGGACGGCCAGAGCAGGGUCCUCUAUGGUGGACAACAGGUGGCGGUGGUUGGUUGCAGUGCUGGUACUGUUCUGGCGGGGUAGGACUGGCGUGGCUGGGCUUGGAAGCUCCGGUGGGAGGUGGGGAAGCUCGCUGGAGGGUCAGUUUGGGCGGAGGGAGGUCGGGGGUGGGAGCUCCACGAUGAACUCGAGCUUGCAAGCGGCAAUGGUGGGCUGUUUGGGUGUGUGUGCAGGAAGGGGCUCGGCUGCCCCUUUUAUAGGUAGGGUGAGGGAAGGACAAAAGAGCUGGGCAGCUGGCGCUGCCUUAAGAGCGAAGGGAAGGGCCGGUCGGGCGGAGGGGACGCGCGGCAGCGGCUCGGUCGGCCGGUGGUCCUUGUGGCAUGCGAUUGGGGGCAGUCUGCUGCGUGGCCAGUGCAAACUAGGGAGGGGAGGAUUCGAGGAUCGAGCGGUCGAGCUAGGUGAGGCCAAGUGGUGCUGCAGUCAUGCGACAGGGAGGCAGGGGGCUGAGGAGGAGAGAGGAAGGAGAAAGUGAUGGGACUUAAGCGCAAGAAGCAAAAAUAGCAGGAACUGGGUGAAAAAAGGUGCUAAAACUCAUUCUUCGUCAGGUCAAAUCAAAAAUAUUUGAAUACCAUUUUUGCUCAACUUUUCAAGAUAUACAUUUUCUCUUUAAUGACUAUGUUCAUUUGAGCAAUGUAUAAAAAGUUAAUUUGAAUUUCCAAAAACUAGUAUUUAAAUGACAUGUCAUUUCAUGUGAAUUUUUGCACUUUUAGCCCUUGAGUUCAACUAGACUUUUGUUGCUCUUGUUAUGACAGAUGUGCCAUUAAAUUUUUAGGGUCAUUUGUGAUCAACUUUGAAAGUUACAAGGGUUUAUUUGCAAGAGUUCACAUGUAUAUGCAUAUAUACAUAUACACAUAUUCAUUUGCUUGAAAGGUAGAUUUUGACAGGUUGUUUUAUACUUUUCUUGCUCUUUUAUGCCUGCUUUCAUAUUAUGGAUCUUUAUUUAGCCUUAUAGACACCCAGGGUGUUACACAAUUCAAGGUGGUAAUUUCCAACCCGAGCACAUACAAUGUGAAGUGUCUCUCCCCUGGAUGUCCAUAGCGGGUUCACGACUUUCUGUCGAAGGGGGAGAGUGUGGCUUCGAUUGUUUUUGGGCACUCUUGCAAGCUUACUGGAAUGGAUGUCAAGCACAAGAGUUACGUAUGUGCUAUAUCUAAUAGAUACAAAUAUGAAAUAUCAUAUAAUAUGGCAUGGUGAGCGAAGUAGAAGGCAGUGGAGUGGAGGUUUGGGAUGUAUAAGUAUUCCUUCCACCCACCUUCCACACCACCUCGAAUUUCUGCAAAGUUGGAACCCGGGAACUAUAAUUGAUAUUGAUGACUAUCAGGAUGCAAAUGGUGACAGGGUCCUUCAACGGUCACGAAUAAAUCCGUAAGCGCACGGAAUACCAUUGUAGCUUUCACCCAGGGGUAUUCUAGGGGAUCGUAUCCAUUGAUGAACGUGUGUACACUCUCUUAGGUUCAGGUUCAUCCAAGGACACCACAUUGAUUGGGGGGAAAGAGGAGAGGAUUCCUAAGGCUAAGAACCAAAGGUAAGGUAGGACUAUCCUUGUUGUUUACUUCAGGCUACUUGCUCCAUCUGGAUAAAACCAAGAUGCCCCAGUAAUAUGGCACUUGGAUAUAUCCGAACGGGGAGGGUUACGUUGAGUAAACAAGGCUAUCACCACCUGUCACCUCCUCAUCAAGCCGUGGGAUAUACCACAACCAACAGGUAAAGUCUAGCCUAGACACCACAUCUACGCUGUCGUCUACUAACUCUAGCCUUGGCCAAGAACAUCUGUCUCUGUCAGGAGUCUUAAAGUAGAGCACCCACUAAACUAGUGAACUAUCGAUCCCGUAAACAACUAAAGAGCUAGAACUAGUACUUACUUAUGAAACUAAAGCACUAAGGAAGUCACGAACACUUACUUUGAUUGAUAAGCAUCCAUCGAGGUACAAGCUGGAGGAGAGUGCCGACAACCUCGGUACUUCCCCGACUUCCCCUCACUCUCCUCCUAUCUUCUAACACCGCCUAGGUAGUGCUACACCUCUAGAGAGAGCCUAAAGCUCAGAAUGGGAGAGGAGGCUUGCAAAGUUGCAAGUGUGAAAUGUGUCCCUAUUCGUACCCCCUCUGCUCAUAUUUAUAGAUGUGGCACCAAGGGUGUACAGCCGGGGAAAUAGUUGAAGACUCCAAGAACCGCCAUUGGGAGCCAAUGAGGGAGCUCCACGUGGCAGAGGUAAGUUGGUGGUGCCUGAUCUGGUUCCGCCGAACCACCUGGUUCGGCCGAACCAGGUUGGGCACCAACCGACUUAAGCUUUCGACAGGUGGCUGGCAGGUGGGCCCUCUGGUCCCUAGUAAGUGAUUUAGCUCUUCCUUGGGUCGGUUUCCUAUGCUGGUGGACCCUUCUAUCCGUGUGAGCCUGAACGAUGCAUUCUGAUUGGUUGGUGCUGCUUAGCCUUGGAUCAUGCUUGCUCUUUUCCUGCAAUUUUAGCUCAAAUGCAACUGCAUAAAUAUUUGGACCAGCACUUGUGGAAUUCGUUAGAUAAACCACCCUAUAGUAGUGUUGGCAUGUGAUUUUGUUAUUCUUUUAUGCAGGAUUUGACGGUCAAAAUUGAGCUGUAACGAGCGUCAAUAAAAUCGCCCAUACUUAGUCCUUUGCUCAUCCUCGAGUGAAGGCAUAGAACUAAGGCGGCAUGACUGACGUGCUAAAGUGUCUACCAUGAUGUCUCAGGUGGUUGAGUGAUGGAACGGCCUUGAUCCAAGUGUCCCAUCUUGUUCAGCUGCUGAUUUGGGGUUUUGAAAUAGUUUUUUUGAAAAAAAUGUAUCCAUGGUCUUACCCCUUCUUGAUGAUGUCUCUCAUCCACUCAUUUGCAUGUACCUUACCAAAGAUGUACCCCUUAUUCCGUCUCUUAUGCAAGGCUGAAGUGGAGCUCGGUGGGGAAUGUGUGGUACGUACUUGUGAUACAUCUGUUGCAAAAUCAAAGGUUGGAUCCAUAGAGAUAAUACAUCAUACAAGUAGAUCAAGAUUGUGCAUGUGUGAUCGAGGACUCCUUUUGAGCGGCCUUCCCUUCCCCCUUGUAAGAACUUCAUGAGAGCAUGGAUAUCUUUUUUUUUCAUAUAUGGGCCUUCAUGUGCCCAUUUUUUCUCUUUUUUUCGAUAGCUCAUGCCUCCUUUGUGUCACUUUUGGGGAGAGGAAAAAAUAGCUUUGUUGAGUGUUUAUGUCGGGUGACAUGGAAGCUAACUUCAAGUGCAGAAGUUGCUUGUGUACGUGAUCUUGAUCAAACGAAUACGAAGCAUAUCUCAACAGGGUCACAACAUUUGAUAAAGCUCAAUGUAUCGACAAGUCGCAUAUGUAAGAGAUGUGGGUAGUGUGAUCAACAUAUGGCUUUGGUAGGAUGGGUGCAAGGGAACGUAAGCCAUUGAAUAUUUUUCUUUGAAAUAAAAAUUCCCAAAUCAAACAAGACAAACGGGUAGAGAUGCUUGUAUCAAGCCAUAUCGCAUUAAUCAACAACUUGAUCAUCAUGGGUUCCCUAAGAAUUUUGUUCACACAUCCAGGAUUUGUGAAGAAUAAAACUUAUUCAUGAAUCAGCAAAUCAAGCACUCCAACUUUUGAUUGAGUUUAAUCUUUUUUAGAUUGAUCAUUAAGAACAUGAUUAAACUCAGGGAUCAAGGAGAAAAUGAGUGAGGGCAUGCAAACCGAGGAAUUGGAGUGAGGAGAGGUCGAGUGGGCCUAGCCAUGGGUCGGCCGAAGCCGAACCAGGGGUUCGGCCGAACCAAGCAGGUGCCUGUUUGGUCUCAUCCUGCGCGUGUCAGUUCAUCCUGCAUUGCACGUAAAAUGUAGGGGUAUUCUUAGUGUAAGUUCAUCAUGAUCUUGCGAGAAUCUCCCCCACAUUUGUCAUCGAUCCUGUCUCAUUAAAUCAAAGCAAACAAAAAAGUAAAAUCGAAGGGGGCUCUGCCGGCAUUAACACCGGGGAGCCAAAGUCUUAUUCAAACCAAAUUAUGAGGCGCUUACAACGAUGGAAAUAAACGAAGUAAAGCAAAAAAUGGAAACAAAUCUAACCUAGUGCCCAACAAACUAAACUAAACAAGAUCCUCGGAUGAACUGUCAUCUGAGUCACUCCUCCCCCUACAGCCUUAGCCAAAUGAUCCAUCCUAUCGUUCAAGUUGCCGUGGGAUGUGCCGAGGUCCUCAUAGAUAUCGUUGAGCACCGAUCUCUGCUCUUGCAGGGAGAGGCUUAUCUUCUUGUUCUCCAACUGUAGACUCCUCAUUAAGAAGAUAAGUUCCUCCUUGGAGUACACCUUCGGGGAGUCAGCUGGCCCUUUGCUCUUGUCUCCUUCCUUGGCCGGUGGACGUACUCCCCAGAUCUUGAGGCAUGGCAUUGGUGGAGGAUCAUCAGGGGAUAUCUUUUCUCUCCUGUAGUUAUGGAAGAUGACAUUACUCAACAAGGAUCCCACAUACUCUUCAUCGGGCUUCAGUCUUGGUCCAGGGGCAUUAUCAUUUUGAAAAAGCUUGACCGUGACCAUCUCGAGAACUCCCUGGAGCGUCUUCUGCAUGGUUUCUGAGCCCGUGCCUCUAUCUUUUGGCUCCCUUGUGGCGAGGAUGGUGGUGUACUAGAAUGAGGGGCUGAGCGGCCCCAUCUCUGGUUGGGCCGAACCAGAGGGUCGGCCGAUCGAGAGGCGGCGCCUCUUGGCCUCCUGUUCCUUGUAGCGCUAGGUGGCAGCGUGGAAGGGGCUAUGGUGGGCGAGAGGGCCUCCUCCAUGAGGGUUUGAGGAGAAUUUGGGCUAUUUGCCAUCGUAGGUGCUUUGAUGGUUUGCUUGUCAUUGACGAAGGGCAUGAUCUCCUUUCGACCAUGGAGGUGCAGAAUGUGAAGAGGGUUUUGGUGGUCGUGGAGGUGUAGGAGUAGAUGGGAAAGAUGAGGAAGAAGAAGGGUUAUGGAUGGUUCAAAGGGAAUGUGGUUAAACCCUAAUUCUUCUACCAAAAACCUUAGUGGCAGCCAUAGAUGAGUUGAGUACGAGAUAGAGUCCAGGACUGCUAAGGCUGGGCUGCUGGGAUGCCUGCUCUAGUUCGGCCGAACUGGGCUAGGCCCUGCUAGCCUGAGGUCUUUUCUGGGUAGCACAAGGAGAGUUCCAGAAGGUAUAUACAGGUGGCUUACUGUUGGUCUUGGCGUGUAAAGCCUCUAAUCAAGCAUAUUUUCGUGAUCGACUAUCUCGAUCACCUCUAUAACCUCAUUAAUGACUUUAUCAUGCUCUAGGAAGAGUUCCAAGCGAUGACCAUUUACCUUAUGAAGGUUACCUUCUUCAUCCUAGAUCAUGAUAGCCCCAUUAAUUGAGGUGUCGAUGAUGAGGUACGGUCCUAACCACUUGCUCCGUAGCUUCCCGUGACCAAAUAGCUUCACCCUAGAAUUGAAAAGCAAUACCAUAUCUCCUGGGUUGAAGACCUUUGGUUUCAGCCUUUUGUCGUGCCAUCUCUUUGUUCUCACUUUUUUUAUCGAGGCACUAUGAUAGGCUUUGUCUCUCCAUUCCUCCAGUUCUGAGAUCUGCAACUUUCUAUGCUCUCCGGCUUGAUUGAGAUUCAUGUUCCAUCUCCGGAUAGCCUAGUGUGCUCUAUGCUCCAACUCGAUGAGUAGAUGACAUGUUUUCCCGUAGACGAGUUGAUAGGGUGACAUGCCAAUGGGUGCUUUGUACGCUGUACGGUAUGCCCAUAAAGCAUCUAUUAGUUUUGGCCUCCAUGCCUUACCCAUCUCAUUGACGGUCUAUUGUAGAAUGUUCUUGAUUUGCUUGUUAGAUGUUUCUGCCUGACCACUUGUCUGAGGAUGAUAAGGGGUAGCCAUGUUGUGCAUGGUCCCUAGUUCCUUGAGGAAGUUUUUGAAGGCCGUGUCAAUGAAAUGAGAACCUCCAUCACUAAUCACCAUCCUCAGUGUUCCAAACCUUGUAAAGAUCACCUCUUGGAACAUCUUUCGGGCAUGCUUAGCAUCGGCUGCCCUGCAUGGCAUGGCUUCCACUUAUUUGGAGACAUAAUCCCUUGUGACCAAGAUAUACUCGCAGUUAAGAGACUUUGGAAAAGGUCCCAUAUAGUUGAUGCCCCAUACAUCAAAGAGUUCCACUUGAAGAUUGUAUGUUAGAGGCAUGGCAUUGCAAGCUGAGAUCCCUCCAUGCUUCUGGCAAUUAUGACACCUUUGAAUGAAAUCCUUGGUGUCUUCAUACAUAGUGGGCCAAUAGAAACCACUCUGCCAGAUUUUUUCUUGUGUGCACAAUACACCAUAGUCUCCUCCCUAUGGUGCUGCAUGGCACUUCUCAAUGAUCUUGAUCCCUUCUGGCGUAGGAACACAUCUUCUCAAUAAUAUGUUUGCCCAUACUCUAUAUAAAUACAGCUCAUCCCAUAGAUGGCGUCUACUCUCGUACGUACCCUGAAACCAUGAAAUUCACAAUAUUCACAUACCAGGUGUUUGCCGUCAUCACCUUGAGGAGCAUGUCAUCUCGAAGGAAGUCCUUAUUGGCAGUUCCUGCGUGUUAGUGAUAUUCAUGUGUGAUAAAUGAUCUGCUAUAGAAUUUUCUACUCCCUUCUUAUCUUUGAUUUCCAAGUCAAACUCUUGGAGUAGAAGGAUCCAUCUUAUGAACCUUGGUUUAGCAUCUUUCUUAGUGAGGAGGUACUUUGGAGCUGCGUGGUCAGUGUAGACAAUGGCCUUUGCCACCACCAAGUAAGAUCUAAACUUAUCUAUAGCAAAGAUGACUGCCAGGAGCUCUUUUUCUGUUGUGGCAUAAUUAAGUUGAGCUCCUAUUAGUGUCUUGCUAGCAUAGGCGAUCACGUGAUGCUUUUGUUCCUUAUUUUUCCCGAGUACGGCACCCACCGCAUAAUCACUAGCAUCACACAUGAUCUCAAAAGGGAGCUUCCAAUCUAGAGGUUUGGAUGAUUGGAGCUGAGAUGAGUGCCUCUUUGGAAGUGCUAAAGGCUUUUAGGCACUCAUCAUCAAAAUGGAAAGGGACAUCCUUAGCUAGUAACCUCAUAAGAGGUCUAGCAAUAUUAGAGAAGUUACCGAUGAAGCACCAGUAGAACCCUGCAUGGCCUAGGAAGCUUCGGAUCCCUUUCACAUUGGUGGGCGGCAGUAGUUGUUCGAUGACCUCAAUCUUCGCCUUGUCCACCUCUAUUCCUCUCUCGGAAACUAAGCGUCCGAGAACGAUGCCCUCUAGGACCAUGAAGUGGAACUUCUCCUAGUUCAGCACCAUGUUCUUUUCUUGGCAUCUCUACAAGACCUUGUCCAAAUUUCUAAGGCAAUGAUCGAAGGUCUUACCAUAAACCGAAAUUUCUAAGGCAAUGAUCGAAGGUCUUACCAUAAACCGAGAAGUCAUCCAUGAAGACCUCGACAAUAUCUUUGAUCAUGUCCGAGAAGAUGGACAUCAUGCACCUUUGGAAUGAUGCGGGUGCAUUGCACAACUAGAAUGACAUUCUUCGGUAAGCGUAGGUUCCAUAGGGGCAUGUGAAGGUUGUCUUGCUUUGAUCAUCAGGUUGGAUAGGAAUCUGAUGGUAACCAGAAUAGCCAUCAAGGAAACAAAAGAAAGAGUGCUUUGCUAACCAUUUCAACAUCCCAUCGAUGAAGGGUAGCAGGAAGUGGUCCUUCUAUGUGGCCUUGUUGAUCUUUCUAUAGUCAAUGCACAUCCUUCAUCCUGUGAUGGUGUGGUACGGAAUUAGCUCAAUGUUGCUAUAUUCCACAACCAUCAUACCUUCUUUCUUGGGCACUACCUGCACAAGACUUAAUAAAGCAAGCGUGAGUACACUUAUAGUUGGUACUUAGUAAGUGGAGUAAAUUAUACGACAUGCAAGGCCAAAAUCAAGGAUAAGCUGGCAUGGUUUGACUGCGAUAAGCAUUUUUAGUUGAUCAAGUUUUAUUUAGCAAGAAUUAGCUAAAUGUAAGUAUAUACCAACCCUUAAAUAAAUAAAAGAAUUAAGAUAACAACAAUAAAUAAAGAACAUCAAUUUAGAUCAUCUUCAAGUUCAAUUAUCAUGUGAGGGUCCAAGCUGCUCUUAACCUCGGGUGAUAUAUCAGUUUUCACUCUGCAGAGGUUGUACACUUUACCGUGUUUCCCUUAAUGCCCAGGUUUGUAAGGCCCUUAAACACUUCCGAGGUGAGUGGCAGGGAUUCAGUACGAGGCCUUUACAAAGAUUCGCUAAGGUUUCAAGUCAAAGCGGUCAUAACUCUCCCUAAUGAGGUAGAUGCCUUAACCAGAAUCAUAUCACACCCUCAAGAGGACUGAGCUAUACCCUGACGAUGCAACCCCUCUUGCCCUUUAGGUAGGAUUGGCAUAAGCUAAAGUUUCUAAUUAAUUAGCCAAGACUAGAGCCAUGUAGUAUUGUGGUUGCACUGUUUUCCUGGGUGGUUCUCCAUGUUCCAAUUAAUGCAAUGAUCUUAAUUAUCACCAUAAAGUAUUCCUGAACAUGAAGUUAAACAAGUACAGCAUAAUUUCUAGGUUAUUCAACCAAAAUCUAAGUAAAAGCAACUAGCGUAGCUACAGCAUAAAUAUAUUAAUCUAGGUUUAAUCAAGGAAGUUCAAAAGAAACUAGGCAUAUCCUUAGUUUGGGAUCCAUCAUAUUCUAGACACAUGCAUGCAUAUAAAGUAAAUGUAUGUAUUUAUAAUGUUAUUGGGAUUGAAGUAUGAUAAAGGAUCACUUGCCUUUGUCAAUGAACCACUGCUGCUCGGGAACAUCAUCAAAGCUUGGCUCUUGCGGACCCUCAAACUGCGCACCGUCUAUCGUAACACACAAGUACAUACAAACUGUCACACCCGAUUUAUAAGAACAUAAAUCGAGCAAUCAUAUAUGCGCCAGGAUCAAGUCACGCAUAUAUACAACAGAAUCAUCAAGAUAUCACAACACGUAUCUCAAAAUAAAAAUGUAUAAAUUAUAAAUGAAUAUCUUUAUUACAACUGAAUCAAGAAUCAGUUCAAGGAAUGCGAAAGCGUAAACUAAAUACAUGAAGAACAGGGCGCCACAGGGACGUCGGCUGGGAGACAACGCCUAGAAAUCAUCGAGUCCGUUGAUGUAGUUCUCCACGUCGCCGGGUACUGAGCAGCAGUCGAAGAUAUCCCAAAGGGAACAGAAGAGUACAAAAGGCAAGUGUGAGUACACAACUUGUACUCAACAAGUAUAACAAGAAUUAUGAGGCUCUAGGGUUAGCUGACUCAACUGCAUUAGCUUUUAAUCUUGGCAAAUUUUAUUAAAACUAAUUACUACAAGUGAAUGAAUUAACAUAAACCCGAAUUGCAUAAGAAAUUAAUCAAUAUUAAUUAAGAACUACUGAGAACCAUCCAAACCACCAAGAUAACCCCACUAAUCAGACGGAGGAUCUGGGCCGCUCAUGACUGUGAGCACAGCUGAUAUAUCAGUUUUACACUCUCGAGAGGUUGCACAACUUUACCCACAAGUCGUGAGCUAUGCUAGUUGUUCAUCACACUUCCUUAGGUGAGAUGACUAGCAAGCGCACUACGAGACCGUUACAAAGGAUCACGUUAGUAAGGUGUAACCGCUAAGGUUUCUGGAUCAGCGACGAUGGGGCCCACCUCCGGGGGUACAAGACACACAGCACAGACCAAGCCGGAGGAGCAGGGACCAUUGAAGCUUACCACCCCUCUUGCCCCGCAGGUAAGUUACUCCCAAACCAAAAUGACCUAAUUAGUAAGUCAAGACUGUCCCAUUCCAAUCUUGUGGUUGCGCAGUUUUCCCAGGUUGUAGCUCUAUGCAUCGGUCCUUAGGGAGAGUGGCCAACCAAGCACUAAGCACCGUGCUGGCCCCCUAACCAUGUUCUAACAAAAACAUAUUUUAAGGAGACGUGAGCCGCUCAAGCACACAGCACAGAGGGCCACUCUCAGAAUUAAGUUGCAUAUAACCAUUAAUCAAGUUAAUUAAAAAGGACCUAGGUGUGUGAGAGUGCAGCACCUAGCACAACUAACCAAAAUGCAACCCAAAGAUAUAUAUAUAAAAGGAUAAAGGUGGUUAGGAAAUCCUUAUAGGCAUACAGAAUUAAAAUGCAAUAUGAAAUUGUAUUUAAAAAUGAUAGGAUAUUCAUGUUAUACUUGCCUUCCUCGUACUCUCCCGGCUGCUGCUCGAACUGCUCGGAAGAUGGCUGCUCCUGGUACUGCUCCGAAGGCUCGACGUCUACUCGCGUUCAUCAAGCAUGGUCCACACAUACACACAUGCACAACAAUAGCAAACUAUAAGAAAACAGUACACAAAUACAAUAGAAUAGCACACAAAACUAGCCUAGAACUAUUCUACGCAUUACAACGAUCACGUGAGCGCAAGAAUCACCUAAAACAGAGCUAAGACGCGAAUUCUAGGGCUAAAACAAGGUCCAGGGGCCUUUCUGUAAGAAAACAGGAAAACCAGGGGGUUCUGCACAAAAACCAGGGGCCUAAAUGUAAUUAAAGGUUAGAUCUGAGGUCUAACCCGUGAAAACACAGGGCUUGGACGGCGGGCACUAAAACCAGAAAACUCAGGGGCCUAAAAGAAUAAAAUAGGACCUCUCUGCGAAUAGUUUUGAACUAAUGGUGUACUGCGGGUUGAUUCUCGGAAAGCGCAGGGGCUCUUUAGCAAAACUGGCAGGCCGAACCGGUACGCGCUGUUCUGGGCCACUGAAUCUAAUCUCUACGGCCCAGAAUCCAUGCAGGCGCCAGCGGCGGCGGGACUCACCGGAGACUAAGCUCCGCGGCGGUGCGCGGCUCGGCUCGCCGGAGCUCGGCGUUCCCGCCGCUCCAGUGGGCCAUUCUUCACGACUCCAGGCUGGAAGGCAUCACCAUGGCCUAGGAAACACAUCUAGGGGAAACAGAAGCGGCCAAAACUACUCUAGCGACGAUACGACGGUGAGGGGUGGCUCGGGGCGGCGGACUCCCCGGCGAGCGGUGUUCCAGGCGCUACGGGCAGCCUUCUACCACGACAUCUGGCGCAACAGGACCAGGGAAAGGAGGAGGGGCUCACCAAGGGGUUGUGGAGGCCGGAGCUGCGACGGACGGUGGAAGCCGAUGACGACAGGCGGCGAAUAAGAUCGGGUGCUCGCGGUCCGACGAUUACAGGCAGACUCCGGGGCUCUGAUCACCCUGGGUCGCCUCGGGAAGCUCCUGCGCAGGUGACCAAGGGGUUAAGAGGGCCCGGGACGCAACGACGGCGAAGAAUUGAGGCGGGGGAGCAGAUCACCGACGGCAGUGGCGUGGCUCGAUUCCGGUGAUGCUGGGGUCUAGAGCUCCAAUGCACGGCUCGGGAGGCUUCUAGGGGUGAGGUGGAGCUCUUGCGGGGGCUGUGGUGGCCCUAGGGUGGCGGAGCGGCCUGACCACGGUGAGGCCGAGGUGACCGGAGCGGAGGAAGAAAGGGGCGGCGGUGCUGGAGGUCUUCGGGCGAUGCAGGGCUAGGGUUAGGGUCCUGGGGCUCCGGAGUCUCCUUUUGUAGGGCGGCGGGCUACCUUGGCGUGCGGGCCUGGGAGAGAGUAGAUCGCCGGGGAUCUCGGGACCAGUUGAAGCUCGGGGAGGAAGAACAGGAAAGGGGGGAGGAAGGUGCUGACACGUGGGGCCGCUGAGUCAGAGAGAGUGCGGCGCUCGGGCGGGGGCUGGGCUGACUGCUGGCCGAGCCGGCCCAUGCGGGAAAGGAUAGAAAGGGGAGAGUUGGGCCGCGUGGAGAGGAGAGGGGAGGGAAAAGAGGGCCGGGCUGAGAGGAGUUUUGGGCUGCCCUUUCCCUUUUCUUUCCUUUUCUUCUUUCCUUUUUCUUUCCUACACUCAAACUAUUCAAACAAUUCUAUUUGAAUUCAAAUAAUUUCAAAUUCAAACCCUAUAAACUCAACACAAGGAAAACAAUGCUCCAGCAUGAAUGCACAAACAAGUUGAUCCUAUAAUAAAUUUUAUUUUCCUGCGUUAUAAAAUUACUUUAAAUGCAAGCUAAAUUAGGGAAAACCCUGGAAAUUUUAUUUGAGCCAAAAUAAAUUCAUUAAAAUUAGGGAAAAUUACAUUAGGGUGUUACAAACCUACCCCCCUUACCGGAAUCUCGUCCCGAGAUUCAGUUAGGCUAGCUAGCAAAAAGAUUGGGGUAUGUCUUCCUCAGCUCAUCCUCUCGCUCCCAGGUAGCCUCCUCCUCGGUGUGAUGACUCCACUGAAAACGGCACAUCUUGAUCUUCUUGUUCCUAGUAACUCUGUCAGACGUCUCCAGAAUCUUCACUGGAUGCUCGGUGUAGGUCAGAUCCUCCUGUACUUCCAACCCUUCCAAUGGUGCUUGCUCUUCCGGCACUCUCAGGCACUUCUUUAGCUGGGAUACAUGAAACACAUCGUGCACUCCUGAGAGGUUGGGAGGCAACUCCAAGCGGUAUGCCACCUCACCUUUCCGUUCCAACACCUUGAAUGGACCAAUGUAUCGAGGGGCUAGCUUCCCUCUCACAUUAAACCUGCGAAUUCCCCUCAUCGGCGAGACCUUCAGAUACACAUGAUCACCCACUGCAAAGGUUAGAUCUCGGCGACGAACAUCCACGUAGCUCUUCUGACGAGUCUGUGCGACCCUCAGAUUCUCUCGCACCUGCUGUACCAGCUGUUCUGCUUCCUCAACAAUAUCCAGACCAAAUACCUGCCUCUCGCCAAUCUGAUCCCAAUACAACGGAGUCCUGCACUUCCGACCAUACAGGGCCUCGAAAGGAGAUUUCUUCAGACUGGCCUGAUAGCUGUUGUUGUAGGAAAACUCUGCAUACGGCAGGCAUUUAUCCUAGCUGGUACCGUACUGAAUAGCGCAGGCUCGAAGCAUAUCCUCCAACACUUGGUUGGUUCUCUCUGUCUGCUCAUCUGUCUGAGGAUGAUAAGCGGUACUGAAGCGUAGCUUCGUAUCCAGCGAAUCAUGCAACUGCUCCCAGAACCAUGAAGUGAACUAAGAUCCUCGGUCAAAUAUGAUCUUCUUCGGAACACCAUGUAGACAGACAAUCCUGGAGAUGUACAACUCUGCGAGUCUAGCGCCGAAGUAAGUAGUGUUCACCGGAAUGAAGUGAGCAACCUUCGUCAACCGAUCCACUACUACCCAUAUGGAGUUGUACCCUUUCUGGGUACGAGGCAAUCCCACAAUGAAAUCCAUAGUGAUCUCUUCCCAUUUCCACUCUGGAAUCUUCAAUGGCUGCAAUAGGCCUGCUGGUCUCUGAUACUCUGCCUUGACACGCAGACAAGUGUCAUAGAUAGCCACGAACUCCGCAACGGAAUGCUUCAUUCCGUACCACCAGAAUCGUUCCUUGAGGUCAUAAUACAUCUUCGUGCUGCCUGGAUGAAUGGAAUACGCCGUAUCAUGAGCCUCGCUCAAGAUCAGCUUCCUGAGAUCCGCUACAUCUGGCACACAUAUCCGAUCCUUGUACCACAAGGUACCCUGAUCAUCUUCUCUGAAAUGAGGUGCCUUGCCAACCUUGAGAAGUUCACGGAUCUCCUGCAGCUUCUUAUCAUCUUUCUGAUGCUGCCUGAUCUCCGCCUCUAGAGUGGGUUCUGCCUCGAAUGAUGCACUCGAGGUGUGAUGCAAGAAACCCAGACUCAGCUGCUCAAACUCCUUGCAUAACUCCUGAGGCAUCUAAAAUGCCACGGCCAUGUUAACAUAGCUCUUCCUGCUCAGAGCAUCUGCUACAACAUUGGCCUUGCCCGGAUGAUAGUAAAUCUCCAGGUCAUAAUCCUUGACCAACUCUAGCCAUCUUCUUUGCCGCAUGUUCAGCUCAUUCUGAGUGAAAAUGUACUUGAGGCUCUUGUGAUCGGUGUAAAUGUCACACCUUUGCCCAAACAAGUAAUGCCUCCAAAUCUUCAGGGCAUGCACAACCGCGGCUAACUCCAGAUCAUGAGUGGGAUAAUUCAGCUCGUGCCGGCGCAACUGCCGCGAAGCAUAAGCUAUCACUCUGCCUUCCUGCAUCAGGACGCAACCAAGACCAUCCCUCGAAGCAUCACAAUACACUGUGAACCUCUUGCUCUGGUCGGGCAGAGUAAGGACUGGCGCCGUAGUUAACCUCUUCUUUAGCUCCUCGAAGGCCAUCCGACGCUCAUCAGUCCAAGAGAAAUCCACACCCUUCUCUAGCAAGGAAGUCAAAGGCUUCGCAAUCUUGGAGAAGUUCUCAAUGAACCUCCGAUAAUAACCUGCUAAGCCCAGAAAAGAGCGGACUUCCUUCACCGUCUGUGGCACAACCCAGUCAAGUACAUCCUUCACCUUUCCGGGAUACACAGCAAUACCUCCCUCAGAGAUGACAUGACCGAGGAAUGGAACCUCGUCAAUCCAGAAUUCGCACUUGCUGAGCUUAGCAUACAGCUUGUGCUUUCUGAGUCUCUGCAACACAAGCCUCAGAUGCUUCUCAUGCUCUGCUUCGGACUUGGAAUAUAUCAGGAUAUCAUCAAUGAAUAUCACCACAAAGGUGUCCAGAUAAUCCAUGAAAACCUUGUUCAUCAGGUGCAUGAAGAAAGCCGGAGCAUUGGUCAAGCCAAAGGACAUGACCGUAUACUCGUAUAGCCCAUACUUGCAGGUGAAUGCCGUCUUCUGGAUAUCCUCGGGACGAAUCUUCAGCUGGUGAUAACCCGAACGCAGAUCAAUCUUCGAGAAUACACAAGCACCCUGAAGCUGAUCAAAAAGAUCCUCGAUGCGAGGCAAUGGAUGCUUGUUCUUGAUGGUGACUGCAUUCAGAUCCCGAUAAUCGACGCACAUUCUCUUCGCUCCAUCCUUCUUCUCUACAAGCAAUACAGGAAAAGCCCAAGGAGAGAAACUACGACAGAUAUAGCCCUUGGCUAGCAACUCGUCGACAGUCUUCUUAACUUCCUCAUGCUCAACGGGUGCCAUACGGUAGGGCCGCUUAGCAAUCGGAGCUGUGCCAGGCAAGAGAUCAAUAGAAAACUCAAUGUUGCGAUCAGGCGGCAUACCUGGAAAAUCAUCCGGAAAGACAUCCGGGAAUUCAGACACCACGCGAAUACCAUUCGUGGGUCUAGCCUCCAUCUGACAAAGAAUUCCAGAAGGCUCCGAAGCACUGACUGUGACCUCCUGUCCAUCCGAUGCUGACAAGUGGACAGUCCUCUGAGCACAAUCAAUCUUGACACCCCAUCUAACAAGGGUUUCCAUUCCCAAGAUCACAUCGAUACCCUUGGUGUCUAGCACCAUCAGAUUAGCACUGAACUCUACCCCCCUUAUGACAACACUGACUCUAGGACAGAAGAUAUGAGACCUCAACUGCCCUCCCGGUGAAGAUACUAGCAUGCCCCUCUUUAACGUGCUAGUAUGAAUGCCAUGAUGCUCAACAAAAGACCAAGUAAUGAAAGAAUGCGUAGCACCAGUAUCAAAAAGCACUGUAGCAGGGUGGGCAUUGACCAUGAACGUACCAAUAACCACGUUGGGAGCAUCGGCCGCUGACUCGGCUGUCACGUGGUUCACCCUACCCUGGGAUGGCGCCUUGGGCUGAGCUGGACGCCCCUGCUGUCCCGACUGCACCUUCCGAGGACAGACGUUGGCGUAGUGUCCCGGUUCGCCGCAGUGGAAGCACACUCAUGGAAGUGCUGGAGCCUGCUGUCCGGCAGGAGGAGUAGGCACUCCCUGCCGCGGAGCUGGUGGAGCCGGGGGAGCAGAGCGUGCCGCAGGCGCUGGAAGCCUCUGGCCCUGUCCCGCCUGCUGCUGCUGCUGAGGACGAGGCGGGUACUGCUGCUGUCGCUGCUGGUACUGCUGGAUCUGCCUCUGGUGCUACUGCUGCUGCUGCGGGUACUGGUACCGAGGCCAGGUGUUGCUACCAGACGCAGCAGGAGCCAUCUUCCUCUUCUUGUCCUCAAUCUCCCGGCGCUUGCGCUCGGUGUUGAGGGCAGCAUCAACCAGCUGGUUGAAGUUGUCGAAGCGGUGGUUCAUGAGCGCGUACUCUAGGUGAUCAUCCAGUCCCUCCCUGAAGCGCUCCUGCUUAUCGCCAUCAUGGGCGACCUCAGCGGGGGCAUAGCGAGCGAGCUGGAGGAAGCGAUCACGGUACUCGGUCACCAUCAUAGAUCCCUGCUUAAGCGCAAGGAACUCCUUGUCCUUCAUCUUCAUCACUCCAGCAGGGAUGUGGUGGUUCCUGAAACGCUCCCGGAACUAGACCCAGGUGAAAGCAUCACGGUCCCGAGCUGGAUAGGACUCCCACCAGUCAUGAGCCGAGCCUCGCAGCUGCCCUGCCGCGAAUAUGACUCGCUCCCUGUCGUCGCACUGAGCGACAUCCAACUGACGCUCCACUGAAUGAAGCUAGUCGUCAGGCUGGAGUGGAUCAGCUGCAUGAGAGAACGUCGGCGGGUGUCCUCUCAGAAAAUCUGCACGCCUGUCGUGAGGCUGCGGCGGUGGAGGAGGUGGUGGCUGAGCGUGAAUCUGCUGCAGAGCCUGAACAGUGUUGUUCAGAGUGGCCAUCAUUUGCAUCUGGAGCUGGAAGAACUGCUCCGGAGUCAGAGGUGGAGGCAUCGGCAACGGCGUCUGCUGGCCGGUACUCUGGUUGUUCUGUCCCUGUGUCACACCCGUUUUAUAAAGAACAUAAAUUGAGCAAUCAUAUAUGCGCCAGGAUCAAGUCACGCAUAUACACAACAGAAUCAUCAAGAUAUCACAACACAUAUCACGAAUACAUUAAUAUGAAUCGUAAGUAAAUCGUAAAUGAAUUAUUUUAUUACAACCGAAUCAAGAAUCGGUUCAAGAGUUGCGGAAGCGCAAAAUGAAGUACAUGAAAGGUAGGGUGCCAAAGGAACGUCGACUGGCAGACAAACGCCUAGAAGUCGUCGAAGCCGCUGACGUAGUCCUCCACGUUGCCGGGCACUGAGCAGCAGUCGAAGAUAUCCCAAAGAGAACAGAAAAGAGGAAGAGGCAAGUGUGAGUACACAAACUCGUACUCAACAAGUAUAACACAAACUAUGAGGCUCUAGGUUGGCUGACUCAACUGCAUUAGCUUUUAAUCUUGGCAAAUUUUAUUAAAGCUAAAUACUACAAGUAGAUGGAUUACCAUAACCCAGUUGCAUAAGAAAUUAAUCAAUAUUAAUAAGAGCUACUAAGAACCAUCCAAACCAAAACCACCCGGGGAAUCUCCCUAAUCAAAGGUUGAUAACCCCACUAAUCAGAUCGAGGAUCUGGGCCGCUCAUGACUGUGAGCACAGCUGAUAUAUCAGUUUUACACUCUCGAGAGGUUGCACAACUUUACCCACAAGUCGUGAGCUACGCUAGUUGUUCAUCGCACUUCCUUAGGUGAGAUGGCUAGCAAGCACACUACGAGACCGUUACAAAGGAUCACGUUGGUAAGGUGUAACCGCUAAGGAUUCUGGAUCAGCAACGAUGGGGCCCACCUCCGGGGGUACAAGACACACAGCACAGACCAAGCCCUAGGUGAGCACCAUGCGUCCCCCCUGGUCACGAUGCGCCAGAUGUCGUGGAUCAUAGGCACCACCCGAGGCCGAAACGCGCGCACGCCGGCGAUGUCCAUUGCUCGAGCUGCCUCUCCCCGCGAGCCUUUCCCUCCGGCCGAUGUCGCCCCUUCCUGAGCCCACCAGUGGAUUACCCAUUCCGCGCUCGUGCUCUACGGCAAAACCGCAGGCCAAAAGACCCACUGACGGCCCAGAUCGCUUGCUCCGACGAAGAGCCGGCGAGGCACCGCCGCGGGAGCUGAGCUCCGGCGAGGAAUCGCCGCCAGCCCGCGCCUCUUUUGUUCCUGGCCGCCCGAUCCGUGAUGGAAGCGCCUGAUUAGAAGCCGCGUACCCCUUUGCUCCGCACCGCUGGAUCCAGAUCCAACGACUCCAAACAGAGCGUACCGGUUCGGCAUGGUGAUCUUUCUAAAGAGUCCCUGCGCUUUUCAAGAAUCAACCCGCACUCUUGUGUAGUUCAAAAGAAAUUGCUGUGAGGUCCUGUUUUACUCGUUUAGACCCCUGAGCUUUCCAGUUUUUGAACCCGCCGUCUAUGCCAUGAGUUUUAGCGCGUUAGACCCCGAGUCUAUGCUUUAAUUACGUUUAGGUCCCCAGUUUUCGCACAGAACCCCUGGAAGUUCUGUUUUUCUCACAAAUAGGUCCCUAGCUCUUGUUUUAAGCGUAGUUUUCGCGUUUUAGCUCCGUUUUAGGUGUUCUUUAUAUCCACGCGAUCAUUGCAACGCGUAGAAUAGCUUUAGAAUAGUUUUGUGUGCUGUUUCCAUGUAAUGUUGUACUGUUUCUUAUAGUUUGCUAUUGUUUGUGCAUGUGUGUAUGUUUGGACCAUGCUUGAUGAUCGUGAGUAAACGCGGAGCCUUUGGACCAGUACUAGGAGCCACCAUCUUCUGAAGCUUUUGAGCAGCAGCAGGAGAACUUUGAGGAAGGCAAGUAUAACAUGAACAUCCUACCACUUUUAAAUACAGAUUUCAUACUGCAUCUUAAUACUGUAUGCCUAUAAGGACUUUCCUAGCCACUUUAUAUCCUAUAUAUAUCCUUGGGUUGCAUUUUGGUUAGUUGUGCUAGGUUGCUGCGCUAUAACAAACUUGGUCCUUUUUAAUUAAAUUUGAUUAAUGGUCUUAUGCAACUUAAUCCUGAGCGUGGCCCUCUGUGCUGUGUGCUUGAGUGGCUCACGUCUCCGUAAAAGAUGUUUUGUUAGGAACUUGGUUUAGGGGGCCAGCACGGUGCUUAGUGCUUGGUUGGCUACUCUCCAUAAGGACCGGUUCAUAGAGCGACAAUCUGGGACAACCGCGCAACCACAAGACUGUAAUGGGAUGGUCUUGACUUACUAAUUAGGUCGUGUUGGUUCGGGAGUAACUUACCUGCGUGGGCAAGAGGGGUGGUAAGCUUCAAUGGUCCCUGCUCCUCCGGCUUGGUCUGUGCUGUGUGUCUUGUACCCCCGAAGGUGGGCCCCAUCGUUGCUGAUCCAGAAUCCUUAGCAGUUACACCUUACCAACGUGAUCCUUUGUAACGGUCUCGUAGUGUGCUUGCUAGCCAUCUCACCUAAGGAAGUGCGAUGAAAAACUAGCGUAGCUCACGACUUGUGGGUAAAGUUGUGCAACCUCUCGAGAGUGUAAAACUGAUAUAUCAGCUGUGCUCACAGUCAUGAGCGGCCCAGAUCCUCCGUCUGAUUAGUGGGGUUAUCAACCUUUGAUUAGGGAGAUUCCCCGGGUGGUUUUGGUUUGGAUGGUUCUCAGUAGCUCUUAUUAAUAUUGAUUAAUUUCUUAUGCAACUGGGUUAUGGUAAUCCAUCUACUUGUAGUAUUUAGCUUUAAUAAAAUUUGCCAAGAUUAAAAGCUAAUGCAGUUGAGUCAGCCAACCUAGAGCCUCAUAGUUUGUGUUAUACUUGUUGAGUAUGAGUUUGUGUACUCACACUUGCCUCUUCCUCUCUUCUGUUCUCUUUGGGAUAUCUUCGAUUGCUGCUCAGUGCCCGGCAACGUGGAGGACUACGUCAGCGGCUUCGACGACUUCUAGGCGUUUGUCUCCCAGUCGAUGUCCUUGUGGCGCCCUACCUUUCAUGUACUUCAUUUUGCGCUUCCACAACUCUUGAACCGAUUCUUGAUUCGGUUGUAAUAAAAUAAUUCAUUUAUGAUUUACUUACGAUUCAUAUUAAUGUAUUCGUGAUAUGUGUUGUGAUAUCUUGAUGAUUCUGUUGUGUAUAUGCGUGACUUGAUCCUGGCGCAUAUAUGAUUGCUCGAUUUAUGUUCUUUAUAAAUCGGGUGUGACAGGAUUGGUAUUAGAGCCAUAUCGACUGUAGGACAAAGCCUAGAUAGAAUUGGUCGAGUUUAGGACUUCUUUUCUCUUGCCUUGCUCCCGCAAAUCUUCAAACAUCAUUUUUCUGCUUCUAUUCCUUGAAUCUUAAGCUCUUUGAUUUCCUAUCUCUCCUGUCUUUUCUGAGAAAUAGCUUGAGUUUUCCGUAGACGUUGGCCUGAGUCGCCUAAUUUCAUAAGCUAUAAGUUUAGAUUGUUCCGAUGAAAAUACGCUAGAACGAGUGUGUUAGUCGAGUAGUGUGAUAAACUCGACUAAGUUGUGAAUAUUGAAUGUUUGUUAUUGUGCAAAUGUUUGAUUUGGAUUUUUGGUUGAUUGCAUAGUCUAGUAGUUAAAUUUGUUCAUGCAAAUCAACCCUAACCCAACUUGAACUAAAUAAUAAAAUUGAGUUAGAACGUUGGGGGUGAAACCUAUAUUCCUUUCUCUCUGCCAUUUUCUUUCCGAAGUUUCAUUCCCGCAGCUGCACAAUAUUCCAUUCUCAUAAAAUUUCGUUGUUGCAAUCAGAUGGUGAACACCAGGCGCACCGGUUCCGAUUCUGACCAGCAGGAGCAGAACAACCAGAGUACUGGUCAGCCGCUACCGAUGCCACCACCACUGACCCCGGAGCAGUUCUUCCAGCUCCAGAUGCAGAUGAUGGCGACCCUGAACAAUACUGUUCAGGCUCUUCAGCAUAUCCACGCCCAGCCACCGCCUCCUCCGCCGCCUUAGCCCCGUGACAGGCGUGCAGAUUUCUUGAGAGGUCAUCCUCCGACCUUCGUUCGGUGGAGCGCCAGUUGAUUGUUGCUCAGUGCGACGACCGUGAGCGAGUCCUUUAUGCAGCAGGGCAGCUGUGAGGCUCAGCUCUUGAUUGGUGGGAGUCCUACCCGGCUCAGGACCGCGACUCUCUCACCUAGGUCCAGUUCCGUGAGCGCUUCAGGAGCCACCAUAUUCCUGAGGGGAUUAUGAAGAUGAAGCAGAAGGAGUUCCGUGCCCUUAAGCAGGUAAAUUUGAAUGGAAUUCUCUGCAAUAUCUUUGAGCUUGAUCUAUCCUUGAUCUCUCUCGUAAGCCUGACAUACUGAGCGAUCUCCAUCCUUGUUAUCCGUGUUUGUCAUUUCAGGGAUCAAUGACGGUGACGGAGUACCGUGACCGUUUCCUUCAGCUUGCCCGCUACGCCCCUACUGACGUCGCCCGUGAUAGCGACAAGCAGGAGUAUUUCAAGGAGGGACUGGAUGAUCACAUCUAGUACGCGCUGCUGAACCACCGCUUUGACAACUUCAACAUACUGGUUGAUGCUGCCCUCAACACCGAGCGUAAGCGCCGGGAGAUUGAGGAUAAGAAGAGGAAGAUGACUCCAUCCUCUUCGGGCAGCAACACUCGUCCCCGCUAUCAGCAUCCACAGCAGCAGCAGCAGAGGCCGCCCCAGCAGUACCAACAGCGGCAGCAGUUCCCUCGUCGUCCUCUGCAGCAGGCAGGGCAGGGUCAGAGGCUUCCAGCGCCUCCGGCUCCACCAGCUCAGAGGCAGGGGCGUGCAGCACCGCCCAAGGCUCCAGCUCAGGGCCGGGUGAACCACGUGACGGCCGAGUCAGCGGCCGAGGCUCCUAACGUGGUUAUUGGUACGUUUAUGGUCAACACCCAUCCUGCUACAGUGCUUUUUGAUACUAGUGCUACGCAUUCUUUCAUCACCCAGUCUUUUGUUGAGCAUCAUGGCUUUCCUACUAGCACAUUAAAGAGGUGCAUGUUAGUACCUUCACCGGGAGGGCAGUUGAGGUCUCAUGUCUUCUGUCCCAGAGUCAGUGUGGCCAUAAGGGGGGUAGAUUUCAGUGCGAAUCUGAUGGUACUAGAUACCAAGGGCAUUGAUGUGAUCCUCGGGAUGGAGACCCUUACUAAGUGGGGAGUCCAGAUAGAUUGUGAUCAGAGGACCGUUCUUCUAUCAGCACCGGAUGGUCAGGAGGUCACUGUCGGUGCCACAGAGCCUUCUGGAUUUCUUCAUCAGAUGGAGGCUAGACCCACGGAUGGUAUUCGCGUGGUGUCUGAAUUCCCGGAUGUCUUUCCGGAUGAUUUGCCAGGUAUGCCGCCUGAUCACGACAUUGAGUUUUCUAUUGAUCUCUUGCCUGGCACAGCUCCUAUUGCUAAGCGGCCCUAUCGUAUGGCACCCGUUGAGCAUGAGGAAGUAAAGAAGACCAUCGACGAGUUGCUAGCCAAGGGAUAUAUCCGUCGCAGUUUCUCUCCUUGGGCUUUUCCUGUCUUGCUCGUAGAGAAGAAGGAUGGUGCGAAGAGAAUGUGCGUCGAUUAUCGGGAUCUGAAUGCAGUCACCAUCAAGAACAAGCAUCCAUUGCCCUGUAUUGAGGAUCUUUUUGAUCAGCUUUAGGGUGCUUGUGUAUUCUCGAAGAUUGAUCUGCGUUCGGGUUAUCAUCAGCUGAAGAUUCAUUCUGAGGAUAUUCCGAAGACAGCAUUCACUUGCAAGUAUGGGCUAUACGAGUAUACGGUCAUGUCCUUUGGCUUGACCAAUGCUCCAGCUUUCUUCAUGCAUCUGAUGAACAAGGUUUUCAUGGAUUAUCUGGACACCUUUGUGGUGAUAUUUAUUGAUAAUAUCUUGAUAUAUUCCAAGUCAGAAGCAGAGCAUGAGAAACAUCUGAGGCUUGUGUUGCAGAGGCUCAGAGAGCACAAGCUGUAUGCCAAGCUCAACAAGUGCGAGUUCUGGAUUGACGAGGUUCCAUUCCUCGGUCAUGUUAUCUCCAAGGGAGGUAUUGCUGUGGACCCCGGAAAGGUGAAGGAUGUGCUUGACUGGGUCGUACCGCAGAUAGUGAAGGAAGUCCGCUCUUUUCUGGGCUUAGCAGGAUAUUAUCGGAAGUUCAUUGAGAAUUUCUCCAAGAUUGUGAAGCCUUUGACUUCUUUGCUGGAGAAGGGUGUGGAGUUCUCUUGGACUGAUGAGCGUCAGAAGGCCUUUGAGGAGCUGAAGAAGAGGAGGUUCACAGUGUAUUGUGAUGCUUCGAGGGAUGGUCUUGGUUGCGUCCUGAUGCAGGAAGGCAGAGUGAUAGCUUAUGCCUCGCGGCAGUUGCGCCGGCACGAGCUGAAUUAUCCCACCCAUGAUCUGGAGUUAGCCGCAGUUGUGCAUGCUCUGAAGAUAUGGAGGCAUUACUUGUUUGGGCAGAGGUGUGAUAUUUACACCGAUCACAAGAGCCUCAAGUACAUUUUCACUCAGAGUGAGCUGAAUAUGCGGCAGAGAAGAUGGCUAGAGUUGGUCAAGGAUUAUGACCUGGAGCUUCACUAUCAUCCGGGCAAGGCCAAUGUAGUAGCAGAUGCUCUGAGUAGAAAGAGCUAUGUUAACAUGGCCGUGACUUUGCAGAUGCCUCGGGAGUUAUGUGAGGAGUUUGAGCAGUUGAGUCUGGGUUUCUUGCAUCACACCUCGGGUACCUCAUUCGAGGCAGAACCCACUCUAGAGGCCGAGAUCCGACAGCAUCAGAAAGAAGAUAAGAAGCUGCAGGAGAUCCGUGAACUGCUCAAGAUUGGCAAAGCUCCUCAUUUCAGAGAGGAUGAUCAGGGUACCUUGUGGUACAAGGGUCGCAUAUGUGUGCCGGAUGUGAAUGACCUCAGGAAGCUGAUCUUGAGUGAGGCUCAUGAUACGGCAUAUUCCAUUCAUCCAGGUAGCAUGAAGAUGUAUUAUGACCUCAAGGAACGAUUCUGGUGGUAUGGUAUGAAGCGUUCCGUUGCGGAGUACGUGGCUAUCUGUAACACUUGUCAGCGUGUCAAGGCAGAGCAUCAGAGACCUGCAGGUCUAUUGCAGCCGUUAAAGAUUCCAGAGUGGAAAUGGGAGGAGAUCACUAUGGAUUUCAUCGUUGGCUUGCCUCGUACUCAGAAAGGGUACAAUUCCAUAUGGGUAGUAGUGGACCGGUUGACGAAGGUUGCUCACUUUAUUCCGGUGAACACUACUUACUCCGGUGCUAGACUCGCAGAGUUGUACAUCUCCAGGAUUGUCUGUCUGCAUGGUGUUCCAAAGAAGAUCAUAUCUGAUCGAGGAUCUCAGUUCACUUCAUGGUUCUGGGAGCAGUUGCAUGAUUCGUUGGAUACGAAGCUGCGCUUCAGUACCGCAUAUCAUCCUCAGACAGAUGGGCAGACAGAAAGAACCAACCAAGUGUUGGAGGAUAUGCUUCGAGCUUGCGCUAUUCUGUAUGGUACCAGCUGGGAUAAAUGCCUGCCUUAUGCGGAGUUUUUGUAUAACAACAGUUAUCAGGCCAGUCUGAAGAAAUCUCCUUUCGAGGCCCUGUAUGGACGGAAGUGCAGGACUCCGCUGUAUUGGGAUCAGAUUGGCGAGAGGUAGGUGUUUGGUCCGGAUAUUGUUGAAGAGGCAGAACAGCUGGUACAGCAGGUGCGAGAGAAUCUGAGGGUCGCACAGACUCGUCAGAAGAGCUAUUCGGAUGUUCGUCGUCGAGAUCUGACCUUUGCAGUGGGGGAUCAAGUGUACCUGAAGGUCUCGCCGAUGAGAGGAAUCCGCAGGUUUAAUGUGAGAGGGAAGCUAGCCCCUCGAUACAUUGGUCCGUUCAAGGUGUUGGAACGGAAAGGUGAGGUGGCAUAUCGUUUGGAGUUGCCUCUCAAUCUCUCAGGAGUGCACGAUGUGUUCCACGUGUCCCAGCUGAAGAAGUGCUUGAGGGUGCCAGAAGGGCAAGCACCGAUAGAAGGGUUGGAUGUGCAGGAAGAUCUGACCUACAUCGAGCAUCCAGUGAAGAUUCUGGAGACGUCUGAGAGAGUUACCAGAAACAAGAAGAUCAAGAUGUGUCGUGUUCAGUGGAGUCAUCAUACGGAGGAUGAGGCUACUUGGGAGCGAGAAGAUGAGUUGAGAAAGACAUAUCCCGAUCUCUUUGCUAGCUAGCCUAUCAGAAUCUCGGGACGAGAUUCUUGUAAGGUGGGUAGGUUUGUAACACCCUAAUGUAAUUUUCCCUAAUUUUAAUGAAUUUAUUUUGGCUCAAAUGAAAUUUCCAGGCUUUUCUUUAAUUUUUGUGGCAUUUAAAGCAAUUUAUAACGCAAGAAAAUAAAAUUAAUCAUAACAUCUACUCGCUUGUGCAUUCAUGCUGGAGCAUUGUUUAAUUUGUGUUGAGUGUAUAGGGUUUGAAUUCAAAUUUGUUUGAAUUCAAAUAAUUGUGUUUGAAUGUUUGAGUAUAGAAAAGAAAGAAAAAGAAGAAGGAGAGAAAACAACCCAAACCCUUGGCCCAGCCCAGCUCUCUUUUCCCCCUCUUUCUCCCGCAUGGGCCACGGCGGCCCAGCUCCCCCUCCUCCCCCUCGGGCCUCUCUCUCCUCUCCUCCUUUCCCCGCAUGGGCCACGCAGGCCCAUUUCCCUCCCCCACGCCCGAACUCUCCACGCCGGCCCAGUCUCCCCCUGCUCCUCAGCCCGAGCGCCCCCUCCCUCUCCCUUUUCUCUCUGGCAGCUGGGGCCCGCGUGUCAGCGCCUUCUCUCCCCCCCUCCUUCUUCCUCCCCAGCGCGCAACGGCUCCGACAUCGCCGGUGACCUCCUCUCCCCGGGCCCGCACGCCAGUGUGGCUCCGCCGCCCUACAAAGAGCAGCCCCAACCAUCUGAACCCUAACCCUAACCCCGCAGCCACCACCGGCGCCACAGCACUGCAGCUGCUUGGCCGCCGCACCACCUCCUCUGCGCCACCGUGGGCACGCCAUUCCACCGUGCCACGGCCCGCGAGAGCUUGCGCAUCAGCACCGCCUCACCACCCAGGAGCUCCAGCGCCCUUCACCCGCGACCUCGGCCCGUUCCUCGGUCUGAAUUUCUCCCGGAACACCACCGCGGGUAAGUCCACCACCGCCGAAAUUGCUCACCGCCGGUGAGCCCCACACCUCCCUGACCCCUCUGCCAGCUUCACAGGUCAACCCCAAGCCCGACCGUGGGAUCCAGAUGCCUAGGGUACCCCGGCAUCACCUUCCUCCGCGAGAGCCGAACCCUUCCGCCACCGGUCGUCGUCGUUCUCUUCCAUCCGCCGCAGCUCCGGCCUCCGCAACCCCUAGGUGAGCACCACGCUUCCCCCCUGGUCACGAUGCGCCAGAUGUCGUGGAUCAUAGGCACCACCCGAGGCCGGAACGCGCGCACGCCGGCGAUGUCCGUUGCCCGAGCCGCCUCUCCCCGCGAGCCUUUCCCUCCGGCCGAUGUCGCCCCUUCCUGAGCCCAUCAGUGGAUUACCCAUUCCGCGCUCGUGCUCUACGGCCAAACCGCAGGCCAAAAGACCCACUGAUGGCCCAGACCGCUUGCUCCGAUGAAGCGCCGGCGAGGCACCGCCGCGGGAGCUGAGCUCCGGCGAGGAAUCGCCGCCAGCCCGCGCCUCUUUUGUUCCUGGCCGCCCGAUCCGUGAUGGACACGCCUGAUUAGAAGCCGCGUACCCCUUUGCUCCGCACCGCUGGAUCCAGAUCCAACGACUCCAAACAGAGCGUACCGGUUCGGCAUGGUGAUCUUUCUAAAGAGUCCCUGCGCUUUUCAAGAAUCAACCCGCACUCCUGUGUAGUUCAAAAGAAAUUGCUGUGAGGUCCUGUUUUACUCGUUUAGACCCCUGAGCUUUCCGGUUUUUGAACCCGCCGUCCAUGCCAUGAGUUUUAGCGGGUUAGACCCCGAGUCUAUGCUUUAAUUACGUUUAGGUCCCCAGUUUUCGCAUAGAACCCCUGGAAGUUCUAUUUUUCUCACAAAUAGGUCCCUGGCUCUUGUUUUAAGCGUAGUUUUCGCGUUUUAGCUCCGUUUUAGGUGUUCUUUAUAUCCACGCGAUCGUUGCAACGCGUAGAAUAGCUUUAGAAUAGUUUUGUGUGCUGUUUCCAUGUAAUGUUGUACUGUUUCUUAUAGUUUGCUAUUAUUUGUGCAUGUGUGUAUGUUUGGACCAUGCUUGAUGAUCGUGAGUAGAUGCGGAGCCUUUGGACCAGUACCAGGAGCCACCAUCUUCUGAAGCUUUUGAGCAGCAGCAGGAGAACUUUGAGGAAGGCAAGUAUAACAUGAACAUCCUACCACUUUUAAAUACAGAUUUCAUACUGCAUCUUAAUACUGUAUGCCUAUAAGGACUUUCCUAGCCACUUUAUAUCCUAUAUAUAUAUAUCCUUGGGUUGCAUUUUGGUUAGUUGUGCUAGAUUGCUGCACUAUAACAAACUUGGUCCUUUUUAAUUAAAUUUGAUUAAUGGUCUUAUGCAACUUAAUCCUGAGCGUGGCCCUCUGUGCUGUGUGCUUGAGUGGCUCACGUCUCCGUAAAAGAUGUUUUGUUAGGAACUUGGUUUAGGGGGCCAGCACGGUGCUUAGUGCUUGGUUGGCUACUCUCCAUAAGGACCGGUUCAUAGAGCGACAACCUGGGACAACCGCGCAACCACAAGACUGUAAUGGGAUGGUCUUGACUUACUAAUUAGGUCGUGUUGGUUCGGGAGUAACUUACCUGCGUGGGCAAGAGGGGUGGUAAGCUUCAAUGGUCCCUGCUCCUCCGGCUUGGUCUGUGCUGUGUGUCUUGUACCCCCGAAGGUGGGCCCCAUCGUUGCUGAUCCAGAAUCCUUAGCAGUUACACCUUACCAACGUGAUCCUUUGUAACGGUCUCGUAGUGUGCUUGCUAGCCAUCUCACCUAAGGAAGUGCGAUGAAAAACUAGCGUAGCUCACGACUUGUGGGUAAAGUUGUGCAACCUCUCGAGAGUGUAAAACUGAUAUAUCAGCUGUGCUCACAGUCAUGAGCGGCCCAGAUCCUCCGUCUGAUUAGUGGGGUUAUCAACCUUUGAUUAGGGAGAUUCCCCGGGUGGUUUUGGUUUGGAUGGUUCUCAGUAGCUCUUAUUAAUAUUGAUUAAUUUCUUAUGCAACUGGGUUAUGGUAAUCCAUCUACUUGUAGUAUUUAGCUUUAAUAAAAUUUGCCAAGAUUAAAAGCUAAUGCAGUUGAGUCAGCCAACCUAGAGCCUCAUAGUUUGUGUUAUACUUGUUGAGUACGAGUUUGUGUACUCACACUUGCCUCUUCCUCUCUUCUGUUCUCUUUGGGAUAUCUUCGACUGCUGCUCAGUGCCCGGCAACGUGGAGGACUACAUCAGCGGCUUCGACGACUUCUAGGCGUUUGUCUCCCAGUCGACGUCCCUGUGGCGCCCUACCUUUCAUGUACUUCAUUUUGCGCUUCCGCAACUCUUGAACCGAUUCUUGAUUCGGUUGUAAUAAAAUAAUUCAUUUAUGAUUUACUUACGAUUCAUAUUAAUGUAUUCGUGAUAUGUGUUGUGAUAUCUUGAUGAUUUUGUUGUGUAUAUGCGUGACUUGAUCCUGGCGCAUAUAUGAUUGCUCGAUUUAUGUUCUUUAUAAAUCGGGUGUGACAAUCAGCUUCCUGAGGUCAUUCACAUCCGGCACACAUAUGCGACCCUGGUACCACAAGGUACCCUCAUCCUCUCUGAAAUGAUGAGCUUUGCCAAUCUUGAGCAGUUCACGGAUCUCCUGCAGCUUCUUAUCUUCUUUCUGAUGCUGCCGGAUCUCGGCCUCUAGAGUGGGUUCUGCCUCGAAUGAGGUACCCGAGGUGUGAUGCAAGAAACCCAGACUCAACUGCUCAAACUCCUCACAUAACUCCCGGGGCAUCUGCAAAGUCACGGCCAUGUUAACAUAGCUCUUUCUACUCAGAGCAUCUGCUACUACAUUGGCCUUGCCCGGAUGAUAGUGAAUCUCCAGGUCAUAAUCCUUGACCAACUCUAGCCAUCUUCUUUGCCGCAUGUUCAGCUCAUUCUGAGUGAAAAUGUACUUGAGGCUCUUGUGAUCGGUGUAAAUGUCACACCUUUGCCCAAACAAGUAAUGCCUCCAAAUCUUCAGGGCAUGCACAACCGCGGCUAACUCCAGAUCAUGAGUAAGAACCUCUUGCUCUGGUCGGGCAGAGUAAGAACUGGCGCCGUAGUUAACCUCUUCUUCAGCUCCUCGAAGGCCAUCCGACGCUCAUCAGUCCAAGAGAAAUCCACACCCUUCUCUAGCAAGGAAGUCAAAGGCUUCGCAAUCUUGGAGAAGUUCUCAAUGAACCUCCAAUAAUAACCUGCUAAGCCCAGAAAAGAGCGGACUUCCUUCACCGUCUGUGGCACAACCCAGUCAAGUACAUCCUUCACCUUUCCGGGAUACACAGCAAUACCUCCCUCAGAGAUGACAUGACCGAGGAAUGGAACCUCGUCAAUCCAGAAUUCGCACUUGCUGAGCUUGGCAUACAGCUUGUGCUUUCUGAGUCUCUGCAACACAAGUCUCAGAUGCUUCUCAUGCUCUGCUUCGGACUUGGAAUAUAUCAGGAUAUUAUCAAUGAAUAUCACCACAAAGGUGUCCAGAUAAUCCAUGAAAACCUUGUUCAUCAGGUGCAUGAAGAAAGCCGGAGCAUUGGUCAAGCCAAAGGACAUGACCGUAUACUCGUAUAGCCCAUACUUGCAGGUGAAUGCCGUCUUCUGGAUAUCCUCGGGACGAAUCUUCAACUGGUGAUAACCCGAACGCAGAUCAAUCUUCGAGAAUACACAAGCACCCUAAAGCUGAUCAAAAAGAUCCUCGAUGCGAGGCAAUGGAUGCUUGUUCUUGAUGGUGACUGCAUUCAGAUCCCGAUAAUCGACGCACAUUCUCUUUGCUCCAUCCUUCUUCUCUACAAGCAAUACAGGAAAAGCCCAAGGAGAGAAACUACGAUGGAUAUAGCCCUUGGCUAGCAACUCGUCGACAGUCUUCUUAACUUCCUCAUGCUCAACGGGUGCCAUACGGUAGGGCCGCUUAGCAAUCGGAGCUGUGCCAGGCAAGAGAUCAAUAGAAAACUCAAUGUUGCGAUCAGGCGGCAUACCUGGAAAAUCAUCCGGAAAGACAUCCGGGAAUUCAGACACCACGCGAAUACCAUCCGUGGGUCUAGCCUCCAUCUGACAAAGAAUUCCAAAAGGCUCCGAAGCACUGACUGUGACCUCCUGUCCAUCCGAUGCUGACAAGUGGACAGUCCUCUGAGCACAAUCAAUCUUGACACCCCAUCUAACAAGGGUUUCCAUUCCCAAGAUCACAUCGAUACCCUUGGUGUCUAGCACCAUCAGAUUAGCACUGAACUCUACCCCCCUUAUGACAACACUGACUCUAGGACAGAAGAUAUGAGACCUCAACUGCCCUCCCGGUGAAGAUACUAGCAUGCCCCUCUUUAACGUGCUAGUAUGAAUGCCAUGAUGCUCAACAAAAGACCAAGUAAUGAAAGAAUGCGUAGCACCAGUAUCAAAAAGCACUGUAGCAGGGUGGGCAUUGACCAUGAACGUUCCAAUAACCACGUUGGGAGCAUCGGCCGCUGACUCGGCUGUCACGUGGUUCACCCUGCCCUGGGAUGGCACCUUGGGCUGAGCUGGGCGCCCCUGCUGUCCCGACUACACCUUCCGAGGACAGACGUUGGCGUAGUGUCCCGGCUCGCCGCAGUGGAAGCACACUCAUGGAAGUGCUGGAGCCUGCUGUCCGGCAGGAGGAGUAGGCACUCCCUGCCGCGGAGCUGGUGGAGCCGGUGGAGCAGAGCGUGCCGCAGGCGCUGGAAGCCUCUGGCCCUGUCCCGCCUGCUGCUGCUGCUGAGGACGAGGCGGGUACUGCUGCUGUCGCUGCUGGUACUGCUGGAUCUGCCUCUGGUGCUACUGCUGCUGCUGCGGGUACUGGUACCGAGGCCGGGUGUUGCUACCAGACGCAGCAGGAGCCAUCUUCCUCUUCUUGUCCUCAAUCUCCCGGCGCUUGCGCUCGGUGUUGAGGGCAGCAUCAACCAGCUGGUUGAAGUUGUCGAAGCGGUGGUUCAUGAGCGCGUACUCUAGGUGAUCAUCCAGUCCCUCCCUGAAGUGCUCCUGCUUAUCGCCAUCAUGGGCGACCUCAGCGGGGGCAUAGCGAGCGAGCUGGAGGAAGCGAUCACGGUACUCGGUCACCGUCAUAGAUCCCUGCUUAAGCGCAAGGAACUCCUUGUGCUUCAUCUUCAUCACUCCAGCAGGGAUAUGGUGGUUCCUGAAACGCUCCCGGAACUGGACCCAGGUGAAAGCGUCAUGGUCCCGAGCUGGAUAGGACUCCCACCAGUCAUGAGCCGAGCCUCGCAGCUGCCCUGCCGCGAAUAUGACUCGCUCCCUGUCGUCGCACUGAGCGACAUCCAACUGACGCUCCACUGAACGAAGCUAGUCGUCAGCCUGGAGUGGAUCAGCUGCAUGAGAGAACGUCGGCGGGUGUCCUCUUAGAAAAUCUGCACGCCUGUCGCGAGGCUGCUGCGAUGGAGGAGGUGGUGACUGAGCGUGAAUCUGCUGCAGAGCCUGAAUAGUGUUGUUCAGAGUGGCCAUCAUCUGCAUCUGGAGCUGGAAGAACUGCUCCGGAGUCAGAGGUGGAGGCAUCGGCAACGGCGUCUGCUGGCCGGUACUCUGGUUGUUCUGUCCCUGUGUCACACCCGAUUUAUAAAGAACAUAAAUUGAGUAAUCAUAUAUGCGCCAGGAUCAAGUCACGCAUAUACACAACAGAAUCAUCAAGAUAUCACAACACAUAUCACGAAUACAUUAAUAUGAAUCGUAAGUAAAUCGUAAAUAAAUUAUUUUAUUACAACCGAAUCAAGAAUCGGUUCAAGAGUUGCGGAAGCGCAAAAUGAAGUACAUGAAAGGUAGGGCGCCACAGGGACGUCGACUGGGAGACAAACGCCUAGAAGUCAUCGAAGCCGCUGACGUAGUCCUCCACGUUGCCGGGCACUGAGCAGCAGUCGAAGAUAUCCCAAAGAGAACAGAAGAGAGGAAGAGGCAAGUGUGAGUGCACAAACUCGUACUCAACAAGUAUAACACAAACUAUGAGGCUCUAGGUUGGCUGACUCAACUGCAUUAGCUUUUAAUCUUGGCAAAUUUUAUUAAAGCUAAAUACUACAAGUAGAUGGAUUACCAUAACCUAGUUGCAUAAGAAAUUAAUCAAUAUUAAUAAGAGCUACUGAGAACCAUCCAAACCAAAACCACCCGGGGAAUCUCCCUAAUCAAAGGUUGAUAACCCCACUAAUCAGACGAAGGAUCUGGGCCGCUCAUGACUGUGAGCACAGCUGAUAUAUCAGUUUUACACUCUCGAGAGGUUGCACAACUUUACCCACAAGUCGUGAGCUACGCUAGUUGUUCAUCGCACUUCCUUAGGUGAGAUGGCUAGCAAGCACACUACGAGACCGUUACAAAGGAUCACGUUGGUAAGGUGUAACCGCUAAGGAUUCUGGAUCAGCAACGAUGGGGCCCACCUCCGGGGGUACAAGACACACAGCACAGACCAAGCCGGAGGAGCAGGGACCAUUGAAGCUUACCACCCCUCUUGCCCACGCAGGUAAGUUACUCCCGAACCAACACAACCUAAUUAGUAAGUCAAGACCGUCCCAUUCCAGUCUUGUGGUUGCGCGGUUGUCCCAGGUUGUCGCUCUAUGAACCGGUCCUUAUGGAGAGUAGCCAACCAAGCACUAAGCACCGUGCUGGCCCCCUAAACCAAGUUCCUAACAAAACAUCUUUUACGGAGACGUGAGCCACUCAAGCACACAGCACAGAGGGCCACGCUCAGGAUUAAGUUGCAUAAGACCAUUAAUCAAAUUUAAUUAAAAAGGACCAAGUUUGUUAUAGCGCAGCAACCUAGCACAACUAACCAAAAUGCAACCCAAGGAUAUAUAUAUAGGAUAUAAAGUGGCUAGGAAAGUCCUUAUAGGCAUACAGUAUUAAGAUGCAGUAUGAAAUCUGUAUUUAAAAGUGGUAGGAUGUUCAUGUUAUACUUGCCUUCCUCAAAGUUCUCCUGCUGCUGCUCAAAAGCUUCAGAAGAUGGUGGCUCCUGGUACUGGUCCAAAGGCUCCGCGUCUACUCACGAUCAUCAAGCAUGGUCCAAACAUACACACAUGCACAAACAAUAGCAAACUAUAAGAAACAGUACAACAUUACAUGGAAACAGCACACAAAACUAUUCUAAAGCUAUUCUACACAUUGCAACGAUCGCGUGGAUAUAAAGAACACCUAAAACGGAGCUAAAACGCGAAAACUACGCAUAAAACAAGAGCCAGGGACCUAUUUGUGAGAAAAAUAGAACUUCCAGGGGUUCUGUGCGAAAACUGGGGACCUAAACGUAAUUAAAGCAUAGACUCGGGGUCUAACGUGCUAAAACUCACGGCAUGGACGGCGGGUUCAAAAACCGGAAAGCUCAGGGGUCUAAACGAGUAAAACAGGACCUCACAGCAAUUUCUUUUGAACUACACAGGAGUGCGGGUUGAUUCUUUAAAAGCGCAGGGACUCUUUAGAAAGAUCACCAUGCCGAACCGGUACGCUCUGUUUGGAGUCGUUGGAUCUGGAUCCAGCGGUGUGGAGCAAAGGGGUACGCGGCUUCUAAUCAGGCGCGUCCAUCACGGAUCGGGCGGCCAGGAACAAAAGAGGCACGGGCUGGCAGCGAUUCCUCGCCGGAGCUCAGCUCCCGCAGCGGUGCCUCGCCGGCGCUUCGUCGGAGCAAGUGAUCUGGGCCGUCAGUGGGUCUUUUGGCCUGCGGUUUGGCCGUAGAGCACGAGCGCGGAAUGGGUAAUCCACUGGUGGGCUCAGGAAGGGGCGACAUCGGCCGGAGGGAAAGGCUCGCGGGGAGAGGCGGCUUGGGCAACGGACAUCGCCGGCGUGCACGCGUUCCGGCCUCGGGUGGUGCCUAUGAUCCACGACAUCUAGCGCAUCGUGACCAGAGGGGACGCGUGGUGCUCACCUAGGGGUUGUGGAGGCCGGAGCUGCGGCGGAUGGAGGAGAACGACGACGACCGGCGGCGGAAGGGCUCGGCUCUCGCGGAGGAAGGUGAUGCCGGGGUACCCCAGGCGUCUGGAUCCCGCGGUCGGGCUCGGGGUUGACCUGUGAAGCUGGCAGAGGGGUCAGGGAGGCGUGGGGCUCACCGGCGGCGAGCAAUUUCGGCGGCGGUGGACUUACCCGCGGCGGUGUUCCGGGAGAAAUUCAGACCGAGAAACGGGCCGAGGUCGUGGGUGAAGGGCGCUGGAGCUCCUGGGUGGUGAGGCGGUGCUGAUGCGCAAGCUCUCGCGGGCCGUGGCGUGGUGGAAUGGCGUGCCCACGGUGGCGCAGAGGAGGUGGUGCGGCGGCCAAGCAGCUGCGGUGCUGUGGCGCCGGUGGUGGCUGCGGGGUUAGGGUUAGGGUUCAGAUGGUUGGUGCUGCUCUUUUUAGGGCGGCGGAGCCACACUGGCGUGCGGGCCCGGGGAGAGGAGGUCGCCGGCGAUCUCAGAGCCGUUGCGCGCUGGGGAGGAAGAAGGAGGGGGGGAGAGAAGGCGCUGACACGUGGGCCCCAGCUGCCAGAGAGAAAAGGGAGAGGGAGGGGGCGCUCGGGCUGAGGAGCAGGGGGAGACUGGGCCGGCGUGGAGAGUUCGGGCGUGGGGGAGGGAAAUGGGCCGGCGUGGCCCAUGCGGGGAAAGGAGGAGAGGAGAGAGAGGCCGGAGGGGGAGGAGGGGGAGCUGGGCCGCCGUGGCCCAUGCGGGAGAAAGAGAGGGAAAAGAGAGCUGGGCUGGGCCAACGGUUUGGGUUGUUUUCUCUCCUUCUUUUCCUUUUCUUUUCUAUACUCAAACAUUCAAACACAAUUAUUUGAAUUCAAACAAAUUUGAAUUCAAACCCUAUACACUCAACACAAAUUAAAUAAUGCUCCAGCAUGAAUGCACAAGCGAGUUGAUGUUAUGAUUAAUUUUAUUUUCUUGCGUUAUAAAUUGCUUUAAAUGCCACAAAAAUUAAAGAAAAGCCUGGAAAUUUCAUUUGAGCCAAAAUAAAUUCAUUAAAAUUAGGUAAAAUUACAUUAGGGUGUUACACCCUGCUGGCCCGAACCGGUGCCGGUGCUCCUGGUGUUCACCAUCUGUUUGCAGCAGAACGAAAUUUAUAAGAGAUAGAUAUUGUACGAUUCCGGAAAGAAACUCCGACAGGAUAAAGUAGAGAGUAAAGAGUGUACGGUUUUACCCCCAUCAUCUAUCUUCAUUUUAUUACUAAAUUAAAGUUUGCGGUAAAAUCAAUUUUCAUGAAUAAGUUUACUUCUUAAACUAUGCAAUCAACCAAAGAGCCAAAACAAACAUGUUGCACAAUUACAAACAUUCAAUAUUCACAUCUUAGCCGAGUUUAUCACACUACUCGACUAACACCCUCGUUCUAGCGUACUUUCAUCGGAAUAGCCUAAACUUAUGGGGUAAAACGAAUUCAGGCCAACGUCUACGGAAUAUAUCCGACUAAUCCUUGGAAAAUGCAGAGAAGGUUAGCAAAGUGAGGGUUAGAGCUCAAGGAAUAGAAGCAGAAAUGAAGGUUUGGGUUUUGCGGAAGCCAGGCAAGCGGAAGGAAAUCCCUAAACUCGACCUUUUCUAUCUAGGCUUCGUCCUACAGUCGACAUGGCUCUGAUACCAAUCCUGUCACACCCGAUUUAUAAGAACAUAAAUCGAGCAAUCAUAUAUGCGCCAGGAUCAAGUCACGCAUAUAUACAACAGAAUCAUCAAGAUAUCACAACACGUAUCUCGAAAUAAAAACGUAUAAAUUAUAAAUGAAUAUCUUUAUUACAACUGAAUCAAGAAUCAGUUCAAGGAAUGCGGAAGCAUAAACUAAAUACAUGAAGAACAGGGCGCCACAGGGACGUCGGCUGGGAGACAACGCCUAGAAAUCGUCGAGUUCGCUGAUGUAGUUCUCCACGUCGCCGGGUACUGAGCAGCAGUCGAAGAUAUCCCAAAGGGAACAGAAGAGUAGAGAAGGCAAGUGUGAGUACACAACUUGUACUCAACAAGUAUAACACGAAUUAUGAGGCUCUAGGGUUAGCUGACUCAACUGCAUUAGCUUUUAAUCUUGGCAAAUUUUAUUAAAGCUAAUUACUACAAGUGAAUGAAUUACCAUAAACCCGAAUUGCAUAAGAAAUUAAUCAAUAUUAAUUAAGAACUACUGAGAACCAUCCAAACCACCAAGAUAACCCCACUAAUCAGACGGAGGAUCUGGGCCGCUCAUGACUGUGAGCACAGCUGAUAUAUCAGUUUUACACUCUCGGAGAGGUUGCACAACUUUACCCACAAGUCGUGAGCUACGCUAGUUGUUCAUCACACUUCCUUAGGUGAGAUGACUAGCAAGUGCACUACGAGACCGUUACAAAGGAUCACGUUAGUAAGGUGUAACCGCUAAGGUUUCUGGAUCAGCGACGAUGGGGCCCACCUCCAGGGGUACAAGACACACAGCAUAGACCAAGCCGGAGGAGCAGGGACCAUUGAUGCUUACCACCCCUCUUGCCCCGCAGGUAAGUUACUCCCAAACCAAAAUGACCUAAUUAGUAAGUCAAGACCGUCCUAUUCCAGUCUUGUGGUUGCGCGGUUGUCCCAGGUUGUCGCUCUAUGAACCGGUCCUUAGGGAGAGUGGCAAACCAAGCACUAAGCACUGUGCUGGCCCCCUAACCAUGUUCUAACAAAAACAUAUUUUAUAGAGACGUGAGCCGCUCAAGCACACAGCACAGAGGGCCACUCUCAGAAUUAAGUUGCAUAUAACCAUUAAUCAAUUUAAUUAAAAAGGACCUAGGUGUGUGAGAGCGCAGCACCUAGCACAACUAACCAAAAUGCAACCCAAAGAUAUAUAUAAAAGGAUAAAGGUGGCUAGGAAAUCCUUAUAGGCAUACAGAAUUAAAAUGCAAUAUGAAAUUGUAUUUAAAAAUGAUAGGAUAUUCAUGUUAUACUUGCCUUCCUCGUACUCUCCCGGCUGCUGCUCGAACUGCUCGGAAGAUGGCUGCUCCUGGUACUGCUCCGAAGGCUCGACGUCUACUCGCGUUCAUCAAGCAUGGUCCACACAUACACACAUGCACAACAAUAGCAAACUAUAAGAAAACUGUACACCAAUACAGUAGAACAACACACAAAACUAGCCUAGAACUGUUCUACGCAUUACAACGAUCGCGUGAGCGCAAGAAUCACCUAAAACAGAGCUAAGACGCGAAUUCUAGGGCUAAAACAAGGUCCAGGGGCCUUUCUGUAAGAAAACAGGAAAACCAGGGUUUCUGCACAAAAACCAGGGGCCUAAAUGUAAUUAAAGGUUAGAUUUGAGGUCUAACCCAUGAAAACACAGGGCUUGGACAGCGGGCACUAAAACCAGAAAACUCAGGGGCCUAAAAGAAUAAAACCGGACCUCUCUGCGAAUAGUUUUGAACUAAUGGUGUACUGCGGGUUGAUUCUCGGCAGGCCGAACCGGUACGCGCUGUUCUGGACCACUGGAUCUAAUCUCUACGGCCCAGAAUCCACGCAGGCGCCAGCGGCGGCGGGACUCACCGGAGACUAAGCUCCGCGGCGGCGCGCGGCUCGGCUCGCCGGAGCUCGGCGUUCCCGCCGCUCCGGUGGGCCAUUCUUCACGACUCCAGGCUGGAAGGCAUCACCACGGCCUGGGAAACACAUCUAGGGGAAACAGAAGUGGCCAAAACUACUCUAGCGACGAUACGACGGUGAGGGGCGGCUCGGGGGCGGCGGACUCGCCGGCGAGCGGUGUUCCAGGCGCUACGGGCAGCCUUCUACCACGACAUCUGGCGCAACAGGACCAGGGAAAGGAGGAGGGGCUCACCAAGGGGUUGUGGAGGCCGGAGCUGCGACGGGCGGUGGAAGUCGACGACGACCGGCGGCGGAUAAGAUCGGGUGCUCGCGGUCCGACGACUACAGGCAGACUCCGGGGCUCUGAUCACCCUGGGUCGCCUCGGGAAGCUCCUGCGCAGGUGACCAAGGGGUUAAGAGGGCCCGGGAAGCAACGACGGUGAUGAAUUGAGGCGGCGGAGCAGAACACCGGCGGUGGCGGCGUGGCUCGAUUCCGGUGAUGCCGGGGUCUAGAGCUCCAAUGCACGGCUCAGGAGGCUUCUAGGGGGCGAGGCGGAGCUCUAGCAGGGGCUGUGGUGGCCCUGGGCGCGGCGGAGCGGCCUGACCACGGUGAGGCCGAGGUGACCGGAGCGGAGGAAGAAAGGGGCGGCGGUGCUGGAGGUCUUCGGGCGACGCAGGGCUAGGGUUAGGGUCCUGGGGCUCCGGAGUCUCCUUUUGUAGGGCGGCGGGCUACCUUGGCGUGCAGGCCCGUGAGAGAGUAGAUCGCCGGGGAUCUCGGGACCGGUUGAAGCUCGGGGAGGAAGAAUAGGAAAGGGGGGAGGAAGGUGCUGACGCGUGGGGCCGCUGAGUCAGAGAGAGAAAGGAGGGAGAGUGCGGCGCUCAGGCGGGGGCUGGGCUGACUGCUGGCCGAGCCGGCCCACGCGGGAAAGGAGAGAAAGGGGAGAGCAGGGCCGCGUGGAGAGGAGAGGGGAGGGAAAAGAGGGCCGGGCUGAGAGGAGUUUUGGGCUGCCCUUUCCCUUUUCUUUCCUUUUCUUCUUUCCUUUUUCUUUCCUACACUCAAACUAUUCAAACAAUUCUAUUUGAAUUCAAAUAAUUUUGAAUUCAAACCCUAUAAACUCAACACAAGGAAAACAAUGCUCCAGCAUGAAUGCACAAACAAGUUGAUCCUAUAAUAAAUUUUAUUUUCCUGCGUUAUAAAAUUACUUUAAAUGCAAGCUAAAUUAGGGAAAACCUUGGAAAUUUUAUUUGAGCCAAAAUAAAUUCAUUAAAAUUAGGGAAAAUUACAUUUGGGUGUUACACAAACAAACAAUACAAUAAAUAAGAAACAGUACACCAAGCAAUAUAAAUAGAGCAAAAUAACAUUAUAAAGCUACUGUAUAUGUCGAAGGGUCGCGUGAGCGCAAGAAUCGAUGAAAACGGAGUUAAAACGGAGAAGUUAUGGCUAAAACAUGAUUCUCGGGGUUUGUUUGUAGAAGAUUUGAAACUAGAAGGGCUCUGAACAAAGAAACUGAGGGCUAAAACAUAAUUAAACUUUAGAUCUAGGGUUUAGAUUGCAAAAUAGAAGGGCUAAGGAUGGCGGGUUCUAUUUUUGGAAAAGAUAGGGGCCUAAACAAAAAAAGGAUCUAUUCGCGAAUACUUUUGAACUGCCGUGGACUGCGAGAUGAUUUCUAUGAAACUCAGGGGCUAAAGUGCAAAACUGCAUCAGGUUGACCAGUAUCUGGCUUCUUGACUCAGGUUAGAUCUAAUCUAACCCAUUGGAUUGGGAUCUAACGGCCGGGAGCGGCUGACGGUGCAGGGCGGAAGCGCUGCGCGCCGGCGGCGAGGGGAAGCAGCGGCGGCUUGCCGGAAUAACGCGUGAACGCGUUUUCGGGCACGGCUUAGGUUCGGGUUUGGCCUGGGAGCUAGAGAGCGAGGCGAGGAGUGCAUCUAGGGGCUCAGGAAGAGGCGACGGUGGCUGGAGACGGCGGCCGGCGGCGAGACGCGGCUCAGGACGACAGCGAGCGAUUGACGCGCACGGGAAGGCGGGGAAACAGGGGAUAACUGGCCGGUGACAAUCCUUACCCCACGGCAGAGCUUCUGUGGCAGCUUGCGGAGACAGAGAAGAGGCAGAGCGGUGGAACGGCGAGCGGUGGAAGAGCUCAGGCGGCUUACGAUUUUUGGGCGAAGACGGCGACUGUGGCUUGGGGAAGACCUAGAGGACGAGGGCAGGCGGCUUUAUAGGGUGGCCGAGGCACCUAGGUGUGUGGGCCUGAGACGCCGCGCGGGCGGGCCGUCGCCGGACCGCGGCCGGACUCGGGCUCGAGUCCGAGCCAGGCGCGGGGAAAGGGAAGGUCCCGGCAGACGGGACCCACUUGCCAGCGAGAGGGGGAGGGAACGGAGAGAGAGGCGCGGCCGGUUUGGGCUGGGGAGGGAAACUCGGCCGCGCGGAGGAAGAAAAGGAAAGAAGCCAGCGGGCUGGGCCAUGUGGGGAGAGAGAGAGAGAAGAAGAGGCCGGGCCAACUGGGCUGUGCGGGAGGAGAGGAAAAAGGCCGGCUUGGGCUGGGCCGCAAGGAAGAAAAGAGAGAGGGAAAAAGAAAAGAGAGUGGGCCGGGCCCAAUUAGGAAAAGAGAGAGAAAAAGAAUUGCAUUCAAAUGCAUUUGAAUUUGAAUUUGAAAUUUAAAUUCAAAUGGAGGACAAACAAUAAUACAGUGCAGUGGGGCAUGAAAUGCACAAAAACCUAUAUUUCCUUAUAUUUCUUUUUAUAGUUAAGUAAAUUACUAUUAAUUCAUGGAAAAUGCUCUAAAAUCAAAAUGAUGGAAUAAAAACCUUAUGGACCCUAAAAGAAUUCUAGCAAAAUUUAUUUAGGUUGCUAAUUUGAAAAUUUGGGUGUUACAGUCCGUCGACCUUAUGAUUCCAACAUAAGUGAAAUAAGCAAUUCAUAUAUCUCGCGAGUGACAGGAAAUCACUCGACUUUUACCGGAGUCCUAUAAGCAUGGCAAUCUAGGGACCAACGCAGGCUGGUGUUCAUAUCAUAGGUACUAGGAUCAUGCAACUAGAGUUUCAAUCAACUCUACAAACUUAAUGCACAUACCAAAUAUAAAUAAAAGUUGCAUAAGUUUUCCUAGGAUAAGGGAUGGGACAUGGCCCACGCCCUACAUCUGUUGUAACUUGUCACACCCGGUUUUAAGGACAAAACCGAAUGCAUAACUAUACAUAUGCUAGGAUCAAGUUCCAUAUAUAUAGUGACUUCAUCAGUGAAUAAUCAGCAAUAGUAUCACGAAAAGAGAAUUAUAAGACUAUAAAGAUUAUCAGAGUUAUACAGCUUAUCCUGAAAAUGAAGACUCCAAACAUCAUAGGCAAUCGACCGGGGUUUGCGUAGGCCUAGAACUCAGCAUCAUCUUCAAAAGACUUCACAUCACUUUCUCCUCUGAGCAGCAAUUAUAACAAGCUUGAGUACACUUAUGGUUGGUACUCAGCAAGUGUUGGAAAUUAUAUAACAUGAAGGCCAAAAGCAAGAAAAGGCUGACUAGCUUACUACAAUAAGAAAUUUUAGUUGGUCAAAUUUUAUUAGCACCUGAUUACUAAGGUAUAAGUUCAUACCAAAACCCACAUUAAAAGAAACAGAAGAGAUAUAGCAGAAUCAUAACGAUAACCAUAAACAUGGUCGAUGAUUUAAUUUAUCUUCAAGGUCAAUUAUCAUGUGAGGGACCAAGCCGCUCUUAACCGUGAGUACGGCUGAUAUAUCAGUUUUCACUCUGUAGAGGUUGUACACUUUACCCACAAUUCAUAUCUCCCAAUUUGCUCGAGGUAGCUAGCCUCUUAAACACUUCCGAGGUGAGUGGCAAGGGAUUCACUACGAGCCCUUUACAAAGAUUCCCUAACUUAUGACAAUCCGAGGUUUCAGAUAGCAGUGGUCAUAACCCUCCCUAAUAAGAAAGACGCCUUAACCAGGAUCAUAUCUAAACCUCAAGAGGACCGGGCUAUACCCCAUCAACGCACUCCCCUCUUGCCCUUUCGGUAAGAUCAUCACAAGCUAGAGUUUCUAAUUAAUUAGCCAAGACUGGAGCCAUAUAGUAUUGUGGUUGCACUAUUUUCCUGAGUGGUUCUCCAUGUUUCGAUUAAAACAUAUGAUCUUGUUAUUAACAACACAAAGAGCAUGAACUUGGAUAAAACAGGUGUAACAUCAGGUUAUAUAUUAUUCCCAAACCGGAACCAGUUAUAGCAACUAAGCAAUAGCUACCAAACAUAAAUGUAAAACCUAGGUAGACAAGGAAUGACCAGAAAGAUUAGGCAUAUCCUUAAUUAGGAUCCCUCAAAAUUAGGACACAUGCAUGCAUAUAGAAAAAAGUUAUAUUUAUUGUGAUUAUUAAGAAUGAUUAAGGAAACACUUGCCUUUCUUUUAGAGAAUAGCUGCUCAGAGUCUUCAGCUCUUGUUCUUGGAACUCUUAAUCUUCAAUGCUCUUGGACUACACUCCUUCUAACGUCAAACAAGCAUCGGACCGAAGCACAACAGUAACAAACAAACAAAAACAACUAAGAACAGGUACACCAAACAAAAGGAAAUCUUAAGAAAACAUACUAAAGGAGAGAGCUCGUUGCUACGGUCACGAGAAAUAGCUAUCGGAAAAUUUAUGUUAUCAAAGAGACAAAAGAACUAUAAGCUUAAUUUAUUUUAAUUUAGAAAACUAAUGUAAAAGAUAUUCAAAAGAGAAUAUCCCUAAUUAUAAUUAACUGAUAUUAUAUUUGCAUUUAUAAAGACAAGGUACAACUUAAUCAAAUUUUAUAUAUAAUUGUCUAUGUAUAAAUUAUCCUAAGUAAAGAAUUAAUUAGAAAAGAAACCGGUGAGAGCAUCUAAACGUCGAACUUUAUGGUUUGUGUUGAACUAAACAAAUUAAACUACAAACACAUUUAAAUUGAUAUUAAUCAAGUUAACAUUAAUAAUGGAAAUCAGAGUAUAGAUCUAAUUGGAUUUUAAUUGGAAAAACUAGAUGACAGGAUAUUAAUCAAACUAAAUUGAUAUUUAAUUAUAAAAGUAGGAACUAUGGUACAACAAGACUAUUUAACUAAGCUUACGCUAAAAGAAAGCUAACGCAAAAAGAACCGAUCAAAACGGAUCUAAAACAAGGAAACUACUCAUGAAACAAGAUUUCAGGGACCUAGUCACGAUUAACUAUAGAUUUCAAGGGCUAGCAGGGAAGAUCUGCAAGACACAGUAAACUGUGCUUGCAAAUUAGGGAAAAGUUUAGGGUUAGAUCUGAAAAAGACCAUGGGUGGGGCUGUGUUGAAAAGAUGCAAUAGAUCUAGGGGGUUUUCUGCGAAGUUUGCAAGACACAAGAAAGAAUAGGAAAAUUACAGCUUUCCUGAGGGGCUAAAUUGCAAAAAGCUUUGCAGCACAUCUAUUGAUGAGGAUAUUGCCACCAACGAUACAUCCACAUCUACACCAGUAUCUACUUCGACAACACCUCUUGGUCCUAUUACUCACGCUCGUGCUCGUCGGCUUACCCAUCAAGUAAGUUCACUCUUAAGCUCAGGUUCAUCAUAUUUAGACAAUGGAGAUACGUGCACUCUUGUUUUACUCACGAACAAUGGAUUGGAUCAAAAGGGAAGAGGCAUCACGCAGGCUGCAUUCGGACUGCAGGACAGAGACGACUUAUAACGGCUGCCACAACUUCAUCCGGACUUCGUUUUGGUCGUUCAAGUACUUCCUGGAAAGCUUAUCAAAUCUACUUUCCAACGGAUCUGGAAUCGCCUCCAUAUUUGUUCAGAGACAACUGCAAUCCUCAAUUUACUAGAGUCCUUUUCAGCUACGGUGCUGCGUCACCCUAUUUUGGCCCAACGGGCCGUGUAUCAAGUUGAGUUCAAUUCGGACGCGUCCUAGGGUUGGAACAUGACCCCAGCACCCUUGUGGUCAUUCUCCCACUUCUUUAUAACCUUUAGCCGCUGCCAAGAACACCCGGGUUUUGUUAGAUGCAAGUUUAGCUUUUGCUACUUCCUUGUAGGCGCGCAUGUUGAUCCAACCGCCCGUCUACUUGUUUCCGGAACCCACCGUAUUUGAGAUUCAGUUUGAGACCUUCAAUUACAUCUCACAAUUUCAAUACUUGUUCUACUUGUUCUUGCAAGUUCUUCAAUUGCUUGAAGGACGAGUGCCCUAGUGGCCGGGUGUCGCGCUCCACAAGAUCGCGAUGACCGUAGGAGGUGGUGCAUUGGUUGCUAAGGCGCAGCAUCCUUGGAAGGCUGUACUCGGGCCGUGAACGUCGUCUCCUCCAUCAAUUGAGUUAUCCCACGCCUCUCAUCAAAAGAUCAGGAACAAACCUUAGCGGGUUCUAUUGUCGGUCGAAACCCACCGGCAAGCAGCGACAGGCAACAUGAGGAGCUGGGAGGCUCUUGGAACUCCUGGUGGGCCCCGGUCCCUCGGUCAACAGCCUAGGAUCUGGCACACGACUUGGAGUCUUGAUCUACUAGGCGUGCCACCUGACCUAUACCUGAUCAGGAAGGUGUAGAUGUGAUUUCAAUUAGUCUCCUGCAUACACAAACACUUUCAAACAUUAGUCCGAGCCGUGAUCGCGUCUUCAGGUGAUCCCCGCAAUCGGCUGCAAAGAGCCGAUUACUCCCCGAUAUCAGAUUUGAUCUGUUCGUUUAAGCAUAAUACACAAAUCUGAUGAUAAUAUAAACUUGCUCUAUAAUCAACAGGCUAAUUCAAUCUACGACUAUUAAAGCUUUCACCACACGACCGGAACAUCCUACCGUAGUUAAGCCUAACAAACAUGAAAGAUAAUAGAAUAGCAACCUAAACAGAGGCCUAAAAACCAGCAGAAAGCUAAUUUCCGGAAUCAUCUCUCUUUAGAUCAAUAUAAAGUAUCAAACGUAUUGCCGGAUCAUUCAACUCGUUUGAAGAGCCUAAUCAUGCAGAUCUCAAGCCAAAUCUUUAAUGAACAAAGACUAACCAUAACAGAUUGGAUCUACUAAUCAAAAUAGAGGAAGGUGCUACCCUUACACCCGAGAUCGGGCAUGAGGACAGCUAAACGUUUACAGGUAACAAACAAUGCAUGAAUACAAUAUAAAAGCCGAUGCAUCCCUGUAAGCGCUAAGGUAAUUAGUGUUACUCACCAUCAACAACGCUCCAGCAUGAGAAACAUAAAGAUAAAUAGGUAGGACCAAUGCUGCCCUGAUCAUGCGAAGCGUGAUCGGGACUGCAUGGCACUUACCGAGAGAAACCCUAAAAUAGGGGUGGCGAUGCGCCGAGAGUUUUUUGCGAAUGCUUGUUGUUUUAUUCGUAGUCUAGGGCACAUAUUUAUAGUCUAGAAACUUGCCUCUCCUAACCAAUCCUGAUCGACUAUGACACGAAUCCUGACUAUCUACUUCUAAACUAACUUAAACUAGAUACAUGGCCAAUCUAGCCAUAAACCACCCGCGCAGGAGCCAAUUCGCAAGCCCAUUACAAUUAUCGUUAGAGCCCAUCUUGCUCGCGGCCCACCUUCUGGCCCAGCCAAAUUAUGACGAUAGCACAUGCCCCCUGGUUUCGGCAAUAAUAAUUCCGAAACCAUUUUUUUCCUUUCCAUCGCCUCGCCUCUUCGACUUCCAAAAUCCGUACACGCGUGCCACUUCCACUUCCACGGGAUGUGACUACUCCGCAUCUAACUUCUUGGAAAUCGUCACGGUGCUGAUCUGUAUCCCAUUCCUGCCUUUAUAAACUCGACCUGGCAACCUGUUCAUUCAUUUUCUUCCUCGAGUCGAUAGAAACUGCAGCAGUCCAACCCUCCUUCUCCCACAAUGGCUUGCUCAUCCUCUGCUUCCUUCAUCAUCUCCAUUGACUCCAAGAAAACUCGAGAGAUGACCCCGGAGUUCGACCCCACAGCUGCCUAUGAGGCCUGCGCUCCUCUGCACUGGGAUGUAGAGGAGUGGGAUUUCCAAGCCUGGUCAGAGGAUGAUAAAUCCCUGACCGAUGGAGAAGACCACCAGUUCCUCCUUGACGAGGAACUGGAAAAUGAAGACGACAACGACGAUGUGUCCUAGGAAGGGAACUUCUCCUCCUCGGAAGAAGAAGCCGAUGACACAUCAAUCGAGGAAGACUUAGCAAUAGGAGGCUUCUUGCACAGUGGGUCAUCUAAGGACGACGAAGUUGAUGAUGAUGAAGAGACCGAUGGCAGCAGCGGCUAUAGCGGUGACGACAGCAGCGACGACAACGGUAGUGAUGAUGGUGGCCACAUUGGUGCAGCCCCUCCGAUUAAGCGCCGCAAGGUCUUAGGCACCUACUGGUGGUAGUCCAUAGAAUUAGUAGUAACUACCAUGUAUUGAGCUGAUAGAUCGGCUUUAGGAGCAAUCGGCUCCACUUUUGUAAUGUCCUUCCCUAUGAAUGAAAUCUUCAGCCAAAAAUAUCGAAAAGCCGAUUCACCAGUAGCCGAUGGCAACGCAUUGGUCCUUCCCCUCAAAGUGCCGAUUUGAAUCUGAGUCGAUUCUUAAAUCAAUUCCAUUUUCUGCUUAAAUCCGGAACUUUCCCGAAACAGAUCUACAAAGGUUCCCCGAAUCCAAGUUGCUCACCAAAAACCUCUGCUCAAAAAUUCAAUCGCAAAACCCCAAAUCAGAGCCUCAAAGCGCGAACUCGAAACCCAUGAAGCAAACCCUAGAUCCAAUUUUGAGCCUUCAAUCGCUGUUGGAACUUCAAAUGGCAGAACCCUCAAAUGCCAAUGCGGGCGUCCUUGGUUUGAAGGUAAAACUCUGACCUUUGCUAAUUUAAUGGAGUAGUUACUCGAACACCUGAAGAAUUAAAUGAUCCUUUGCUGUUUACUUGGCUCUAUCAAUUCUUCAGGUUUCAGACAUUCUUUUGCCAUAUCCUUCGCUCCCCAACUCCUAUUGUCUUGGCCCUCAUUCUUAUGAAAGUCCAAUAGAUUUGAUUUCUUGUGAAGCCAACUGAAUCUCAUUCGUAAGCCAAGAUAUAGAUUCAGAUUCCUAGGCCGACAGCCUGCGUGCCUGGCCAAAUCCUCCCGAGGGCUGGGUGUCCUGGUAUAACAGAGUAGCGAAAGCCUACCAACCCACAUGGGAAACUAUAGGAAUAGCCGAUGCUCUGUCCCUGUCAUUGUCCCCUCUCAAGAAGAAUGAAAACCUUCUGAAAACCAUCGGCUAUUUUUGGUCUGAUGCCCUGAAUUGCUUUUUAUUUGGCCAUGGGCCGAUGACCCCAACCCUCAUGGAUGUGGUGAUGAUUACUGGUCUGGACAAUUGCAUCGCCCAGCCCCUCUGCUUACAGAAUGCCUGAGGUCCCCUUUAAGUUGUCCUCCAAAACAAAAUGCACAAAUUGGGAUGCCUACCUGAACCAGUACAUCAAAACCAAAGGCCCUAUAACUGACAAAGAACAUACAGCCUUUCUGAACCUCUGGUUGGAACACUUCAUAUUUUGCGGCCCUUCCCUUGCUCCAACCAAAAACUACCUUUCUCUAGCAUAUGAACUGGCCAGAGGUAAUACUAUUGGCCUUGGCAAACUGUUUCUUGGGGAAGUUUAUAGAUAUCUUCACCUGAUGUCUUCGAGCUUGCUCUCCCAAAAAAACUUAGAACUGGUGGUCCCUGGUGGUUCAUUCAGUUAUGGGCUCACUUAUAUUUUCAGAACAACAUACCAAACUUCCCUAUUCUGGCCGAUAAUUCCUUCCCAGAUCAGAGUGGGAGAUGCAUCAAAUGUACCAGCUUCGGCCAAGCUUUGUAGAGUCUUCCUGGUAGCAAGUUAAACCCCAAAGACGCCUCAAGCUAGUUUAGAAUAUUCUACCAAGGUUUAAACAAUCCGAUCUACCUUCCUUACACAGAUUUUGAAAUCUUUGAAAAUUCAAGCGCCUUUUGAUUGGAUGACUUUGCCGAUGAUGAAAGCACUCGGCAUUUGUACUCCAUCAUGAUCCAUCCUUGCUUGCUUCCUGUCGGCAUGAGCACCUCCAACAGAAUCUUCAAACCAGGCUAUGAAUCUUACCAGCCGGUCGUAGCAGCUCGGCAAUUUGGUUUUGGGCAAGUUCCUCCCGACUUCUUCCUUCAUCAUCUGACAAAGAGUAGAACCGAUCUAUCUGACAGUCUCACCAGCUCCAGAUGCUACAGCCUGUUUGAUGAUCUCCACAUCCCAAUCCCUAUUGACAUAUCAUUUACUUUUUCAGCUAUCAGCUUCGAGAAUUGGUGGUCAAUGUGGAAAACUCAUGUCUUUCGAAAAGCCUUGGGGCCAAUGUUGCAGCAAAUUUACGUUGAGUGUGAAGUCCCUGAGGAAGAGGUAUCGCCAUCAGUUUAUUACUUCUACAUGAUUCUGCUUGACUUCUUUUCUAAUUCUGUUUGUUUCCUCUACAGCAAAAGGAUGGUUCGGAACCCAAGAACGAUGAUGGCUCCUCUUUCAAGUUCUCACCGACAGCUCCCAUGGUCCUUUUUGGCAAGAAUGCGCCUCCCCUGUCGAAGGUCAUAAUGCAGAUCCAGCCUGAUUCCUAAAAAUGGACUUCCAAGCGAAAACGAGCCCCCGAUGUUGCUGCCCCCCGAGCUCAGAUCAAGGUGAUGAAGAGGAUUACCAGGAAAGUCCGGAAGGAGGCCAGACUACCUUCUUUAGAUCAAGGAGCUUCCAACGUCAACCAGGUUCCAAUUAUACCUUUAGAAUUGGUCUUCUGUAUAGAUAUACUUUGGCUUAAUUGCUCCUUCCUUGUUUGCAGGCCGAUAUUGUAGACACUCCCAGUGGGGAAGAGCAGGCGCGCCAAGAAAACCCGAUCCUAGGAACUCCAGAGAAUCCAGCAACGACAGUCGAUUCCUUGGUCAACCUCCAGGAACGGUCCUGGAAACUCCGGCGAGUCUUGCAACAACAAUUGAUACUUUGGUUAAUCUCCAAGAUUUGCAUGAGCCGAUUUUCACCGCCUCGGCUGUCAAUUCUUCCCAAGAAAAGGUAUGUGAUCUCUCAUUUGCAUCUUCCUUCCCCUGUACCAUACUGAUUUUCUGCCUUCUUUUUAGGGCUUAAACCUCUCGGAGCUGCUCUCGUUUGACCCUGCAUCUAUCGGCUCGGCCAUAUUCAAAGUCGAUGAUCAUCAACCUCAACCGACUGGUGUCGCUAGCCAGCUUCACCGCAUAAAGGACCUGCUCUCAGCUCCAAUUGACGCUUUGGUCCAAGAUUCCGACGAAGUGAAGCAAAUUCUUGAGGAGAUCAAACCCCAACUCUCGCAAGUUCUUCAGAUCAAGCUCUAGCCAACCGGACAUCUUCCCUUCUUUCGAGCAAAGGUGGAGAUGGCUCGGCACAGGAUUGAAGCACGUCGUUCACAAGCCCCCUUAAGAGUCGAUAUUGCCGAGAGGUGCCAUUUGCUCAACGAAAAGAAGGUGGCCCUAGAUGCCAAAGCUGACACUUCUGCACAUUCCCAAGGGCUUCAACUCCUGGAGAAGGAGUUGGAAGACCUCAAGGCAAAAGUCCAGGCAACUGAGCAGCGCAUCCAAGAUGAGAAGGACCUCAUAGCCCGCUCUGCACAAGAAGCAGAGCACCUGACUACCCAGUUGAAGACAGAGCUCACAGAGCUGAGUGUUUUAAGUCAGCAGAUAGUGUUAGGUGAGGACAAGGAUGAUGAAGCAGUGAUCGCAGAAGCCGAUCACGUCGGUCUUGAGGCUAUUGCGGCCAUUGAUGAAUUUCUCCAAUAGAACGCUUUAUAAUCAUCUCCUGUAGCCUGUUGUUGCCUAGAAAUCACAUGUACUCCAAUUACACUUCUAAAGUCGAUGAUUAUACAUCAGCUAUUUGUCCAAUUCAGCGCGUUGAUACAAAAUAUAUAUUUUUUAUACUUUUUUUAGGGGCCGACUGAACGUGUCGGCCCCUUUCUUGCAUGCAGCCUGAUGUGUAGCAUUGGCUUUUACUGUCCGUCAUCCCACUUGCUUUGGAAAUAUUUCUUGAGAUAUUGACCAUUGAUAGCCACCAGAAACCUAACGCCAUCUAACUCCUCAAGCAUAUAUGCAUUCCUAGGUAGGACUUGGUCAACUCUAUAAGGUCCAUGCCAAUUUGGAGACCACUUGCCAUAUGCUGCAUCCUUAGUUCCCAACGGUAACACCGCUUCCCAAACCAGAUCUCGGACUUGGAAUUCUUUUGGCUUGACUUACUUCUUGUACACGCGGGCCACCUUGGCCUUAUUUUCUUUGAUCUUCUCAAGUGACCAAAGUCUAAGCUCCGUAAGGUCCUCAAUGUUGUUGUUCAUCAGAGCAACAUAUUCUUUAGCUGUUAGGUCAUUUUGGAACUCUACGCGCCUCGAGCCGGCCGUAAUCUCCCACGGUAAAAUAGCCUCCUGUCCAUACACCAGGUGAUAAGGUGAAGUUUUUGUUGCUCCGUGGCACGAAACAUGGUAUGCCCACGAUGCCUCUGAUAAGACUUCAUGCCAACGCCUAGGAUGCUCAUCAAUCUUUCUCUUGAUCAACUUGAUAAGGCUCUGAUUGGACGCCUCAGCUUGUCCAUUUGCUUGAGCAUAGUAUGGAGAUGACCUGAUCAGCUUGAUGCCUAUGUCAGUAGCAAAUUUUCUGAACUCCUCUGAUAUGAAGACCGACUCUCCAUCUGUUGUGAUGGUCUGAGGAAUCCCGAACGUGUGAAUGACAUGUUCUUUAACAAAAUUGAUGAUGUCCUUCGACGCCACAGACUUCAUAGGGAUGGCCUCCACCCACUUGGUAAAAUAGUCCGUAAUGGCCAAAAUGAAUUGGUGGCCUUUGCUAGAUGGAGGAUUAAUUUUGCUAAUCAUGUCCAUACCCCAACCUUUGAAUGGCUAGGGUUUGACGAUAGGGUUCAUUACUGACGUUGGUACCAUCUAUAUCUUCCCAAACCUCUGACAUGUCUGACAUCCUUUAUAAUAUUUGAAACAAUCUUCAAGCAUGGUGGGAUAGUAAUACCUUGAUCGCCUAAUCAGCCACUUCAUCUUAUGAGCCGAUUGGUGAGUCCCACGAGUGCCUUCGUGGACCUCGUGUAAGAGCCGAUUCGAUUCAAUCGGCCCCAAGCAUUUGAGCAACAAUCUUUCUAAAGUCCUGUAGAACAUGUCGUCCCCUAUCAGGAUGUACUUCAUGGCCUUGUAACGUAUCCUCUUAGGUGCCCCCCGAGCCGGAUCCUUUAAGUAAUUGAAGAUAUCGGCUCUCCAGUCUCCCUGUCCCAGCAGGUGUACCUGAAGAUUGGCUCCGUCUGCCAUAGCCUUGUAUCCCAAAGCCAUCUGCGCAAGAUCAUUGGCCUCUGAAUUUUAUAUCCUUGGUAUCUAAUGAAAUUUAUGUACCUAAAUUGGACCAUCCGCUCCUGACAUUGUACCCAUAAAGGGAAAAGCGACUCGCUCUCGCACCUGUAUUCUUCUGUAAGCUGAGAAAUCACCAGCUUUGAAUCCCCAAAAAUUUCUACUGCUUCCACUCCGGCCUCAAGAAGCAAUUCCAUACACUUACGUACUGCUUCAUAUUCUGCUAAAUUGUUGGUGCAAGGGGUAGGCAACCUGAUUGAAAAAGAAAAUGCUACCCCUCGAGGCGACACGAGCAGGAUACCUAUACCACAUCCAUCCCCACAAGCCGAUCCAUCAAAGUACAUGGCCCAUGCACGCACGGAGAGUGCUGCUAUGUCAGUAUUGAUCCUUUCUGCAAUAAGAUCUGCUAGCGCUUGCCCUUUGACUACCUUUGCAGGUUGGUACCGGAUAUCAAACUCUGUCAGUGCAAACAUCCACUUUCCGAGUCGGCCUUUCAACACAGGAGCCGAUAGCAUGUGCUUCAUAACGUCCGAUUUGCUGAUGACAAUCGUUUCGGCAGAUAGCAAGAUAUGAUGAAGCUUUGUACAGGUAAAGAACAAACAAAGGCAUAACUUUUCAAUCUCAGGGUACCUAGUCUCCGCAUCUAGCAUCCUUCUGCUGAGGUAGAACACAACCCUCUCCUUGCCGUCAUGCACUUGUGUCACCAUCGAUAGAAUGGCUUAUCCUGCUGGAGUGGAACUAACACGGGUGGUUUUGACAAAUAUUCUUUGAUCUCUUCAAAUGCCCGUUGUUGCUCUGCCCCCCAACGAAACUCAUCACUAGCUUUAAUCUUCACCAACUCCAUAAAAGGCUCAAUCCGCUCAGAGAGAUUGGAAAUAAACCUUCUGACAAAGUUGAUCUUGCCAAUGAGCUGCUGGAGCUCCUUCUUUAUAGUAGGUGGCACCAUUGUUUUUACAGCUUCCUGACUCUUUAUGCCGAUCUUAAUUCCUCUUUCAUGAACCAAGAAACCCAGGAACUGACCGGCCGAUACACCGAAAGUGCACUUCUUCGGAUUCAUCUUAAGCCCGAACCUUCUGGUUCGUUCUAGAACUUUCCAUACAUCUCCUAAGUGUUCCUCAACUGAUGCAGAUUUAACCAGGACAUCGUCAAUGUAUAUCUCCACCAACUUGCUGAUCAGGUCGUGAAAGAUGUAAUUCAUGGCACGUUGAUACGUGGCACCGGCAUUUUUCAACCCGAAGGUCAUGACCACAUACUCAAACAAUCAUACUGCCCCGGGUACUCUGAACGCGGUCUUAUGUAUAUCCUCUGGAGCCAAGAAAAUCUGGUUAUAGCCGGUGUUGUCAUCCAUGAAACUCAAAAUCUUGUGACCAGCAGCCGCGUUGAUCAAUGUCUCCACGAUAGGCAUCGGGUAUUCGUCCUUCGGUGUAACUCUGUUGAGGUCUCUGAAGUCCUCGCAGACUCGCCAUCGGCCAUCCUUCUUUCGCACAGGUACAACACUUGAAAUCCACUCGGCAUACCUACACGGCCUAAUGAAUCCUGCUUCUAGCAUUUUCUCCACCUCUUUCUUGACUUCUUCUAGAACUUCAGACUUCAUUUGUCGCGCUCGCUGCUGAAACGGCCGGAAUCCCUUGUUGAGAGGGAGCCGAUGCUCGAUGAUGCUCCUAUCCAACCCAAGCAUCUCCGUGUAAUCCCAGGCGAAACAAUCUGCAUACUCCUUCAGCAAAGCUAUCAUCAUCUCUCAUAGACACGGGCUUAACUUUUUGCUGAUGAAUGUUGGUCGUGGCUUAUCCCCAGGACCAAUGUCAACCUCUUCGAGCUCGUCAGCUGAUGUAAACCCAUAUCCUAGCUUUCCGUCAUCUGCCAAGUCAACGCUGCAAAUGGAUAAAGAAUGUGACGAAUAGAGUUUCGGCCGAUCGUUAAGAUCGGCUGCCUUAUAAUCUUCAUUAAUCCUUGAAACUUUACAAUUGAUGUAUGGUCGGCCGCUAGAGCGGGCCUCCUCAUAAUUUCCACUAUUAUGCAAUACACUUGUCAUCAGGAGUUUACAUUUUAUUUUUUGGGGCCAAUCGUAGGGAUCGGCCUUGCCAAGUGCGUCAGAAUAGCUCUCCCUUGAUGUUUCAUCUACUCUGUAAGGCCAGUGGAUAAGACCAGCCUCACCCCAUUUUUUGUAACUUCCACGCAAUCACAGCCUUCCAAACUGAUUCUUGAAAUCGGCUCUUGAUCUUCUGCGUCCCAAAUGCUCAUGGCGGCGUGUGAAAUCUCGAUCGAAUCAUCCACAUGAACCACCUCUACUUCGUCCCCAUCCCGCUGAAUCAGACAUCGGUGCAUCGUGGAAGGGAUGCAACAGUUGGCGUGAAUCCAAUCCCUCCCAAGUAGGAUGGUGUAAGUACUCUUGCUGUUGAUGACGAAGAAAGAGGUGAGGACAGUCUUGCUUCCCACGGUCAGAUCCACAUUAAGGACACCUUGUGCAUCUGAUGUUUGGCCAUUGAAGUCGCUCAACGUGACGUUGGUCUUGAUUAAAUCUCUAGUAGAAUGCCCCAACUGACGCAGCAUUGAGUAUGGCAUUAUGUUGAUGCUGCACCGGUGUCGACCAACAUUUUGUUGACAGGCUGGCCAUUGAUGUAACCCUUGAGGUAUAGAGCCUUCAAAUGCUUAUAAUUCUUUCCUCGGGGCUUCUCGAAUAUGACUGGCAGCGGCCCAAGUCAGGCUGGGCUACUGGUAACUCUUCACGGCUUUGGGUGUAGAACUUCGCAGGGAGUACAAACACCAUAUGCGCGUCAGCCGAUGUCUUCGCAUCGACUCUUGUUGGCUUAGGAUGCCACUCAUUCUUAGGAGGGUUCGAUUCCCUUUUUUGGGUGUGGUGAACCUUAUCCGCCGGAUUCGGGCGCGCUUUUCUUAGCAUCUCAGGAUAUUUGGCCUCGGCUUUCUCCAAGUUGCGCAACCGCUGCACCCUGCGUUUCUGGGAAUGAUUAAGUCCAUUAGGGCACCAGCGCGGCCGGUGAUAUUUGUCCUCUUCUUCUUCAAAGUCCUCCUUUCUGCAUGGUGGCUCAGCUUGCUCAUGUUGGGCCGGCACAGGUCCCAAGCACCAAAACACCGAGAUCCCUUCUGCAUCACGUUUCCGAGGUCUGCACUCCGGGCAAUCAUUGACAGAAGGCAAUCGGCUCAUACCGGAGUCCCAGCAAUACUUGAAGAACGGGCAAUACCAAUGGUCACGUGUAUCUUCACGCUUCUUCAGACUCUUCCCAGUACGGUGCUCAUAUUCUUCAUCCUCUGAUUCAUACUGGAGACAUUGCCGGUACUGGCAUUCAUACUUCUUGAGGAGAUGGGCGGAAGCUGGCCGUUGUUUUGUGACGUGUCUCACUUGCUCUUCAGUGAUGUAUUCCUUUUCCUCUUUUUGGGGCAGAUUGCAGGGAUCAGCCUUCUCCUUCCUUUCAUAGUGAUGUGGCACAGGCCUGCCAUGUUGAUGCCGAAUGCAAAGUCCAGCUGUCGUCGUGCAGAUCGGUCGCUAUCGUUCACGCGACCCUCUACCAUGUUGACGCUUGGGAACGGCUGCGUGUCGACCUUCAUGGCAUACUGACCUAAGAUCAAUCGGCCCUGCUCAAUAGCUGAUUGGAUCUAUCGACGGAGUUCUUUGCAGUCGCUGGUGUUGUGGGUGAAAGAAUGAUGCUAUUUGCAGUAUGACCUCCCUUGCCGUUCUUAUGCUGUAGGAAACAUACAGCCUUCAGGUAACUUCAACUGCUUUUCCUUUAAUAACAUAUCAAAUGUCUGCUCGACCUUGCUUACAUCGAAAUCAAAACCCUUUUGCAGGUCCUUGCUGCUUCACCCACUUACAGGACACGGGAUUUGCCCCCCGAGUCCACUCUGCACCCGCUACUUCUUGAUCAUCCCCAGAAUCUUCAGCGUCUUCUACGUCGAUCAAUGUUACCUGAUGCUUGAACCUAUCCUGGUACAAUUCUGGGUGGCGCUGCUCAUAUGAUGUCAAUUUUUGCACCAAGUGCGCUAAAGAAUGGAACUCCAAUUGAAAGACCAGGUCCUUGCUCGGCUUCACCAGUCCCAAGGAUGCCAGCUCGACUGCCUCUUUUUCUGAAAUUCGGGUUGAAUAGCAUCGAUUCUUGACUUCCCUGAAGUGCUGGAUAUACUCUGACACAGUUUCCCCUCGCUUCUGCCGGACUUGUGCUAGAUCGGCAAUCCCGGCCUCCGCAGCUUCCGAGUGGUAUUGGAUGUGGAAUUGCUCCUCCAACUGCUUCCAUGUGCGGAUCGAGUCAGGACCCAAUGAAGUGUACCAUCCGAAGGCUGGCCCUGUAAGAGACUGUGAAAAGAACCUUACUCGUUGAGGGUCUAACACUCAGAUCAUCCCCAAUUGUGCCAAGUAUCGGCUCACAUGCUCGAUGAAACUGGACCCUUCCGAUCCACUGAACUUGGUAAGCUCAGGGAGCUGAUAGUUGCGUGGUAGAGGGAUCAAAUCAUAUUCACUAGGAUAUGGCUUAGUAUAGUUGAUCGCUCUCCUUUGUGGUAAAAUACCAAAUUGAUCCCUCAAGAUGGCGCUAAUCUGGUCUACAGUUUGAACUCCUGGGGCCGAGUGCGUGCCAUCAUGACUCGGCCCGGUGGCGUACUUAGCUAGCCAUGCUUGCUUAUCGGCAUCUAUCCUAGAAACUCCUUCAGUCACCCGCUGCGCUGAAUAUACCGGGUUGUUGCUGUCUGGUAUAUAUGCACACAUGUACCCAUGUGGAAUGUCCUUAGGCGGCUCACUAAAGAAUUGAUGAUCCACAAGGUCACCUCCCACCUUGUAGACAACUUAUGUCGGUGAACCUUGUGAUUCUGGAGCCGCGACUGCAUAAGGCAGUGGUGGCUUGGCCUGGAACAAUAAUUCUCCUUUGUGACUUCGCAGGGGAUGUCCCGUCGAAGAGUACUGAUUCUUCAUUAUUUCCUGGACUACGCGCAGCGCGACACGCUCAAGAGUGUUCACCAGGCUUUCGGAGUGCCGAUGUAACGAAUGAGCCACCAUGUAGUUCACCUCCUAGCGUAGAGCUCUGGUGCGCUCCUCUGAAGAGGUAGAUAGAUCCACUUCAUCGAGAGCGUCUUUAGGUGAGAAUCCUUUCCACCUGAUGCCAUGGUGGCGGGUCCUCUCAAAAGAGCCGAUGAGAUCGGCUUCAAAGAGAGCCUUGAUCUCAUCAUACUUCUACUUGUGCUCAGCGGAAAGCUCCUCGUAUAUGACUGAGUUUUCCUUUGACAUCCUGGCGGUGGAAGUAUCAAGAUGAUGUCUGAAACUGGAACGACAAGAUAACAGGCUUGGCUAGUAGGUGCAGCACAGGCACGCGAAGUGCAAGGCGGACAUGACCGUUCCAAAUAAGGCCACCGAAUCCUAGACAUUCACGCUUAGGGAACACUAAGUCGACAUGGCCUGGCUCUUGCGGUGAAAACAAAAGGAGAGGAGGGGCAUGAUAGAUAGGACCACAAUUUCAUAGGGAGAAACAACAAGAGAGAGGAGCGAUUGGCUAGCCAUUGUGCCAAGGAAGACAGAUGGUAUUAAGGGAUGCUCGGCUGGGCAAAGAUUGAGUUGGGUCUAGGGUUUUUAGAGCAAUGGUGCUAAUCGCCAGAGCUGAUGUUGUCGAUAACGAAGUAUCACCGGAAAAUUCCGAAGUCGAGGCAUGAUUUCGUUUCGAGUGAGAUUUGAUUAGGGAGAAAGAUUAGAGAAUGUGAAACUUGAAUGGACAUUAUAGGGUAUCAGAUAUGACAGAGUAAAAAGGGAGAAUGGUGAUAUGACGGAUCGGUCCGACUACGAUAAGAAUUUGAACUUCGGGAAGGAAGUCUACUUUUUUAUGGCGGAACUCGAAAGAUGACAAGAUCAAAGUGGUGGUCGAGCUCAACAGCACGGUUCUAGGAUAUAAGGUGGACUAGACUCAAAAAUAAGUUGAAUCGAGCUCGAGAGGAAACAAAAUGAAUUCCAUUUUCUGUAAUAUAUUUUCAAGCUUAAAAUCAAUCUAGAAAAGUCCAGAUAAACAUUUUAAACCAUGAAAAAUAUAUCCAGAAGAAUCCCAAAAAUUCCAAGGAAAUCUCUGGCGUUAAUUUGGGAUAGGAGGAAAUCCAAAUAAAAUAUUUGGGACAUAAAAAAUUUGAGAGCCUUCCAAAAAAAAUGGAUCUAGCUCUAGGAUAAAUUUGAAUAAUUGCUAGAAAAAUCUGUAAAAUUCUAAGAAAACCCUAUUUAUAGAUGAACAUAUUCUAAAAGACAUUCACAUCCUAAAAUUCAAUAUUUUAGGGUGUGACAGAAUUACCCCCCUAAACAGAAUCUCGUCCCGAGAUUCGCAAGGGCUGGUGACAAAAAGGAGAUACAGGGCAAAAAGAUUUCAUUAGGGAGACAACAAGAUAACAAGGCGGGUAUUGAGAAAAGAGAGAAUUUGGAUUUGGAUCUUCUUCACUUGCUUUCAAGCAGAUGGGGUUGACGAGAUAUUCACAAAAUCCGGUGAUAGAAAGGAGACAACAAGGUAACAAGAUGGGUCUUCUGCGCUGACUUUCGCUAUGGAGCAAGAAGAUGGCGUUAACGAGAAAACUAAGGAAUGAAUGAUGUCACUGUAGGCACAAGUCCCACAACACAUCAACAAGCAAAAACAAGGAGUCUAAACAAACAAGAACAAAACAACAAGCAUUACAAGCACACCAAAACCAACUAUCAAACAACCGAAACUAGCGUUUUACAACUGAAAAGGGAAACCUCUUAAGUAUGGGUCAUAUCCUAAAGCUUCAGCAUUUUUGUGUUAGGCAUCUCUCUUAGCUUGUCUGGUGGAACAUUGACUUCUUAAGUGUAACGUCUGUGAGUCCAACGUAGCCUUCAGUUGCUCUGGCUUGACUUAUUGUAGUAGACUGUUACUUCCAUUCUUUAGGGUACAAGGUCGGACAAUCUAGUGUUUGUAACAAGAGGAGAGGAGAAAAAAAUCCAUUUGGAAUAGAAGACAAGGGAAUUUCCAAAGUGGCCAAACUUGAAAUCAAGGAUGAGAUAAAUUGGAACAAAUGGAUACAAGGUAACCAAUGCCAAUGAGGGUACAAGUGAACAAGGAAAUUGUGAGAUGUAAAAGCAAUGGAAAGAAGGGGAUAAAAGAAAAGGACACAAAGUUAGAUAGAAGCAGCAUCAAGGAUGAGAUAAAUGAAGAAUGGCCAGGAAUAAAUGAAGAGGGUCAAGGAUAUGGUAAAAAAAUAACUUUUAUAUCAUAAUAGAUCUUAGAAAAUGAUCAUUGCUAUCUAGGCAGGCGUCCUACUGUCGACACAGCUCUGGUACCACCUCUGUCACACCCUGUUUUAAGGAUAAAACCGAAUGCAUAACUAUAUAUAUGCUAGGAUCAAGUUCCAUACAUAUAGUGACUUCAUCAGUGAAUAAUUAGUAACAGUAUCACGAAAAGAGAAUUAAAAGACUAUAAACAUUAUCAAAGUUAUAGAUCUUAUUCUAGAAACGAAGACUCCAAAUUUCACAAGCAAUCGAUCGGGGGUUGCAUAGGCCUAGAACUCAGCAACAUCUUCAAAAGACUUCACAUCACUUUCUCCUCUAAGCAGCAAUUAUAACAAGCUUUAGUACACUUAUGGUUGGUACUCAGCAAGUGUUGGGAAUUAUAUGACAUGAAGGCCAAAAGCAAGGAAAGGCUGACUAGCUUACUGCGGUAAGCAAUUUUAGUUGAUCAAGUUUUAUUAGCACCUGAUUACUAAGGUAUAAGUUCAUACCAAAACCCACAUUAAAAGAAAUAGAAGAGAUAUAGCAGAAGCAUAACGAUAACUAUAAACAUGGUCCAUGAUUUAAUUUAUCUUCAAGUUCAAUUAUCAUGUGAGGGUCCAAGCCGCUCUUAACCGUGAGCAUGGCUGAUAUAUCAGUUUUCACUCUGCAGAGUUUGUACACUUUACCCACAAUUUGUGUCUUCCAAUUUGCCUGAGGUAGCUAGCCUCUUAGACACUUUCAAGGUGAGUGGCAAGGGAUUCACCAUGAGGCCUUUACAAAGAUUCCCUAACUUAUGACAAUCCGCUAAGGUUUCAGGCCGCAGUGGUCAUAACCCUCCCUAAUGAGGAAGAUGCCUUAACCAAGAUCAUAUCUAAGCCUCAACAGAACCGGGCUAUACCCCAUCAAUGCACUCCCCUCUUGCCUUUUCGGUAAGAUCAUCACAAGCUAGAGUUUCUAAUUAAUUAGCCAAAACUGGAGCCAUAUAGUAUUAUGGUUGCACUGUUUUCCUGGGUGGUUCUCCAUAUUCCGAUUAAAACAUAUGAUCUUGUGAUUAACUACACAAAGAGCAUGAACAUGGAUAAAACAGGUGUAACAUCAGGUUAUAUAUUAUUCCCAAACCAGAACCAGUUAUAGCAACUAAGCAAUAGCUACCCAACAUAAAGGUAAAACCUAGGUUGACAAGGAAUGAUCAUAAAGAUUAGGCAUGUCCUUAUUUAGGAUCCAUCAAAAUUAGGACACAUGCAUGCAUAUAGAAAAAAGUUAUAUUUAUUGUGAUUAUUAAGAUAAAAGAAUGAUAAAGGAAACACUUGCCUUUCUUUUAGAGAAUAGCUGCUCAGAGUCUUCAACUCUUGUUCUUGGAACUCUUAAUCUUCAAUGCUCUUGGACUGCGCUCCUUCUAACGUCAAACAAGCAUCAGACUGAAGCACAACAGUAACAAACAAACAAAAACAACUAAGAAUAGGUACACCAAACAAAAGGAAAGCUUAAGAAAACAUACUAAAGGAGAGGAUUCGUUGCUACGGUCACGAGAAACAGCUAUCGGAAAAUUUAUAUUAUAAAAGAGACAAAAGAACUAUAAGUUUUAUUUAUUUUAAUUUAAAAAAGUAAUGUAAAAGCUAUUCAAAAGAGAAUAUCCCUAAUUAUAAUUAACACAUAUUAUAUUUGCAUUUAUAAAGAUGAGGUACAACUUAGUCAAAUUUUAUAUAUAAUUGUCUAUGUAUAAAUUAUCCUAAUUAAACAAUUAAUUAAAAAAGAAACCGGUGAGUGUGACAGUUCAUGUGUUUGUAAACUAGGCAUAUAUUUGUUAGUGUGAAGUAUGUGCUUGUUAGUGUAAAGCUUGUAUAUGUUUGUGUGAAGCUUUUGAAAAUUUAAAAUGCAAGUAAAAAGGGGAAAUUUUGUAAUUAUAGAAAAACCUAGGGUUGUUUUUGCAAAAUGUAGUUGGUUAAGGGUAAUUUCAAAAUAAGUGAAAGGUGGUUUUGUAAACAUGUUUUUCUUAUUUUAUGUCUUGUAAAAAUAAAUAUUAUUUAUCCAAAAGUUUCAUUUGAAAUGUGUAUGUUGAAGUGUGUAAAAAUUUUGGGUAAAAUGGUAAAAACAAGGGUGUUUGUGUAAUUUUAUAAAAGUACAAGUCCUUUUUAUGCAAAUGUUUGAUUUACAAAAGUAACUUUCAAAAUUACUUAGGACUAAAGUGUAAAAGAUGCAAGUUAUCAUAACACGUCUAUCCAAUCAUUAUGACGAGUCUAUCCCGUCAUCAUGACGUGUCAUAAAUGCUUACAUUUAGAUCCUGAAUUUUAUAAAAUUUCAUUCUUUAAGACAAAAGCAAUACAAAUCCGACUUUUAUUCAAAGAUUCACGUGUAAAGAUACAAAUUUUGAGUUUUUGAACUUGAGCCCUAAAGCAAUAUUCUAGAGUUUGAAAAACUCUCCAACUUUCGUUUUGGGCAUUUCUUCAUUAGAGUUUUAAAUCAACGGGAAAUUUUGUUUUACAAAUAGGCCCUUGCAAUUUUCUAUAAUUAUGUAUAAGUCCUUGGAGAAUUCCAUCCCUUCUUCUCCUCUGUUUUCUUCUCCCUGGUGCUCCCCUUAUCCCCUUCUGGUAUUUCUUUUCUUCACCGGCAGCACUUCUCUGCACCAUCCUUAUCCCCUCUCUCUCUCCUCCUAUACACGGUUCGGCACAGGGGCAGCACGACGUCCGGCUGGGCGGCGAUGGGCUGACGUUGGGCGGCCACGAUAGCAGGCAGCACGGCCCCGGGCGGCUUCAGCGCGCGCGGGCGCGAGCGCGCAGGCGCGCGGAGCGGCGGGCUCGGGUGAGCGCAGGCGGGCGCUGGCGGCGGCUGGGGCAGCGCACGGGCAGGCGACGGUUCGGGUCGAGUGGAGUGCGGCCCAGGCGAGCCGGUGCGGGGCAAGGCCCGGGUGGAGGCGCGCGGGGGCGGCGCUGGUGUGGUGGCGCUGCGCUAGGCGGGUGUAAUAUCCAGGUAGUUAGACAACUAGAUACUAAGUUUGGGUGAAUUAUAUGUAAGCAUGUUAUAAUGUAUAUAAGUUGUAGAAAACAUUAGGAGUAUAAUUGUAAUUUAGGAAUUGUGUGAUUAUUUGAAUAUAAGUGUGUAAAAGUACUCUUAAGUGUGAAACCUAAAUCAUUAUACAGAAAAACAGUGCAAAAGUCAAAUAAAACCUAAGAGAAAUAGAUUUUGAAAGAAACUAAGGACCUAUGUGUAAUUAACACAAAUAUAAGGGACUCACAAGUGAAAUGGUAAAAAGAUAAAAGUAAAACUUAGUUUUACCUAAGGACUAAAGUGUAAAAAGAGCUAGUCAUGAUUACUGCAGAAAAACUUACAAAGAGACCCCAAACAUUAGAGCAUUUUGUUUAAAUUGUAAAACAAAGUUUAUAAUUUGAGUAGUGUUCAAAAGUUCAAAAUAAAACCGUACCCUUUGAGAUUUUGAACUCGAGCUCUAAAGCAUUCUUGUAGUAUUUGAAAUUCUCUACAACUUUGCUUUAGACAGUUUCCUCAUUAAGAUUUUGUAGCAGUGGGAAAUUUUAAUUUACAGAGGAGUCCCCGAACUUGUUAGAAAUCACAAACUAGUCCUUCUGACUCCAGCCUGCUUCGUCUUCCUCUGACCACGCCGCUUCCCCCUUCUGCUCCGCCCUGCCACCGCUGCUCACCGCCGGCGCAGACCUCCAGAGCUCCACCUCCAGCUACUACACCAUCCACGCGUCAUCUCCCCUCGGUUCCGGCCGCUUUCCUCUCCCUUCCUGGCCGCACGCGCGCACGCCACGACAUCCCGAGCUAUCUCCGGCCGCCACCUCCUCGCCAUCGUGGACAGCUCACUGCAGCGCCAUAACCUCCUCCCUCUCGCACGCAACAGCACCACUUCAACACACACAGCCUAUUCUGUUACUUCCAGAGCCCAAUUCCGAGGAACCGAGCCGCAUUUCCUCGCCGCCGUCUUCCUCCGCUCCGACCGCGCACAGCACGCCCGUGGGCAGCCCACACCGGACCUCCUUCGCCUCAACCAACACCUGCACUAGCUUCCCCGUUGCUUGCUCGUGCUCGAUGACCAACCAUUCCCCGCCAAUUUCCACUGAAGCUUUGUCCCCGACGAGCGCCGUCGCCGCCGCCUUCGGCCUCCACCGUGGGCAGCUCGCUCCGGGCACUCCCACGCCACCACGACCCCCUAGCCAGCACCACAUCAUCACCCUGAAGCUGUUCGACCCAUCCAUUGGCUCCCUAGUGCACCACAGAGCCUUCCCGAUGCUCGCCGGCGUUCUUCCUCGCCGCCGCCGCAUCGGUCUCCGUCGAUUCCCUUCGAUCCAGCAUGUUUUCAUCCAAUUGAUGGCACGUACACGUUCCCCGCGACUCACUGAUUCUCGUGCGCAGGUCCUUUGUCGCCGUUCAUCGCCGGAGCACCCUCGUCGCCGUCGACCCCUCCGCCGCCGCCUCGGGUCCUCAUCGGGAUCCCUCUUUCCGGCCGUCCCAGCCCUCGACAAGUGGAGCAACGGGAUCACCGUAAGCUCCUAACCCUAUCCCUGCACUUGGACCUCGCCGCCGGUGACCGCCGUCGCCGGAACACGGCCGUCCCUGUCUCGCUCUGUUCGGGUUCACGGCCAAGGACCUCGGGUUAGAAGGAAAAGAAACCCAGGGGGUUUUCUGUAAGGCUAUAGACUCAGUGGAAUAGUGCCGAGGGACCCCCAUGUGUAAAUAUUGCUGUUAACUUAGAAAUGCUAUAUCUCUUCGAAGAAAAAUCAUAAAAUUGUAAACUAAAUUUUGUUGGAAUCCUUAGAUAAAGAUCUACAACUUUACUUAAAGGGUCAACUUCAGUUUCUGAAUGUUUGAUGAUCAAAUUUAAAUAUCAAAUUUAGUUGUUUGUAGGUUAGUAAAUGCAUAGUAAUUCAUAAAAAAAUGAUAAAAUGGUAAAACCAGUGAUGAUAAUUUUCUUUUAACAUGUAGAAUUGAAGAAAAAUAAUUAACCUGGUGCUCUAGUAUUAUUUCCUUAUUGUACAAGUUUUAUUAGAAAUAAGGUGUAGCUUCCUUAGUAUAAUUAAUAAAUACACUUAUAAAUGUUCAAAAAUCAUGAAAAAUAUAUUAAGAUUCUGUUUUGUAUUAUUACAACAUAUUAUUAAGUUUUCAACUAAGAAUUAGGUGUUAAAUAAUUUGGAUAUAAUAUAAUUGAUUUAUAAUGGUAACUUAAAGUUCAUAUAAAUUAGUGAGGUCCAUAUAUAAAGCUUUUUAAUAUAAAUGUUGAGAACCACCCCACUUGUUGCUCCAUGCUACUCGUUAGUUAAUUAAUGUAAUCAACCCCGUUGUCUAAUGGGUUUAGAUAAAACAUAUAAUGCCCGAUAAAUGACUGUCCAGUAUAGGGUAAUUAAGUUGAUUAUCGAAAUAUAAUAUCCUUUACAUUGAAUUGCAACUUUAUCGUGAAUUGAAAUACAAAUGUAUGCAUCCAUUAAACUUCAUCUUGCAUAUCAUGUAGACUCGACCACUCUCGCUGACGGGGAUUAUCAACUGAUCCCGGAACAAGAAGAAGUCUAUUCUGAAGACUCCAGGAAUCUCGUCACGGAUUUCUCUGAAGCCCCGAACCAAGGUUCGGAAGAAAAAAAUUUGACUAACCCCAACCAUACCAGCGAAGGCAAGCCCCGGACAUAACCUCUACUUUAUUACACUGCAACCUAUACUAUUUAUGUAUAUCCUUAUGCAUUAAGUUCUUAGGAGUUGUUUGGAAACUUAGUUGCAUUACCCAGGAACCAAUGUAUUGAACACUAGAACUUGAGUCCGAGUAGCUGCUAUGCUAAUAGGACCGGUAGAAGUCGAGUGAUUUCCUGUCACUCGCGCGAUAUAGGAAUUGUGAUGUUUACUUUUAGGCUAUCACUAUAAGGAUGACGGACGGGAGUUUUAUUCAGUAUCAUGGUUGAGAUGAUACCCCGUCUGUGUUGAUAAACUGGAUAAGGCCGCAGUGUGUGGUAGCGGUGGUUAAGCGUUUGAAAGUACUAUCCACAUGCCGUGAAAUAUGGUAAGCGGUAAGCCUAGUAACCGAUCGGUCCGAGGAGUGGACAUACCACCCACCACAUGUAUUUGCUUCUUUUGGUUACUUUGUUCGACGUGUAGGCAUAUGUGUUGCUGGGCAACCAGGAGUACGGGUUUUGUAGUCGCGCUACAGACGUACGUCCUGCACGUUGGAAGUGCGUAUGCCCUGCAGUCGCUUGUGGUGGCACUGAUCCACAAGUCGGAAUGAAAGGCAAACGGUUGCUUCGGAACGACCCUGUGGUGUUCCAAGUGUGUGUGUUAGGUUUACCUUGCAAGGGUUGAAUCUCGAUUCAGAAUCGUCCGCCUCUCACGAUGUAUGAGAUUGCUUAUUCCCUUUACCACAUAGAGUAACAAGAGUAAUUAUGGGAUUAUCAAAGAUGAUGUUUGAGUAAAGAUUCUACUAUGUUUGAGUAGUUAUAGGUGCUUACCUAGAUUGGUUAAUCAACUAGAAUCUGAAAGUUAAAAGUUGAAAUUAAGGAUCUACUCUUUGUUGCUUUUCAGCUGAAAACUUUACCCAAAGCUAAAAGCCAUCAUGAGUCUAGUUAUGGGCUAAGGUAUACCCAAUUCCGGGUAAGUCUUGCUGAGUAUUAGUAUACUCAGCCUUGCUUUUGUUGAUUUAAUCCAGGUAAUCUCCCUGAUGAGCCAGCUUUCAUUACACCGUGGCCCUACCCUUUACCUGAUGGUUGGUCCGUGGAAUGGGAUCCGUCCCCGGCCAACACAGAUUCCGUCGAGUGAUAUUAUGCCAGGGCUAGCAUAAUAUCUAUAAUGACGACGUGUAUAAUGACUACGCUUUUCAAAUUCCGCUGCUUUGACUGAAAACUAAAACCUGUCUUGUAAUAAUCUCUCCUCUGUGGGAGCUAAUGAUGCUUUGUACAUUUUUGUAAUGUAACUGCCUGUGGUGUAAGAUAUUUUGGCAUUGUAUCUCUGGACUCACCUUCGUGUGAGGUACCUUGUUGGAUCCUGAGUUCGGUGGUUUAUCGGGACGUUACCCGACAGACCAAUGGUUUUAUACCGUUUGAAGUAUGAGGUAGCCCUUCGGUGAGGACUCGCGUACUUGAGCCGGUAUAAUUCAGGUUGGUUCUGCCACAGCGGGCCCAGGCGGGGCGCGCGGGAGCGGGCGUCGCGGGAGGCGAGCGGCAGCCAGCGCGCAGGCGCGCAGAGCAGGCAGUGGGCAUGGGAGCUAGCGGGCAGCAGCGCGAGCAAGCGUGCGGGUCGCGCGGGAGUUGGAGCGCAGCGGCGGUUCAGGUGCGCGCGGCAACGCGCGGGCUGGUGGUGGCCCAGGCGAGCGCGCGCAGGGGGCCGGAGCGGCGAGCCCGAGCGGGCUGGUGGCGAGCGGGAGCAGGUGAUGUGGCUCGGGCGUGCACGACAGCAGGAGCGCGGAGCGUGCGCGGGAGGCGUGGAGGUGCACGGAAGCGAGCGCGUGCGCGCGGGCGAGUGAAGGCGCAUGUCGCGCAGGAAGUGGACGCGGCUUGGCCCAGGAGCAGACGCGCGCGUGCCCAACAAGCUAGCGGCGUGCGGGUGUGACGCAGACUCGUGAGCGGCAUGGUUGGCAGUGCAGAAGCUCGCAGCGGUGGCGCGCAUGCGAGUAGGCGCUGGAGCG